rnacentral:lncRNA from 1 species
CCGACGUCCAAGGCUGCGUUGGCACGGCGAUUCCGGUAUGGAGCUGUUGUUGAUGUGGUGUUCCAAAGCACGUCAAUGUUGCAGAGCGAGUCCAACCCGAUGCACCUGCACGGACAUGACAUGUUCGUGCUGGCACAGGGGAGCGGCAACUAUGACAUGCAAAGGGAUGUGGCGAAGUACAACCUAGUUAAUCCUCCACUUGUGAACACCGUGCUUGUACCACGGCUUGGAUGGGUGGCUGUCCGAUUUAUUGCGGACAAUCCAGGUACGAACAUGAGUUUUACUUUCUUUGUUUUUUGCCAAAGAAGAUACAAUUAUGUAGAACAUAACAACUCUUUCUGUUUUGGCAUUUGUUCGAUGAAUAACUGCCCUACGAUACACUAGCUAGGUUUUUGUCAAGGAAGAUAUGACUGGUGUCCUCAACAAAAAUCUCAGUUCCUUUUGGACCUGGGACUAAAGCUCUGACUCUAAAUUUCGUAGUCCCUAGUCCCCGGUCUAAAUUUCAUAGUCCAUGGAGACACCUUUAGUCCCGGUUGGUGUUACAAACCCGAACUAAAGCCUCCAAGAUCUUUAGUCCCAGUUAGUAUUACCAACCAGAACUAAAGAUAUGCCUUUAUUCCCGGGUGAAAGACUCGUGACUAAAGGUUGGGACCUUUAGUCCCUAAUGAUUAGUCUUGGUUGGGAAAAUCAAGAUCUAUAAGGUUUCCAACUUGGACUACCUCUGCCAGUGUACUGUUACGUAGAACAUAACAACUCUUUCUAUUUCAGCAUUUGUUUGAUGAAUAACUCUCCUACGAUAUACUAUGUUUAAUGUUUGGUUGUGUAUAAGUAAUCAAAAUGCAACAUGUCAAUGCAAUAAUUUUAUUUUUUAUGUCUAUCACGUGUCAGGCCUCAAGUCUGUAUUAAAAGUUAUUCUAUAAAUGUUUGUAGUGCUUUUUUGUGCAUCUCUGCUAGAUCCUUUUGUUCUAUUGGGAUGUCGUUAUGAUCACAUCAUUUGUUUUAACUAAUUGUUUCAAGAACCAAUCCAUCAAUGCCCCUUUACUUUGCCGACAUAUAAAAAUUGAAGUGAUUUAGAAGAGUUAUCACCUCAUGGUCCGAUUUUUCAAGUUUCAAUGCAGCAUAUUUUGAGAGUACAAGUUUAGGAAUCUUCAAAGAGAAUAAAUGUAAAGUAAUAAAGGAGUAGACUUAUUAUCCAUAUAAUCUUAUUGACACGAAGUUCGUAAGGGGGUGUUUGGAUCCCGGACUAAACUUUAGCCCCUGUCACAUCGAAUGUUUGACACUAAUUAGAAGUAUUAAACAUAGGCUAAUUACAUAACCAAUUUCACGACCCCUAGGCUAAAUCGCGAGACGAAUCCAUUAAGCCUAAUUAGUCCAUGAUUUGACAAUAUGGUGCUACAGUAAAUAUUUGCUAAUGAUGGAUUAAUUCGGCUUAAUAGAUUCGUCUCGCGAUUUAGCCUAGGGGUUCUGCAAUUAGUUUUGUAAUUAGCUCAUGUUUCGUCCUCCUAAUUAGCAUCCGAAUAUCCGAUGUGACAUUGACUAAAUUUUAGCUUCAGGAUCCAAACACCCUCUAAGUAAUAUAUCUGCACCAUUUUAUAGAAGAAAUAUGUUGUGGUUAUUGCUCUAGUACAAAAUUUACUAACUUAUCACUUAUACUAUGGAUUUGUUUAGAAACACACUCAUAUAUUUUAGUUGUAGUUGGGGUGAAGUAGAAACCCAAGAUCUGAUGCUCUCCUUUAUGGUGUGCAGGUAUAUGGUACAUGCAUUGCCACUACGAGUUCCAUCUAUCAAUGGGCAUGAUAGCAUUGUUCAUCGUGGAGGACGGACCAACAGCGAACACAUCGCUCCCUUCACCGCCAGUGGAUUUUUGGACAGAUGGCAAUGAUAAUAAUGUCAUGGCAUAUGCAUAGUACUUUGGAACGAGGAAAAUGAACUACCACAUGUAGAUGGUAUCUAGACGAUAACUCCAGGCAUGACGGGCCUUACAGUAAAAGAAAUAAACGUAUGAGCUAUUAGAAGAUCUAUUCACUUGCAUUCAUACUCGUUUUAAUAUAUUUUUCAUAGUUCUUUAAAAUUUUAGUUCACGUAAUUUUCUUGGAAUUUUGCGGUAUUGUUUCUCUAUUUAUUUGGCUUCAACCGAUAUACUGUGUAACUUCAAGAAAUAGAGAAAACCAUAUAAAUUUUUGAAAAACUAUGUAAGGAAUCGGUGCUCAUAUAGCCUAAGAGAGAGAAGGGGUGAAUUAGGCAACUUAAAAACUUAACCUAUACCUUGCAUUACUUCGGAUGAAUAUGAACUAGAUCAUACUAUCUAUCAAAAUGUGCAUCUAUAGUUGACUUAGUAUGAAAAUUUUGCACCCAUAAAAAGUUUCGCAAUCUAGAGGUAUGAACUACUCUAAUAAAGUAAAGGUACUCAAUUUGCAAGUAUGAAAUACGGAACAUAAAGGAGUGGAUUGGAAAUGAUGUAAACUCCGGCAUGUUGGAGCUCCAACAAGGAGAUGCUCCAGGUCACCAUGUCUCUCUCGGUCAAGGAUUUUGCUCACCACAAAGACUAGUCAAGCCGGAUGAUAAACUUGCAACAAAGAUGAGGCUAAACAGUCCCUCUCUUUCAAUCAUGUUGGCACUGUCUCCACUAUGGAUCACCUCAUGCCCACGCACACAAUCAUAACCACCGCUCCACACCAAGCAGAGGGUAGAAAAUUUGCCGGCGAGCUACAAAAGCUCCAAGGUGCUGGAGCACCAAGCUUAAAAUGGUGGUCCAGUCCUUAAACUAAUCACAAGAUAGCAACAUCUUGUUCUCUCUCACUGUAGGCCUAAUUAGCGGUAAUCACUCUCUAAGUUAAAUGGGACGAACUCAAACUUGUCUCAACAUACUUCACUGUUUAAUAUUUUUCGUUUUCUUUUUCCAUUUUAAAGCAUCCUUCUAAAGUAACAUGCAAAUAAAUUAUCUUACAUACACCAAUAUAUUUUUAAAUAUAGUAGACAACAUUUAAAUUGUCGUGUAGGAUUUUAAAGAAUUUUUUAAUGGAUUUAGUAUUUUCUAUCAUUGAAAGUUCCUAUUGAAAGUAAUUCCAAAUUGAACUGUGUAUACCACCAAUAAUAUUUGAAAAUUUGCACAAAAAACAUUAUUUAUGCUCCUAUGUUCCAUUAUAGCUCAUGUCCUAAAGAUAGAUGAACAAUUAAAUUAUCUUAUAGGGACAAUUCAAACUUCUAUCUCCAAAUUACCACAUAAUAAUUAUAAUUUAAAUUUAGUCAAAAAAAUUCUACAAAUUGACGUGUCAGGGUAUUUUUGGUCCAUAAGCUUGCUAUAAAAAAAUUGAAUGAUUUUAAUAAAGUGAGACUAUAUGUUGUUCACAUAUGGACACAUCUCUCACAUAGUUUCCUUUAACUCAAGUCAAACUUUGAAAUUUGAAUACCUCGUAAUAUUUUUAAACCUGUAUGCCUCUCAAAUUUUUGGUACAACCAUUUUUUGAAUAAUAUUACAAAAUAUUAAGUUACAUUUGCAAUUGUUAUGAAAAAACACGUUUUUCUAUUCUCUAUUUAGGUGGAACAAAAUAAGACAUAUGAAAAUGAUCCAAGAAAUGGCAAUUAGAAUACAAACAAAUGCCAUUACAUGAAAUGUUGUGAUUUUAGAAAAAUGCAGAAAAAGGAAUAAUCAAAUUUGGAGUUCUUAUAAGGAAAAAAUACCAAUUGGAAAUUUUAAUUCCGAAUUAAAAAGGAAAAGUACCUCUGUUCUUCAUUAUUGGGGCACCGUACAAACCAACACAUAAAAAAGAUUUUCUUACCAAUUAUUACGACCGCAGGAUGCCUGUUGUAGUGGUAAAGUUUGUUGCGUUUGCAAACCUACAACCGUGGUUCGAGCUCCCGUGUGCUUCCACAAUUUUAUCUGAAUUGGCUAUGCAGCAACGCAACUAAAUCUAUACUCAUUUUGAAAAAAAUCCCUCAAUUUUCAUGAAAUCAACUGGCAGUCCAAAUUCUGAAGAGAGAGAACUCGUGUGGAAAAAAAAUCCCUCAACUUUCAUGGAAUCAACCAUUUUGAAAAAAAUCCCUCAAUUUUUAUGGAAUCAACUGGCUGGCAGUCCAAAUUCUGAAGAGAGAGAACUCGUGUGGAAAAAAAAUCCCUCAACUUUCAUGGAAUCAACCAUUUUGAAAAAAAUCCCUCAAUUUUUAUGGAAUUAACUGGCAGUCACGGCCGCCUCCCGCGCCACCUCCAUCUGCUCCACCCCCGCCACCUCAACACCAUCUUCCCAUCCCCUUCCUAUCUGGACCCCGAAACCCCCACCCCAGAGCGGUUCCCCGUCCGAGCUCCGCCGGACGAGCAGGUCGCGGCGUGGGUCACGCGCCUCCACCUGGGCCGGGUUUCACCGCGUCCGACCUCGCCGCAGCCAUCUCCACGGAGCCUGACCCGGACCUCGCGCGCGCGCUCUGUCGCUGAGCCGGGCUGUGCUCGGGGUUCCACCAUGCACCCGAAUCCUACUUCGCGGGGCCCUGUUUGCCCGACCUCCGUCUCUUCAACGCCUGCCUCCGCUUCUGUUGUGACCGCCGCAGCCUAUUCCCGCUCGCCUUCGACAUGUUCAACAAGAUGCGCGCAAUGCCCGCGGUCACCGGAUGCCGCCCUGAUGUCGAGAUCUACAUGCUCCUCCUCAGCGCCAUCGUGCGCUGCCCGCCGGCGUCGAUGGUCAACCUCAUCGCCGUCCGGUCCCUCUCCUGCCAGAUGAAGGCCUUCAGCGUUGUCCGGACACCUUCCUGCUGAACCUCAUCAUCAAGGCCUAUGCGCGGUGCGUGGAGGUGGACGACGCGCUCAAGGUGUUCCGCCGUGAAAUGCCACUAUAUGGCUGCGAGCCAAACGAGUUCACCUAUGACUACAUUGUCAAGGCCAUGUUUCAGGGCUGGGCAGACAAGGGCAUGGUGUAUUUUGCAGAGAAGAGGGAGAAGGGAUUUGUGCCAUCCGGAGGCGUGUAUAUGAUCGCUGUGUGGGCGUUGGCAUUGGAACGGAGGUUCUAGGAAUUGAGGCGGGUGCUGCUGGAUAUGUUGGAUUGCAAGAGGAAGCCGGAUAUGAUCACAUACAGGACACUGCUGGCAGAGAUGUCCCGGGCUGGGCAAACUGAGCAGGCGUUUGAGGUGCUGGAGGAGCUGAAAGGGAGGAAGCGAGGGCCAUUGGACCAGAGGAUGUACUCAGAAUUGCUUGAUGGGUUGCAUUGGAUUUCCUAGCCUCAUAAGGACAACCGAACUGUCCAUGACAAGGGUUCUGAUGAUUGAAAUGACGUGUUGUGGUGAUAAUAUAUGCUCCUCCAGAAUCAAUGCAUCAUAUGCAAGGGAACCUGCUGAUAAUAGCCUUUUUCAUCAUAUUGCGUCUGAACCAAGUUAAAACCACUGGUUCAUCCUGUGGGGCGUGGGCUGCAGGCUUCUCGCCAUCCUGUUGUGAACUGCAACUUUUGUUUUAAAAAAAGUGAACUGCAACUGUUGCUGCUUGUCCGCAUCCUGUUGAUGCUUAUUUUUCUUGUUGCAAUUGUAUUCUGAUGAUUUAAAACUUCAAGUAUUGCUCAAAACAUUUAACAAUUCGAGAGCAUAAAUGAUUUUAUGACUGACCCUUAUUACUAGAAACUAGAUGCUGCUUUUACUUUUGUCGUUAUAACAUAGUUCAUCUAACAUCUCAGGGAUACAUUGUUCUGAAUCGGCCGUGGGCAUUUGUCCAGUGGCUCCAGAAGGCAGACAUAAAGGAAGAGUAAGUUUACUGUAAGUUUAGUUGAUAAUCAGUGAUCAUUCUCCAGACUCAAUAGUUCAAUUAACUUUAUACUAUGUGCAGGUAUAUCUUGAUGGCAGAGCCUGAUCAUAUUAUUGUCAAGCCUAUCCCAAACUUGUCAAGGGAUGGUCGCGCAGCAGCUUUCCCUUUCCUCUAUAUUGAGCUGGAGAAAAAUGAGAAAGUGUUGCGUAAGUUCUUCCCUGUGGACGAGGGGCCAAUGAAUAAGAUUGAUCCUAUAGGAAAUUCUCCUGUGAUAAUUGAGAAGGUGAGAUUUUUUUUCUUCUAAGAAUCUACUCAGAUUUCCGUCACUAACAGUUUCUCCCUGAUUUACUAGGAAUCUCUUGCAAGGAUGGCACCUACAUGGGUGAAUGUUUCAAUUGUAAUGAAAAAAGAUCCUGAUGCAGAUAAAACUUUUGGUUGGGUUUUUGAAAUGUAACGUCCUGCCCAAUAAUUUCUUUUUCCUCAGGAUGUCUAAACUUCGAUCUGGGUGUGUUUUCUUUGGAGACGAGAUGGGAUAGGUUGGUCUGUCCUAGUUUUUUUUGGAUGGAAUCGUCCCACCGCCACCUAAUCGGAGCUCGCCUCGGCUCAAUCGAGCACAGGCGCCGCCGAAUCGGGCCUCGCCGCCGCUGAAUCGGAGCUCCCCGCAACCGAAUCGGGCGUCGCCGCCGCUGAAUCAUGCCUUGCCACUGCCAGAUCGGUCACUUCGCCAGAUCAGGGGUCAGAGCAGGUGCCGCGCUGCUACUGCUCGGCUCAUCGGGACCGAGUCCGCCGCCAUUCGCUGGGGCUGCGAUGCUGCUCGGCUCAUCAGGGUGGAGGUCAGGGCCGAGGCUGGGCUGCUGCUCCACUCGCGCCAGGCUCUCCGCUCGUCGAUGCGCUACUGUUCGGAUUUGAGAGAGGAGCAAGCUGCUUGCUUGACCGGUGAAGAAUUGAGCAAGAGAGAGAAAGGGGCAGGCUGUUGGUUUGCUUAUUGCGUGAAGAAAUCAUAGGGGGAAAUAGAAGGGCCGGCGGCGGCAGUGGAUAAAGUGAAGAAAGGAUAGAAGGGAAGAAAUAACGGGAGACUAACACAUGGGUACCAAUCAUAAGGGUAUAAUAGAUUUUUCAUAAUAAAAUUAUCUGUUUCUAGAGUUGGAUCCAUGCUUCUUGCCAAACAUGUAGAUAACUCCAUUAUUUUUGUGGAGUUGGUAGGGUGGAGUUGAAGUGGAGUGCUGCCAAACACCCCCUAAUUAAACCAUUUAAAAGGUAGUAAUAGCCCAUCCAAAUAAGGUUUAACCCAGGAUGUGCAUUAUGGAAAAAUUUGAGCACGCCGUCUCCUAUUUGAUGAAAUACGGUGCAUGUGAAAAGAUAUUACAUGGUCAGAAGGACUAAAGAACUCCGUCGGUGGCCAUCGCAGGCUGAUUUAACUCUCUUGUUUCAGCAAAAAAAUAUUUUAAUUUAAUAGGUAUUUGAGUUGAAGGAAAUAAUUAAGUCAAAAUUCUUUUGGUUUUCUUUUAAAUGUGUAGACAUCCAAUAGGUGGAAUAAAAAUUUAUUGAUGGAAAUAAAAAAUAUCAUUAGUUUGAAAAGCAUAAUUGAUCUUUUUACCAUACCAACACAUGGGGAUUUUACUAGUACUAAAUAAAAUCCCAAAUGGAGGCGUAGCUUGGUGGUAAGGAGUGCUUUGCUAUGGUUGUAAGUCUUGGUUUCGAACCCUGUCCGCCACUUUUUUUGUUAAAUAGCAGGAUGACGUGCUCUGAAAAGGUCAUGAAAAAUCCAUCAUGGAUUAGGCGUAUUACGCGUGUUUUUUUGUUUAAAUAGCAGGAUGACGUGCUCGCGUGUGGAAGCCUCCCGAGGCUGCAAAAAAAGUAUGCUAAUAGUUACCUUUUAGUACAGGUUAUUUUACUCGGUACUAAAAGGGUACCGGUUUGUACAACCGGUUUUAAAAUAUUCUCAUGACUUUAGUACCGAAUACAUACCACCCGGUACUAAAAACGUCCUCGUGUCUUUAGUACCGGAUCGUAAUUAAUACCACCCGAUUAUUUGACCCGGUACUAAAGAGAUGUAGCAUCACUGGUUGUACAACCGUUACUAAAGGAAGAUUUGGCACCGGUACUAAAAGUGGCAUCCCCAGUGGUGGUACUCCAAGAUUCCUCAGUGGUGGUACUCCAAGAUGCUGGAUUCAAGAUCGAUCGAACAAAUUAUUGUGUAAAAUACAUUCAUAAAGAACCGACCGAGGGCAUCUUUGUUUAAAUAAGUCUACGGGCGUGCUCCUGACACUAAUUAGGUCACUACAAUUGCUUAAUGCCAAAUUAUUAAACAUCAAGUUGUACUGGUGAUCGGAUCUGGUCAGACAGAAGUAAACUGUUAUUUCCAAAAAGAAUUUCUAACGAAUAAAAUGACAGAAUUGCCGGUUGGUGUACUGGCAUGCAAUUAAAUGUUGUGUCAUCAACUUCAACUCUGACAACUAUCACGUAGUCAUGUAGCAUGUGAGACAAUUAUUAUCUUAUUCUUCGUAAAAAACACCUACCUUGGUGGCUUUUUUACCGGAUCAUAUUUAAUACCUCUCGGCACAAAGGGGAUGUAGCAAUACCAUUUCUACAAUCAGUACUAAAGUUUGGCACCGGUACAAAAAGCGGAAUUCUCGAUGGUGGUACUCGAAGAUUCCCCAGUGAUGGUACUCCAAGAUGCUAGAUUCAAAUAAAUUACUAUCUUAUUCUUCAUAUAAAACACCUACCAACGGCUCGGCAAUAAAUCCAUGUCUAUAUACUUAGAAAAAUUAGAUUAAGUAUUUCAAUUCAUUUUAUUAUAGUUCAAAUACCAAUCCAUGUGUAAUAUUUUGUAGAUGGAUCGAAAAUGGAUGUACAACGCAAACAAACGUUCCAUGGAGUAUAUUAAGGCUUGCGUGGUUUUCUCAAUAAUGCAGAAUCCAAUAAACCACCGUCUGGUUUCAUUUGUUAUCCGUGCAAAAAUUGCAAAACUGAGAAGGAUUACUCAUCCAGCAAGACUAUUCACGCCCACAUAUACAAUUCUGGAUUCAUGACAAACUAUUUGGUUUGGACCAAGCACGGGGAAAGAGGAGUUAUGAUAGAUGAUGAUGAAGAAGAAGAAGAUGACAACAUUCCUAACUGGAUUCAAGGAAGUACCUUUGUAGAUGCUCUAAUGGGCGAGGCUGAAGAAGAGAUGGGCGAGGCAGAAGGUCCGCUCGAUGAGCUAGGUCAGGUGUUGCAAGAUGCAAAGGAAGACUGCAAGAAUGUGAAGGAGUCAAAAUUGUUGGAGCGUAUGUUAGAUGAUCAUAAGAAAUUGUUGUACCCAGAUUGCAAACAGGAGUAGAAAAGUUGGGUAGCACACUGGAAAUGCUGCAAUGUAAGGCAAGAAAUGGAGUUUCUGACAAGGGUUUUGAUGAGUUAAAGAAAAUCAUAAAGAACAUGCUUCCCAAGGGAAAUGAAUUGCCGUCCUCAACAUACGAAGCAAAAAAGGUUGUCUUCCCUCUGGGCUUGGAGGUACAAAAGAUACAUGCGUAUCCUAAUGACUCUAUCCCCUAUCGAGGCAAGGAAUAUGAGAAAUUGGAGGCUUGUCCUGUGUGCAAAGCGCUGCAUUAAAGAUCAGGCGAGAUGACCCUGGUGAUGUUAAAGGGAGGCCAUCAAGAAGAAAGUUCCUACGAAGGUAAUGUGGUAUUUCCGUGUAGUACCACGGUUGAAGCACUUGUUCAAGAACAAGGCACAUGCAAAGUUGAUGUGUCGGCACAAAGAAGAAUGUAAGCAAGAUCAAAUGAUCAGACACCCCCUAAUGGGUCCCAGUGGAGAACAGUUGAUAGAGAAUUUCUUGAGUUUGAAAAGCAUGCAAGGAACAUACAAUUUGGUUUAAGUACAGAUGGAUUCAAUCCAUUCUGAGAGUUCAGUAGUGGUCAUAGCACUUGGCCUAUGACCUUAUGUAUGUUCAAUCUUCCGCCAUGGUUGUGCAUGAAGUAGAAGUUCAUUAUGAUGCUGAUAAUUAUCCAUGGUCCAAAACAAUCUGGCAACGACAUUGAUGUUUACCUAAGACCGUUGGUUGAUGAACUUCUACUGUUAUGGAAGGAAGGUGUAUAUGUGUGGGAUGAGGACAAAAAGGAGACAUUUAAUCUACGAGCAUUGUUGUUCGUAACCAUCAAUGAUUGGCCGGCGCUUGGUAAUCUAUCCGGAUAGUCAAACCAGAGAUUCUGAGCCUACACACACUGUUUAGAUGAUACUUGCAGCAUGUAUUUGAAGCACUACAAGAAGGUUUGAUGAUCAGCCAAAGUGCCACAUUGUUCUUCCAGGGAAAAGAAAAAUCAUUGGAGUUGAGGACAAGACUGACAUAUCAGAAGAUUAUGAUUAGUUCAACGAUCUUUCUCUAUUUUCAGUUGAGGUUGACCCAAGCGUCCUAUUAGGCAAAGAGGAUGCUCCGUACUUACACCGCGAUCACAACCAUGGGACGUUCGUCAAGAGGAGGGUUAUUAACAUUCCAUUGAUGAUGAUGCGUAAUGUAUUUGAACAAUUAUCAACAAAGGCAUUAAUGUAACUAUGAAUGAUUAGAUCUUGUUUUUCCAAAUACAAUUCUCAUGUCUUGUUUAACUUUCUUGUCCGGCUAAAAUAUCGUUUAACUAAUUUUUGCAUGGUUAAAAUAUUAAAUAUUUCAAAUUUUUAAGCACCAUUAAAAAUUAAACAAUAAAUUUACGUACAAUUAAACAAGAUCAUGAUUAAGUCAUGGGAAAGAUGCUAAGAACACUAGAGGCACUAUUUUUCUAAAUUUUUGCAUGGUCAAAAAAUCUUUUUUUCAAAUUUUAAAGGUAAUAUAAGUAUUAUGACCAUUAUAACCUAUUGCUAAGUUAAAAUUAAUAACUUUACCAUAUUUGAUAUUUGACCGCAUCUGACAUUUUUAUAGUGCAUAUCUAAUAAACAUGAAGCUACCAAAAUUGUUGUUACAAUUUUAUGAAUGUUAUUUAAUUUACUAUGCAAUAAAUUAAUAUAAUAGCAAUUGUAAAAGAAAGAAAAAAUAAAAAGAUGGCAGGGCAACUAAAACAGGGGCAUGCAACCCCUCUAGUACCAGUGCAUAACAACAACCGAUAUUAGAGGGGCAUUUUUAUUUCACGCACGGGGAAACCGGUACUAGAGGCCCCCUCUAGUACUAGUUGUAGUUUGCACCCUCUAGUACCAGGUGUAAACUACAACUGAUACUAGAGGGGGGUGUUAAGGAGCACCGCAGGCUUCUUCCUUCCCAACACUUACCCAUUUCUCCCUCGCACGUUGAUCCGCCUCCUUUGUCGAUCUGAUGUCGCUAGCCCUCGUCGAUCCGCCACCCCCGGCCCCAUCACCAUUCCUGCCGCUGUCAGUGUCGCCGCCAUUUGCCCCUGGCCCCGUCGUCGCCUUCUUGUGUCGUCGCCGCCCCCGGCCUCCGUCACAGCACCCGGCCCCUUCGCCGGCCCCCAGCCCCGUCGUCGCCUUACGGCCCGUCGCCAUCGGCUACUGAGAAUGAAAAAUGGAAAGAGGAUUGUAAAGAAGCAAGGAGGAAGAAACAGAAUCUGGAGCCACCACUGGAUAAGCGUAAGCUUUGGUCUUUCAUCUGAAAAAUGGAGGCGGAGCAAAGGAAAAAAACUAGAGAAACCUCCUCUAUCUGAUUUGACAGGCAGAUAACAAAGCAGGCAGCUCAUAAGAGGAAGAAAAGUGGGAAAUCUAUUUCUCAACUCAGAGAGCAAUCCAACCAAUCGGUUGCCCCGCUUGUGGUGCUUUCUGACUGGAGAAGAACCUGUUGGAAUUCAGUAGAGAUACUAAUCUGACAAUAGCACAACUUUGAGGGGAGGAUGAGAUCCCAAAGCUCUUUGUGCCCAUCAAAUGGAACAAUGAGUAUAGUAAAGAGCUCGUGUUUCCGCAGUUGGUGAAAUAUCUCCCAAUGAAGAUGUACAAGUUGCACCAAUGGUACAUGGAGGCUACAGCAAAUGGUUUGAUCAGGAUGGAAGUUCGGGUUGGUGAUGACAUCAUAAUGGUGGAACUAUUGGAACUGUAUAUGCUAUUCAAUCAAGACCCACUAGACAAGUUAGUGAUCAGUUGCUUGGUCCUAUAAUCUUUAGUACAUUCCUCUAACUUCAAAAUCACCGCUCUAGUCAAUUUGUGAUGUCUUAGCUCCUAUUCGAUUUUGUAUCGUGCAGGAUGGUGAUGCAAUAUUAUCGUAGGAAGGGAUACCAUGAUGUAGGAUUCAUGGACCCCUCAAUUAUACACUAGAAUACUCUAAGGGAUAAGCUAGAUGAGACUACGAAGAAUAUAUUUAAGUUCCUCGACAAGCAUUGGGACAAGAAGUGCAUAUUACUACCGUAGAAUUUCGAGUGAGCGUUUUUCCCAUCUCUUCCUUUUCCGAACUAGAACUUAAAAAUAAUACUAACUAGCUUCACUUUGGAUGUACAGAUACUAUUGGGUACUCAUUGUUAUUGUGCCCUUUUGGAGCAUUGUGUAUGUCUUUGACUCUUUGAGGAAAACAAAAGGAAAAUACGUUGACAUCAUGAACGCUGUGAACAAAUGUUGGGCUGGAUUCUAUCGAACUCACAUGGGUGACUUCAAGGAGAAACUUGAUUGGAAGACAGAUUUCUCAAUAUGUGUUGAAUUUUCACAUCUCGUGACAGUUCCUUUAACACAACAAAUAUUACAUAACUUUUUUUUCCAUAUAUACUGUGUUUGAGACAGCUGGAGGGUACUAAUUUAUGUGGAUACUACAUUUGUGACUGCAUCCACGCCUUCAUCAGUCAAGACGGCCAUAUCAGCGAACACCAAUUAACCAUACGUAUAUUCUUCAACAAUAAAUUAGUUCAUGUGUAUAUUCUUCUAAAAUCAAUCCAUGUGUAUAUACUUAGAGAAAUUAGAUCAAGUAUUUCAGUUCAUAUGCUUAUACUUAGAAAACCAUUCCAUAUGUAUAUACUUAGAAAAAUUCGAUUAAGUAUUUCAAUCCAUUUGCUUGUACUUCAAAAAACCAAUCCAAGUGUAUAUACUUAGAAAAAUUAGAUUAAGUAUUUCAAUUCAUUUGCUUGUACUUCAAAAAAUUUCAAUUGUUCAAAAAAUUUAGAUUAAGUAUUUCUAAUUCAUUUGCCAAUGACACAGAUGAUUGCUAGGAAGGAAAGACUCGUCGAUACCGAAGUUUUCAGGGCAAUACAAGAACAAUUAUGUGGAGUUUUUCUAGAAGAGGUCGCAAAUCCUGAGGGGAGUUUCGCCAUGAUGGAUCUCAGCUAGUGCACAAACCGGACUCGAGUUCAGAAUAGUAAAUACGAUAUGUGUAUGCACAAUAUGUGUAUAUAUAAAUAUGUAUAAUAUUAUUCAUAUAUGUGUAUGCACAAUAUGUAUAUAUAUAUAAUAUUAUCUCAAACGUUAUAUUAAAGAUAAAUAGAACUUACAUAUAUUAGCGUAUUAGAACCAGUAUACAUAAUGGAAACAAAUACAAAAUAGGAAUAUACAAUAAAGGAACGUAAAAUAAGAAAAGAAAGGGAAAACACAUUAGUACUAGUUACCAACCGGUACGAAUGAGCCCCCCCCCUCCCCCCGCGUGGGAAGCCCUUUAGUACCAUUUGAUGUCCCCAACAAGUACUAAAGGGUCCCCCUCUAGUACCGAUUGGCCAGUACCGGUUGCGCAACCGGUACUAGAGGGGUUACUGACCGGUACUAGACGUCAUUUUUCCAGUAGUGACUUCCAAGCCUGACCCUGCCACAUGGUGGGAGGAAAUUAAAGGAGUGUUGCCGAGGGUGCUGAACCAGCUGACAUUGUAGUGGUUGUGCCGGGUAAUACAAACCAAUCAUAAAAAUAAUUAUUUCUAUUUUAAUUGGUGACGCCUAAUGCGUAACUAUGUCACAAUACCCACAUUUGGAGACAGCUAUAGAUGCUAAUUAGUUGUGACAAACCUUGGCGUCUCUUAAUUUUCGUCUACAACAUGAGUCAUAACAGUGAUGUAAAAGUCCCCGUCUCAAAUAUUUCAGAUCAUUGAGGGGGUUUAAGUACAAUCCAUGUUUCUUAUUGAGAUAUCAGAGAAUUGGUUCUGUUAAUCCACAUCAUUACUGCCAAUCGAUAUGAGCGAUCAGGGAAUUAGUACUUCUCCAAUGGCCAUUUAGAGACAUGUUCCUUACAAUCAACGUCUCUGAUAUUGUGCAUACAGACAGUUAUUGUUACUAUACAUGACUCUUGUUUAUUGUGGUAAAGCACGCGAAUUCAUGUAUCCAUCAAUCGUACGUUACAUGCAUCACAGCUAAGCAUGCAUAUAUCGUCAUAGGCAUCACAGACAUGCAGGAUAGGGACAUACGUAGACAUCGAUCGCAAGCUCAUGGUUAAGUUCCAUAGACAACCACAUAAUAUCGAAGUGUUGACAACCACACUAGGUAGUUCAAUAACACUCAGAAUGCGUAAAAGGAAAAUACACUUUGUAUGUGGGAAUACGAAAAGACGAUAGCCAGAAGUAACUUUUAGAUCCAUUGCUAGGAUGGUUGUGUAGACUUGUCGAAUCCUUUCCAUUUGACUACUCACAUGCAUCAUUUGGACUUCGGAUCAAAAAGUUUUGCAUGCUGUCAGAUUCAAAGGGGCUGCUAUAGUAUCGCCCUACAUUAUCCAACUCAAGGCUGCUGCGGUGACCUGAGUCCUAUUUGUUUUCCUCUUUUCUUCUUUUGUUGUUUUUUCCCUAGCCAACCCCAUUUCUUUUUCCCAAACCCUACACCCUCGUUUUCCCCAGUGCCGCCACUCUCCUUCUGCCCGUGAUCCAAAGGGGAGAGAGGGAGAGCAAGAGAAGAGAGAAGAGGAGCCGUUGUCCGUCAUCGUCUUUCCUCUAAAAAAUUUGUUGGACUUCCUUUCCUCUCCCCAUUUUCCCCAAUUGAUUUUCCUUUCCUCGCUGAUCAUGGUAGUGCCGUCACUAGUAGAGAACUGACCUUCCAUCAACCCUCUUUUGUCGCGGUUAAUAUUUGGCCCAUGACUAAAGGUUGACCACCCAGGUCUAAAACUCAGCCACUACCAGGGGGCUCGCCAACCCAGACUAAAGAACCCCUUUAGUCCCGAUUGUAAAGACCAGUGGCCCUAAGGGGCCUUUUCUCCCGGUUGGAAACACCAAUCGGGACUAAUUUAGUCCGGGUUGGUAUUUCCAACCGGGAGAAAAGGCUCCUCCCCUCGUUCCGCGUGCCCCCCUCCACCUCCUCUCUCUUCAUCUCAGACUCUCAAACUUAUCUCCCCCAGGCCCCGGUGCGCCGCUCCCUCCACCUCCACUCUCUCGGACUCUCACGCGCCUUAUCUCCCCCCUCCCCUCCCUCUCCCGCAUGCCCGCCCCCCUCCCCUCCCCUCCCUCUCCCGCUGCCCCCCCUCCACUCCCUCCUGGCACCGCCGCCCCCUCCCUGCUACCCUUCCCCUCCCACCUCUGCUCGCCCAUCACUGGUAGUGAGGAGCGGCAGUGGGGCGAGGUGCAGGGCAGCGCAGUGGCACGCAGAGGAGCAGCAUCUGGCGGCAGCGGGAGUGCAUGGUACAUGCUCUCUCUCUCUCCUCUCCCCCCAUCUCCCUCCCUCUCCCUCUUUUUUUUUGCACAGGUGGCGCACGGGUAGUGGCGGCACCAAGGCAGUGGGAUGAGGUGGUGGGGCCGAGGCAACGGGAUGCGGUGGCGGGGCAGUGGGGCAGCGGGAUGCGGCGGCGGUGUGCGGGAAGCGGCGGCGGCGGCGGCAGUGGGGUAGCGGGAUGCGCGGGCCGAGGCGAGCGGGCAGUGGGGCUGAGGCAGUGGCACGGCCCAGGCGGUGGCGCGGCCGUGGCGAGCGGGCUGGGGGGAGCUUUUUAUUAUUUUCAAAAAAUUUUAGUCCCGGGACUAAAGGACCCCCCUUUUGUCAAGAAAAUUAUAUCCCGGAUGGUUUUUACAGAGAUUUGGCCCCUACCAACCAAGACUAAAGGUGAGUUUUCCACCAAUGUGUCAUGUGGGUUGCAAUUUAGGUGCAAUCGAUGGGGCUGGCAUGAAGUUCAUCGCUAGGGAGAGGAAAACGACCAGGAGUCAUUGUUGGGAUCGCUGCCGUCACCGUUGCCUUGCUGUUUUCAAGGCGAAACCCUAGGUGAGGCAUCCACCGCUGUAAUCCAUGUUUUCCCUAUAGUUUCAGAUGUUCUAGUACAUGUGUGUAGCGUUACUCGACACCAUUAAGGGCUAGGGUAAAGUUUUACUCUCGAUGUUUCCAGCACAUAGUCAAUCUGUGCAGUUUCUAGUAAUGUUCGUUUUACGUCCUUUUAGUAGCUUCAAAAAAAUAAUAAACCUAUAUAUGAGUAUUAGACAUUUUCCAUAGCUUUCCAUAGCCGCAAAGAACUUUGCAAUCAGAGUUAAGAUCAGGGAGAUAUCAGAGUUUGAUUCUGACUAUGACUCGUAACUGUGCGUAGAAUCUGUUCUCUUCAAGGUUAGGAAAACCUAACAAUUGGAUUGGACUUUUUGGUAGUUGGAGAAGUUUUAGAAAAUUUCAUAAGGUUUUCAUCUUGGUUAAGUAUACCUUCAUAUGAAUUUUGGAGCUCCAGAUGUACCUAUUUUACUAGGACUGUUCCGUGGAUGUGUGGGUAGAACUGAAGUCAUGCAUUGCAUUGCAUUGCACCAUUCGCAUUUCAUUAUGAAGUACUAUUGUGAAGUAUUUAUUUAACUUACUACUCGAAGUUAUGUGGUGCACUUUUAUAAUAAUGAUUCUUAAAUUGUUUCUUAAUAUAUUGUGAUUUAAAUGACUUGGUUGAAAUAGUUUGCUUGCUGAGAUUUUCCAUAAACCUCAUACGCUUUUCCUCUCCACAGGUUCUUGAGUUUGGAGAGUGCUUGGUUGGAUGGGAGUAGCAACACGUGUGCACACACUUCUUCAUGUAUAUGUUUUGGACACAUGUGUUGUAAUAUAGAAUGUUUGGUUGUGAUGUCUUUACUUAGCUUAUAAUCUCUUUGAUCCAGUUUCUAAGAUUUUUAUCUAAAUGAUUUAAGUUGCUUCCGUGUGCUCUGUUCUAUUAUCUUUGUUGCUGUUUUUAUGUGUGUGCCUGUAAUAGUUGUAGUGUAGUGUGGUAAUGCUCCAGAAUGUUGCUGAUGUUCUAGAGUGUUACAAAUUCAAAUACUUGAAGAUUUACAUAAAGUGACAGCACAAUGCAAUUGUAUCUUUUCAAAAAGCUGAAUUGGAAUAAUGAAAUUCUACAUUCUUGUUGAUGAUAUCCUGCAUACCUAAAUAGUAUUACUAACUCUUGUCAUUAUAACCUUAAAGCCCAUACAAGCUUAACAUAAGAAUAAAUGGGCCACACACAAUCCUAAAAGUACGGAGGCUAUGAAUCAAAAUGUCAUAUCAAAUUAAGAACACAAACAGUUCAUUCAUAAAAUAACUAGGCACCUGUCAUGAAUGAUAACUCAUUACAAUGACGUUUUAUUCUUUUACGAAGUAUCACAAGCAACCUCUCAACUCCGUGCUAUAUAAAUAUUACAUGUGCGAGUUCCUUAGAAACAACGGGAGGUAAUAAACGAUCCCCAAAUGUGUACGCUAUUAUUCAUAACAUAAUUAUUCAUAACAUCUAUAAUGAUAAUACAUCUUACUCUUCAUUAUAUUCAUUAUUUCAUUGCAGCUGCUUAUCAUUGAAAAAAAGAGUACCAAGCUCGAUGACAAAGAUAUUGAUACUAUUGGUGUAGACAUAGCGAGAUUCAUCCAAUGCGAGAUUUGUCACGACAGAGGUGCAAAAUUUGACCCCGAUGGCGUGUUGGCGACGGAUGAGUGCAAAUCUCUACGUAAUUGGGUAUAGUAGGGAUAUUUAGAGAUGCCAAAGAACAUUUAUAUUCUAAUGCCUGUUGAACCUUAAAUAAUUAUAUUUAUAUGUUAUUAUUAACUACUGUGGAAUAUUUAAUAUUUUGAAAACUUAUAUAUCAUUUAUGGUUGUUUUUCAUCAUAUGUGGUUGGAGAUACAUAUUUCAAUUUGGCGAGCAAUAUCAUUACAAAAUUGACAGGAGGCAAUAAAAAAUUAGUGGGAAUUUUCAGAUAUUCGAAUGGGCAAAGAUCAUGUGCCGGCGGGCAUCAUAAACCAAUCUGUACUGGUGGGCAUCAUAAGUCGCUAGCCAGUGCAAAUCCGUAUGAGUUGGCGGUUGCGCAGUCACCAACUCAAAUAUUUUCUGGCAUAGUAUUGGCUUUUGUAUAUUAGUACUUUGUUAACGUAAUAUACGGCAAAUAAAACAAGGCUCUACAUUACUUCUAAAAGCCCAGAACAGUACUCAAUGAAGAUUUCCUAGACUCACAAACUGUUCCCAAAAUCACCCAAAUAAUCCUGAAGCAUGCGAAUGUUGCCUGAGUCGGAGGGAGGUGUGAAGAUUUAGUGAAAGAGUGAUAAGAAACUAAUCAUGCAUGGCUGCAGUGAAGCUAAGUCAACCGUGUAAGGCCUUGAUCAAGUUGGUACCCAUUCUGAAUUGUAUACGUACUUCAAUAAUAAAAUCCAUUGGGGAUUGUCACGUGACGAAAUAGAGCAGGAGCAAGUGUGAUAAAAAGAAUUACCUUAAGUCUCUGUAAGGAAAAUGAUAAAUAAAUCAUGAGUGUCUCAGAUCCUUGGCACCCUCGAUAGUGUUAACGCAGUGAUCGUUUGCCUCUAUUCUAUAUAUACUAGUACUUAGAGGUACACUGCAGAGCAAAUUGAGCAAAACAAAGCUGCACACCAUGAAGAGGCGGAGCCUUGCUUUGGCAGCAACCGCUGCUGUCAUCUUCUUCUUCUUCAUGACGGCAUUCCCAGCGUGCGCAGCCGUCGUCGAGCACACCUUCGUUGUAAGCAUGCUGCUCCUCCAUGGUUUUGAUCCUCAUUAUUAACCCGUUCUUAUUUUUGACAAUGAAACCACAAUGUUUAUAUAUUUCUAUACAUUUUGAUUUGUUGAAAUAUGUACAUAUGUAGGUGAGCCACAUGAAUAUGACGCACUUGUGCAAGGAAACACGGGUUAUGGUAGUGAAUGGGCAGCUCCCUGGGCCAGCAAUAGAGGUCACGGAGGGAGACUCGGUGGUCGUUCAUGUAGUCAACAAGUCACCCUACAACAUGACAAUCCAUUGGUAAUCAAUUAAGUACUGGUCAAUUACUCAAAUGAUUAUUCCUUUGCUCCAACGAAAAAAAUCCUACCAAUUAAACCUGAAAGUGUAGAAUUUUAACAACUUAUAUGUGGAUCCUAUUGGUGGGUCUCGAGUAAACCAUGUAUUGAUUUAAGUCCUACUGAUGUUGUUUGUAAAAAUUGGUUUGUUUUGGAGCCUUCUUUUUGUAGGCAUGGAGUAAAGCAACAGCUCAACUGCUGGGCUGAUGGCGUGCCGAUGAUUACCCAGCGCCCCAUCCUUCCAAAUAAUAACUUCACCUACCGGUUCGAUGUUUCGGGGCAGGAAGGUACCCUGUGGUGGCAUGCUCAUGUUCCCUUAAUCCGUGCAACAGUGCAUGGCAUCUUGAUCAUCAGGCCAGGGCAUGGGGCCGUCUCCUAUCCAUUUCCUAAGCCUCAUAAGGAGAUCCCCAUAAUCAUAGGUUUGUGCGUGUUCAGCAUUUGAGAGAGUUUUACUAUAAACGUCCAGUUUUCAUAACGUUUUUGUAUUGGACAUCGUUUGGACAAAGAUUUGAAUCAAACGGUCCUGUUAUUUAGAAAAAUGAGCUAUUUUCCAUGCGUCAUGCAUAUGGUUGCACAGAACUAGCAGACGUGCCACAUCUUUUACGCAAUGCUCUGGCUGAACUAUUGUUGUUUUGUUCCUGUUGAUUGCAGGGGAGUGGUGGAGUGAAGACAUUGCACAGGUGGACACAACCGUCUCUUACAACAGUGCGUCCACAAUCAAUGGCAAGCUUGGAGAUCUCUACAACUGCUCUGGUAACCAAAUUGCUACAUUAAUAUAUGGCCACAUCGACACAAACAUCUUUUAUUAAUUCUGUAGUCCUCACGGAUUCAACUUUGAAGGCGCCAUGGAACAGGGCUAUAUGAUGGAGGUGGAGCCCGGCGAGAUCUACCUCCUCCGAGUAAUCAACGCUGCGCUCCUCUCUGAAUACUACCUCAAGAUAGCUGGGCACAAGUUCACUGUGGUUGCUGCUGAUGCCAACUACGUCAGCCCUUAUACGACGGACAUCAUUGCAAUUGCUCCAGGCCAGACAUUCGACGCCCUUGUGGUUGCCGAUGCGUCUCCUGGCAGAUACUACAUGGUCGCCCUGCCCAACCAGCCUCCAAAGCCUGACUUUCAGAGCCCGGUCUUGCCCUCUAGAGGCAUACUGCAGUAUAGCAACGUAGCAGGAGGAAGUCAGUCCGGUGAUGUUCCAAUGUCACCGGAGAUGCCUGAUAACCACAACAAUAUGCUAUCAUUCUACUUCCAUGGCAACCUUACCAACUUGCACCACCCAAGACACCAGCCAGUGCCAGAGCGAAUCGAUGAACGCAUAUUCAUAACGCUUGGCCUUGGCUCUGUUUGUCGGAAUGGACGCCAGUCUUGCAAGAGAGGUGACAAUAGCUUGGAGAGCCUCAUUGUGGCAACAAUGAAUAGCAUGUCCUUCCUGCUCCCCAAUGUAUCGACAGCACUGCUAGAAGCCCGCUAUUACAACACCAGCAACAUGGACUGGCUCCAAGAACUCCCUGACGUGCCACCGCGGGUGUUCAAUUUCACUGACCAUUCCUUGAUCCCAGCAGGACCCAAGGAGGAAAAGCUAGAGCCGUCGUCCAGGGCUGCAUUGGCACGGCGAUUCCGUUAUGGAGCUGUUGUUGAGGUCGUGUUCCAGAGCACGGCAUUGAUGCAGAGCGACUCCAACCCGAUGCACCUGCACGGACAUAACAUGUUCGUGCUGGCACAGGGGCACGGCAACUAUGACAUGGCAAGGGAUCUGGCAAGGUACAACCUGGUUAAUCCCCCAGUUGUGAAUACUGUGCUCGUGCCACGGCUUGGAUGGGUGGCUGUCCGAUUUGUCGCUGACAAUCCAGGUGCGUACAUGAUUUAUUUAUUUUGCCAAGGAAGAUACAGUUAUGCAGUACAUGAUUACUCUAUCUUUUUCCGGCAUAAGAUGUGUGAAUAACUAUCCUACCCUAUAUGAUGUUCAAAUUUUGACUUGCAUGCACGAGGGUUAAAAGGUUCAAAAGCCACGUGCCAAUGCAAUAACUUUGUUUACUUUCACCAUUUGUCAUGGCUCAAGUCUUAAUUGCUACUCAAGAGUUCUUUAAUAACUAUUAGAGUGCCAUCUUAGUGCAAGUCCAAAAUUCAACUUCUUUUCCUGUCCAUCUUAGUUCUUUAAUAAUCUGCUAGAUGCCCUUUGUUUUAUUGGUUUCAACCAAACGUUCUAUGGACCAAUCCAAACUUUUCCAACAUGCCUUCUCUUUAAUACAUAUUCAGAACAACAUUAAAAUUGAAAUAUAGAGAAAUUGUAUACAAGCGUAAACACCACAUGGUCCAAUCUAAAAUUUCCUUUUACACCCGUUUUGAGAGUAUGAGUUGAGAAAAUUCUAAAAACUUACUUCAGAAUAAAUGGAAAGGAAGAAAGGGGUAUGCUUAGUAUCAACAAUAAAAAUUCACCUGAACUUCAUAAGUAUUCUACAACUUUUCUAGAAGAAAAUAUUUUAUGAUUCUUGCUCCUGUACAAAAUUAUUUACUUAUUACAAUUAACCUAUGGAUUUCUUUAGACAUGAACUUUAUUUUUCAGUUGUAGCUAGGGUAACCCAAGAUCUAAUUCUUUCGUUUUUGUGUAUAGGGAUAUGGUACAUGCAUUGCCACUAUGAGUUCCAUCUAACAAUGGGCAUGGUAGCAUUGUUCAUUGUCGAGGACGGACAAACAACGAACACAUCGCUCCCUUCACCGCCAGCGGACAUUCAGGCAUAUGGCAAUGCAAAUAAUCUCAUGCCAGACAAAUACUACCUUCAGAAUGAGGAAAGAUGACUCCGGUUAUUAUGAGCCUUCCAAUAAAAGAAACAAACUUUUGAGCUAUGCGAAGUAUUAUUGAGAAAAAAAAAAUUGAAAAUGUAGCUGACCCAUUGUUUCAUUAGGAUGUUUUCAGGAUGCGUCCGAACUUGCUAUAAUAUUUUUUUCCACGGUCUCUUUAAACUUUGAGUUCACCAGAUUUUCUUAGACUUUUCUGGUAUUGUUUCUAUUUAUUUGGUUUCAAAAUUUUUGAAAUACUAAAUCAAGAAGGAUUUGGAUCUAUCCUUAACACAAGAAACCUCUUGAUUUGGGAAUUCGAUCCACACGUGGGAAGUAAAUUAUUGCUGCUAAAAAAACGAAAAAGACUAAAGGGUUUAUGGUGGUUUAAAAGUACUCGUGGGUACUCGUCGGUACUUCAAGGUACUUUCUUUGUUUCCACUGUCCCAUUGAAAAAAUAAAAAUAAAUUUAAGGACUAUUUUUUGAUGCUUCAUCCCACCAAUUUGGUACUUCUCAUUAGGUACUUCAAAGAUACUUUAUUUGUUUCCACCGUUAGAUUUCUCGGGAUGGAGGGCUCUUAUUUUUUCCAAUCAUUCUAAAAUUUCUCAAGAAGAAAGUAUUUAACUGGAAGAAGGUAACAAUGUGGCCCUACAGUGAUGGGUAGUCCUCCGUACUGUUUGGGUAGGGUUUCAUGGUUUCACACUACUAUUAGAACUGGUGGUGAAAACAAGUAUUACUGCCAGUUCCAAACCUACUACCGCCACCUCCUAAUAUGAGGCGUUGGUGAUGGCUUUGUAACUCGGACUCGAAUUUUUUUAUCAUCCUGAUUUUGACCAACUCUCACGUCCGCUCCUCUCUCUCUCUCUCACUCUAAUCGGUCGCCCCCACCCCUCUCUCUACCCCCCUCCUCCGCUUCUCUUUCUCACUCUUAUCUGCUCCCCCCCCGGCACCUACUCUCUCUCCCUCCGCCCGCCUCUCUCUUCCACUUUUAUCAUGUCACUCCCUACACUUCCCUCCACCGAUAGCUACCGAUCAGGCUUGCUCUGCCACCCCUCCCACCCCCCUCCGCUCGUCCUCAAUGGCAGUGAGGAGUGGUGGCGGGGUGAGGCGCGAAGGCAGUGCUAGGGUGGGGUACCGGUGAGGGGAAGCAGUGGUGGCGCAGGGGAGCAGUGGCACGGGUGUAGCAGCGGCAGCGUUGGGGUGGAGAAAUGGCAGGAGCAGAUCCAGCGGCGGCGGUGGCUCAGCGGCUGUGGCGGAUCCCCUCUCCCUUCCCCAGCCGGAUCCCCUCUCCUCUCUCUUCUGGUUGGAUCCCCUCUCCCUCCCUUGAAUCUGUCAGGCGGUGAUGAGUCCUGAACUCUUGGUAAGCCUGACUCCCUCUCUUUCUAUGUGUGUGUGGGGGGGAGGGGGUGGGUGGCUUUUGCGGCAGCGGUGGUGUCUGGGCAUCCGUCGGGGUGUGGUGCGGGGCCAAGCCUGCCGAUGGCCGGCAGUGAGCGUCGUGGCGACGACCGACGGGACAUGGGGCCCAAUUUUUUUUCGUUUUUUGUUUUUGAAAAAGGUUAUCACCGCCAGUUGAUGCCCUCCCCUAUCACCACCGACCCUAAUCCGACGGGAGGCUAGGCCAGCGGUGAUGGGGGGUUGGGGGCCAGCGGUAAUAGUGAUAUGUGUAGUAGUAUUAGGUUACCAUGCUACUGCAGAUAGAGGGAUGGCCAGGGCCCAAGAAAUUAACCUUGAAAAUACAGCUAUAUCAAAGGCCAUCGAGGGCCCAAGAAACCAUAGUGAAAGCAGCAGCCACAGAGCAACUAGGCACGGCAGUGAUGUUGUUAGUAUGUAUUUUGUGUGUAGCCUGUUAGAGCAUGAUGUUAGAUUCAAUUAGCCUUUAGGCUAUACAGGAAUCUAAUUUUGCAUGCUAGAGAUUAUGGUUGUAGAAGAGAAGGGAGUACAGUUGCAGGUGGAGUUAUACAGUUGGAAUUGCAUGGAUAGCACUUAUUCUUUAGGCAUUGGGAUUUUGUGAAAGUCAAAAUGGAAUUAGCAAAACUAGGCUGAAGCGUUCAUGCAUCGGCUAGCUCAUGAAGAGCAGCAAAGGUGACAAGUCAAGUAUUGUGUACAUGGAACUUCAUGUGCGUCGGCUACAAGGUCGCGGUGUAUUAAUGGGAUACUCAUCAAGAUGGAGUUUGAUAAAAGAAAUGUGUUGAGUAUAUGUACGAGUCCAAUUAUGAUGCUAGUUUUGUAUUAGUGGUACAUUGUAGAGUUCAUAUUAAUCUUUUUAACUUGGUCUUCCACAUAAAUAAAAGAAUCAGACUGCUAUUGUAACCAUGGCAGCAUAUUGAUAUGUUUGCAGGAGGAACUGGCCCAAUGCCGGGACCUUAAGUAGGCGAGAUGUUGGUUUUGGUUGAACCUCUUCAAUAGAUGUCACAUUCUCAUGUCAUCUUAGAUCUUGCAAGUUCGUCUUGAUAGGUCUUUCGUUAGUGGUGGUUAGCAGACGACAUGUCGCUACGACAACUAACACUAAGGAAGAAGUAUCAGAGCAACGGUCAGAAAAUAUGGUGACACAAGGAGCCUGUGAGCAAGAGAGAGAAUAGGGAGGUGGGCUGCUGGUGGGCUUGAUUUUUGUCACACCUGGUUUUAAAGGCAAAACCAGAUGAUUAUCAUAUGUGUGCUAGGAUCAAGUUUCACACAUACGAUAACUUCAGUAAAUAUCAAAUACAAUAUUAUAAUGUAAAGAGAGAGGAUUACAUAGAUUACACAACCAGAAAUGAGAUGAAAAUCUCUAAUAUAAGCAGCGGAUCUCCAACAACUGCACAUGCAGUUGAUUGGGGAAAACAUACGCCUAGCAAUUCUUCAAAAUCUUCAAUAGAUUUUUCUUGUACUGAACAAUUGAUAUAGCAAGUGUGAAUACACUUAUGGUUGGCACUCAGCAUGUGUGGGGAAUUGUGUAGUGUAAAGCCAUUCAAGGAUAGGCUAAAGUUUUAAUAGCAGUUCAGCUUUUUAUUUGGUUGGUCAAAUUUUAUUAGUAAUUACUACAUGUAAGUUUGUACCACCCACAUUAACGUGAACAUGAACACAGAUAACAUAAAUAAAUAAUAGCAAUUUAAUUUUGUUUUUCGAUAAUUUAAUCAUGUGAGGGUCCAGGCCACUCUUGACCGUGAGCACAACUAAUAUAUCAGUUUUACACUCUACAGAGGUUGUACACUUUCACCACAAGUCGCGUAAAAGUUCAGAAAAACUUUGUACCCAACCAUGUUGUGCAAAAGUAGUCACUUAUCACACUACCAAGGUGUGAUUUUAUAGGGACGCUACGAGGCCAUUACAACGAUUCCCUAAAAAGUGAUAACUUGCUAAGAUUUCCUCAUAAGGGGAUGAACCCUCCCCCAAGUGGUGCGAACACCCCUUGGCUGGACAAGCCAUCGCACAAUCUAUGAGCCCCUCUUGCCCUUCCGAUAAGACUAUCACAAACUAGGGUCUCUAAUUAAUUAGCCAAGACAACAGCCAUAUAGUUCUCAUGGUUGUACUGUUUUUCUGGGUGGUUCUCCAUGUUCCUAUUAAACCUAAUGGUCUUGUAUUAAAGAAAGGUAUAACAUCCAAAAAUCAAGAUUGAUAAUUGAGUUCAUUAAUACCACCACAUCCCUGUUGAGCAACUAAGCAUGUACUACCCAACAUUAUGUAAGCACAGGUUGAUCGAGGUGUAUGGAAUAAAACUAGGCAAUCUUUAAUUAAGUCCCAUCAUGUUUAUGACUUAAGGUGCAUGGCAUAAAUGUUAUUGAACAUGAAAGUAAAUGUUCUUAGCAUCAAGCUGCGGUCAAGGACACGACUUGCCUUCUUGCACUUGCUCCGGCUGCUCAUAGUCUUCAAGGUCUUGAGCUUCAAAUCCAUCGAGCAGCAAUCCUUCUAACGCGAUCAAACGAGCACAUACAAGCAAAUAAAAGAAAUAAAAUAAGAAACCGUAUACCAAAAAGUGUAAAUAGAGAAAAAAUAGCACAAAAAGUUAAUCUGCAAGGGCUAAAUAUGCAAAAUGCAUCAUAUCUUCUUCCUUUGGUUUGAUCCACCAAUGACCGCAUACUUGCCGCCGACGGUGGCCGGGACCGGGGAAAGGGGAGCGCGCAACUGCAGCUAGGCCUCGGCGGUGGUGCAGCGCAUGCCAGGGGCGCAUGUGGUGGUGGAGCGGCGGCAGCACGUAGGGGCUUCGAUGUGGGGCAGGCCGGCGGCGCGGCUAGGCGAGGGGUGCGAGGUGUACAUGCUCUGAAAAUUUUGAGGCAUUAUGUCCUUGGAACUAAAUUUUAGAUUUAUACUGACCAUAAGAGUCUCAAGUAUAUCUUCACUCCAAAGGACCUUAAUCUGAGAUAGCGACGUUGGUUAGAGCUCAUCAAAGAUUAUGAUUUGGAAAUUCACUAUCACCCUAGUAAAGCCAAUUUGGUUGCAGAUGCCUUGAGUCGGAAAGGUUGCGUUAAUCUAGCCUUAACAUUUCAAUUGCCUGAAGAGUUGAUGAAGGAAUUUGAGAAGCUUUACUUGACUAUAGUUGCUCAUACUGAAGGAGUAACUAUGGAAGUGGAGUCGACUUUAGAGCAAGAGAUAUGAAAAGGACAGCUUGAGGAUGCCAAGAUCAAGGAUAUUAAGAAGUUGGUGAAGGAAGGAAAAGCCUUGGAUUUCACAAAGGAUGCGCAGGGAACUUUAUGGAUCGAAGGGAGAAUUUGUGUACCGGAUGUGGGAAAUCUCCGAGAAACGAUUUUGAGAGAAGCUCAUGAUUCAGCUUAUUCUAUACACCCCGGAAGCACUAAGAUGUAUCAGGAUCUCAACAAAGGUAUUGGUGGCCCGGAAUGAAGAGAGACGUAGCUGUCCGUGUAGCUCUUUGUGACAUAUGCCAAAGGGUCAAAGCUGAACACCAGAGGCCAGAUAGAUUGCUUCACCCGUUAAAGGUGCCCGAAUGGAAGUGGGAAGAAAUCGGUAUGGACUUUAUAGUCGGAUUGCCCCAUACCCAAGCUGGUUAUGACUCAAUUUGGGUGAUUGUGGACAGGUUGAUGAAGGUAGCACACUUUAUACCUGUGAAGACCACCCAUUCAGGGGCAAGAUUAGCAGAGUUGUAUAUGUCGAGGAUUGUGUGUUUGCACGGGGUUCCCAAGAAGAUAGUGUCCGAUAGAGGUACUCAGUUCACGUCUCGUUUCUGGCAGAAAUUGCAUAAAUCUCCGGGUACAAGAUUAAAUUUCAGUUCAACUUAUCAUCCUCAGAUAGAUGGGCUGACUGAGAGCACAAAUAAGAUUCUGGAGGAUAUGUUGAGAGCAUGCGCAUUAAAGCAUGGAGGCAGUUGAGACAAGAGUUUGCCCUAUGUAGAGUUCUCUUAUAAUAACAGCUAUCAAGCCGGUCUCAAGAUGUCACCGUUUGAAGCUUUAUACGGGACAAAAUGCAGAACCCCUCUUUAUUGGAAUGAGAUGGGAGAGAAUCAAUUGUUUGGGCCAAAAAUCAUUCAAGAAGCAGAAAGGCAGGUUCAAAUCAUUAGGGAGAAUUUAAGGACAGCCCAAUCUCGGCAGAAGAGCUAUGCUAACACCAAGAGAAGUGAAUUGACCUUUAAGGAAGGUGAUUAUGGGUAUUUCAAAGUCUCGCCCAUCAGGGGUAUGUGCAGGUUCAAGGUUAGGUUGUCACCUCGCUUCAUUGGACCUUUCAAAAUUCCUGAGAGAGUGGGACAGGUAGCUUACCGAUUGGAGUUACCUAAUCAGCUAUCAAAUGUUCAUGAUGUGUUCCAUAUCUCACAACUCAACAAGUGCCUUAGAGUUCCAGAGGAACAGUUGUCAAUGGAGGAAUUGAAUGUUCAGGAUGAUCUCACUUAUACGGAACAUCCUGUCAGGAUCUUGGAUACCUUUGAAAGGGUUACCAGGAACCGGGUGAUCAAGAUGUGCAAGGUGUAAUGGAGACACCAUACAGAGGACGAGGCAACUUGGGAAAGAGAGGACGAGCUAAAGAAGGAAUUUUCCCAUUUCUUUGCAGAAUCAUCUGAAUCUUGAGAACGAGAUUCUUCCUAAGGGGGUAGGAUUUGUAACACCCAAAAUCGCUAACCUUGCAUUUUACUAAAAUUUGAUAGAAACAAUUUUGCAUGUUUAAGGCAUAUCAGGUUGUUUUGCAUUUUUCUAGGCAUUUAAGCAUUUUCUAAAACAACUUAAUGAAACAUAGGAAUUUAUUUGCGCAUCCAUGCCGCUGCAUAGUUUUCAUCUUGUUUGCUUGGUUUCGAGUUUGUGUUUUGCUUUUGGUGGCUGAUCUCCUAUUCUGUUAAAUUGGCUAGCUGUUUUCAGUUUCAGUGUUUCUGUCAGUCGGCAGUUCUUCAGUUUCAUCUCCGGUUCUGUUUCUGUCUUGUUCAAUUCAGCUGGCGAGUUUUCAGAUUGGCAACAUUAGCUAGCGGCAGUCCAACCCGCAGCCUAGGCUGAUUCUCGCUUUCCGGUUCAGCACCAAGCAGCCGCAGCUGCUGGCCUUCGACCUGUUUUUGCUUCCCUCGCGCCAGCUCUUUCGGCCCAGCAGGCUUGGCCCGUUUAUCCUUGCACGGGCCCAGCUUCCAGCAGUGGCCUGCUCCUUUUUGCCGGCCUGCUCGCACGCUCUCCCACCCUCUCUCGUUGAGCCGUGGGGCCCACGCAUCAUCCCCCUCCUUCCGCCCAGCUCCUGCACGCACACAAGCACUGGAUCCGACUCGGACCAAGCUCGAGUCCAAGCUAGACACGCCCUCUGCCGCGUCCGCCUCCGGUUUGGCCCGCACGCCAAGGCUUACAAAAGCGGCUGCCUCCUCUUUUCCGCUCCCAAAAAACCCUAACCAUCUCGCGUCUCCCCAUGCGUCGCCAUCCAAGCUUCUUUGCGCCGCCGUCCGCCCGUGCUCGAUCUACGCCACCGUCGCCUCUCGUCGCCGCUGACUCCGCACGAAGGUCCGCAAGGGGUUGACGAGACCGCCCAUGGAGUUUUUGUGCUCGCCUGUGCCUUUUCCUGCUCGCCCAAGCUCGCAGGAGCUACGCCAUUGCCGCUGGGCUUUGCGCCGCCACCACCACAGCGAAAGCCACCCCAGCGGCAUCCUAAACGAGUCCACCGCAAGCUUCUCUACCUCCUAGUCAGCUUCGUGUCCAAAACUCGCGCCAGAUGCGCUUUGCCGGCCGCACGCCAGCGACUCGCCGCCGCUAGCGGCGCCGCACACGUCGCCAGCCGUCAGAUGAUGAUCCGACAGCUCAACCAUGUCUCUUUUGCAAAUGAGCCCCUAUAGUUUUCUCUUUUUACACAUGAGUUCUUCCGCAGUUCAAAAAUAUUUAGAUUUUAGUCCUGUUUUUUCUGUUUUAGACCCUGAGCUUCUGCACAAUAGCACCCUCAGUCCAUAGCUGCUCUUUUACAUGUUAAACCUUCGAUUUAUACGUGUAAUUGUGUUUAGGCCCUCGUUUUCUUGCAGGCAAGCCCCUAAAAGUUUGGUUUCCUCACAGAUAGGCCCUUGCAGCUUGUUUUAAGUGUACCUUUUCCAUCCUAGCUCCGUUUUUAGCGUUCUUUUUGUCCACGCAUUCUUUUCGACACAUAGAAGAGUUUUGUAACCUUGUUUUCUUCUGUUUUCAUUGAUUGGUGUACUCUUUUCUCAGUUUAUGCUUUUGUUUGCUUGUAUGUGCUUAUGUGACGCGUGUAGAAGGAUAGCUGUUCGAGGGGUAUGAGGAGCAAGCUUUCGAAGAGUACGAGCAGUAGGAACAAGUUCAAGAAGGCAUGUCAUGUCCUUGAUCACAACUUUAAGUCCCAUUACACCUUUACUUUCAUGUUCAACACAACUUUCGCUACGCACUUGAUAGUAUAAUCAUGAUGAGUCCCAAUUAAGGUUUUCCUAGUUUUAUACCAUGUACCUUGACCAACCGGGUUUACUUUGCUUUACAUGGGCUAAGGUGGUUCUGAUGAAAUCAAUGAUUAAACUUGUUUUAUUUAUGCUAUACCUUUCACUAAUACAAGACCACAAUGCUUAAAUUGAACAUGGAGCGACCACCUAGGAAAAACGUACAACCACAUGGACUAUCAUGGGUUUGGUCUUGGCUAAAUAAUUGGAAACUGUAGUAUGGGGUAAUCUUAUCGAAAGGGCAAGAGGGUUAUGCUCUGGUUAAUGGGGUAUAGCACCGGUCCUCUUAGGAAGUGGGCUUAGCUAAGACACUGUACCCAAUAGGGAGGGUUAUGCUCUACUUCGACCUAAAACAUUAGCAGGUUACCACUUGCUAGCGAAUCUUUGUAAAUGCCUCGUAGCGUCUAUAUGCAAUCACACCUCAAAAGUGUGGUAUGGUGCCUUGCAGACACCACAUGGUUGGUUCAAAGUCUUUAAACUUUUACGCGACUUGUGGGUUAAGAUGUGCAACCUCUACAUAGUGUAAAACUGAUCGAUCAGCCGUGCUCACAGUUAAGAGCGGCCUAGACCCUCACAUGAUAAAAUUAUCAAAAUUAUCAAAAGAUGGACUUAAAUCGCUGUUGUUUAUUUAUGGUUAUACUGUUAUAUCUCAUUUAUGCUUCUGCUUAAUUAUGGGUGGUAUAAACUUUCAUUUAGUUAAUUGCUAAUAAACUCUGACCAACUAAUUAAAAGCUGAUGCUGAUUAAACCUUAGCCAUACCUUGGUUAGCCUUACACUACACUAUUCUCCAUGACUUGUUGAUUACCGACCAUAAGUGUACUCACCCUUGCAAAACCACUUUUCAGACCAAGUGAAUCCUGAGGAGUAUCUGCAAGACUUUGAGAAGUUCUAGGCGUACGUUUCUUCAGUCAGCUGCCUGUGGUGUCGUCGCUACCUUUGGAGUUUCGCUGCGUAAUAAUUAGACUUUAUGGUUUAUUUGAGACUUUCGGUCACGUAAUAAUGGUUAAUACUCUCUUUAUUCAUUUUGGCGCUAUCUUUGAUAUUCACUUAUGUCGUACAUGUGUGUAACUUGAUCCUAGCGCACAUAUAUUCAAUGCACGUGGUUUUGUCCUUAAAACCGGGUGUGACAACCGGGGAAGGGGAGCGUGCGGCUGCAGCUGUGCCUCGGUGGUGGUGCAUCGACAGCGUGUAGGGGCUUUGGUGUGGGGCAGGCCGACAGCGUGGCCAGGCGAGGGGCAUGAGGUGGCGGUUCGGGCACGGGCGGUGCACAGGAUGGCGGCGGGUAGCAGCACGGCGCAGCUCGGCGGUGGGCGGGGCGGCCAUGGCCAUGGAGUUGACCGGAACAUUAAAAUAAAGAGAGAGAGAAAAGGGGAAACACCGGGAUGACCUCCAAACUUGCACGAAAGUGUCAAAACGGAUUGAGGAUGAUGAGAUGAAUGCGUUGGUGCGCUCACCUUCCAUCGAGGACUAACGGUUUCGCUGGAAUUCUCGCAGGAAAGUCUGCCGGAUUUUAACAGAUGCGUAUCUUUGGCAUCGAACUGCGGGAGCUAGGGUUGUCGAAAAGAGAUGGGGUUUGUGGCGUUGGAAACAGAACAUCAAGGAGAUCACCAAAAAGUAUUUAUAGCCCCAAUUGGAGUCUGAAUUUAUUUUCCUCUUUUUCUAAUUUCAGGAAUUAAUUUCGGAUUUGAAAACAAUUCUAGAAAAUCCUGAAAUCAUAAUUCAAUCACGAAAAAUACUCUGAAAGCUCUGAAAAUUUCAUAAAACUUCCUAGAGAUGAUAUGGGACACGAGGAAUGCAAAUAAAUACUUGGCCCUCCUGGAAAGACUUGUAGAACCGUCCAACAAAUUGGAUUAAGCUCUAGGAAACUGAGAAUAAAUUCCAUAAAAAUAUGGAAAAUUCUUGGAGGAACCUAAUCAUCAUCUAAUCGUAUUUUUAAACUAUUUCACACUCAAGGAAUAAGAAAUGCAACCAGCAUGAAUGCAAUAGACUUAAACCUAUGUUUCAUUAAGUUAAUUUUAGAAAAGGAUUUUUAAUGCCUAAUAAAUUCAUAGAGAAACCUUAAGGCCUUAAACGAACUGAAAGAAAUUCUAGAGAAAUUAUAAUUAAUUUUUUAUUAACUGCAAUAGAUGAAAAAUUAGGGUUUUACAAACCUACCCCCUUAAAAUGAAUCUCGUCCUCGGGAUUCGGAUGGGUUGGCAAAGAGUUGAGGAAAUUCUUCCUUCAACUCAUCUUCUCGUUCCCAUGUAGCUUCAUCUUCUGAAUGAUGACUCCAUUGUACCUUGCACAUCCUAAUUACCUUGUGUCCUUGUAACCCAUGCUAAAGUAUCCAAGAUCUUGAUCGGAUAUUCAGUGUAAGUGAGAUCAUCCUUUACAUUUAAAUCCUCCAUGGGUAAUUGUUCUUCUGGAACUCUGAGGCACUUCUGUUGCUAAGAGAUUUGGAACACAUCAUGCACAUCUGAGAGUUGAGUGGGUAACUCCAACCGAUAAGCUACCUCUCCCAUUCUCUCUAGAACUUUAAAGGGUCCAAUAAAGCAAGGCGACAACUUUCCUUUAACCUUAAAUCUGCGCAAACCUCUGAUAGGUGACACUUUAAGAUACACAUAAUCACCUUCCUCAAAGGUCAAUUCUCUCCUUCUAGUAUCAGCAUAACUCUUUUGCUUGGAUUGUGCUGUCCUUAGAUUUUCUCUGAUUAUCUGCACUUGCCUUUCGGCUUCUUGGAUGAUUUCUAGCCCAAAUAAUUGACUCUCUCCUAUCUCACUCCAAUGUAGAGGAGUUCUGCACUUCCUUCCAUAUAGAGCCUCAAAGGGUGACAUCUUGAGACUCGCUUGGUAUCAGUUGUUAUAAGAAAACAUAGCAUACGGCAAACUCUUAUCCCAACUACCUCCAUGUUUUAGAGCGCAUGCUCUCAACAUAUCCUCCAUAAUCUAAUUUGUCCUCUCAAUCUGUCCAUUUGUCUGAGGAUGAUAAGCUGAGUUGAAAUUCAACUUUGUACCUCUAUUCAUGCAGAUUUAGCCAAAAAUGGGAUGUGAACUGAGUACCUCUAUCAGACUCUAUCUUCUCGGGUACCCCAUGCAAACACACAAUUCUAGACAUAUACAACUCUUCCAACUUGGACCUAGUAUAGGUGGUCCUUACCGGAAUGAAGUGAGCUACCUUAGUCAAUCGAUCUACUAUGACCCAUAUUGAAUCAUAUCCAUCUCAAGUGCGGGGUAAACAAACGAUGAAAUCCAUACUGAUUUCCUCCCACUUCCAUUUAUCCACCUUUAAUGGUUGAAGCAAUCUAGCUGGUAUUUGGUGUUCAGCCUUUACUCUCUAACAUAUAUCUUAGAAGGCAACAUAUGCAGCUACAUCCCUCUUCAUUCCAUACACCAAUACUUCUCCUUGAGAUCUUGGGACAUCUUGGUGCUGCUAGGAUGGAUAGAAUAGGCUGAGUCAUGAGCUUUCCUCAAUAUGGUGUCUCUGAUCUUUUCCACAUCCGGUACACAAAUCCUCUUUCUAAACCAUAUAGUUCCUUGAUCAUCCUCUGUAAAAUCUAGAGCUUUUCCUUCUUCCAUGAGUUCCUUAAUCUCCUUGAUCUUAGCAUCCUCAAGUUGUCCUUUCUGUAUCUCCUGCUCAAGAGUUGAUUCUACUUCCAUAGCAUAUUGGCAUGAUCAACCCUUCAGCCAUAUUGGCAUGACCCUUUCGACUCACGGCAUCUGCCACCAAGUUUGCUUUACCAGGAUGGUAAUGAAUUUCCAGAUCAUAGUCUUUGAUCAGCUCCAACCAACGGCGCCGUCUCAAGUUAAGAUCCUUUUGAUUGAAAAUGUAUUUCAAACUCUUGUGGCCAGUGUAGAUCUGGCACUUGGUUCCAAGAACAUAAUGCCUCCAAAUCUUCAAGGCAUCCACCACUGCUGCGAACUCCAAAUCUUGAGUAGGGUAAUUCUUCUCAUGUUUCCUCAACUACUUGGAGGCAUAGGCUAUAACAUGUCCUUCUUACAUAAGAACAUAGUCUAAGCCCUGUCAGAAUGCAUCACAAUAGAUGUCAAAACAUUUCAGCAGAUCUGGCAUCACUAGCACUAGAGAUGUAGUCAAUCUCUUCUGCAACUCCUCAAAGCUUUCUUGACAGGCUUCAGUCCAUUUGAAUUCCCUUCCUUUCUCUAAUAGUCAUGUGAGAGGCUUCACUAUUUUAGGGAACCCCUCAAUGAACCUGCAGUAGUAUCCUACAAGUCUAAGGAAACUCCUGAUUUCCAUGACUGUCUGCGGCAGCGUCCACUUCAGAACAUCCCUAACUUUGCCUGGAUCCACUACAAUUCCUCCAUUGGUGAUGAUAUGACCUAGAAAAGAAACCUAAGUCAGCCAGAGUUCACACUUGCUAAAUUUUGCAUACAGCUGGUUCUCCCUUAGCUUCUGAAGUACUAGCCUUAAAUGCACCUCAUGUUCUUCCCCAUUCUUAGAGUAGAUUGGGAUAUCAUCAAUGAACACCACAACGAACUUAUCCAGAUACUCCAUGAACACCUUAUUCAUCAAAUACAUGAAGUAGGCAGGUGCAUUAGUCAACCCAAAGGAUAUGAUUGUAUAUUCAUAAAGACCAUAUCUAGUGGUGAAAGCAAUCCUGGGAAUGUCAGAUGGUCUGAUCUUCAUCUAAUGAUAACCAUAAUGCAGAUCAAUCUUGGAGAAUAUCUUGGCUCCCCUCAUCUAGUCAAACAAAUCCUCAAUGUGGGGCAACAAAUACUUGUUCUUGAUGGUUACCUCAUUGAGUGAUCUGUAGUCUACACACAUCAUUUGCGUGCCAUCCUUCUUCUCUACAAAGAUAACUCAAGCCCCCCAUGGUGAUGAACUAGGGCGAAUAAACUCCUUAUCCAAUAACUCCUUUAAUUGUUUCUUAAGUUCUUGUAAUUGAUCAAUAGACAUUCUAUAUGGUCUCUUGGAAAUUGGUGUAGUACCAGGUAUAAGAUCAGUAACAAACUCCACUUCUCAGUCUGAUGGCAUGACUGGUACAUCAUUGGGGAAAAUGUCUGGGAACUCACACACCACUUGAAUGUCUUCUAUGGCAAUAUCCUUUAGUUGAUUGAUCACACACACACUUUCUGAUGGUAACCCAACCACAAAUUCAAUCAUUUAUCCUUGAGGACUUGUAAGAAGCACUGAUCUCUUGGCACACUGAAUUUCACCAUCAUAUGUACUCAACCAUACCAUUCCAAGGAUGACAUCAAUGCUAGUUGAUUCCAAAACUAUAAGGUCAACUGGAAAGUCCACCUCUUUUAUAUUUAUGUUGACCUUUGGACGUAUGUAGCUUGCUCUUACCUCACCACCAGGAGAAUCUACUAACAUGGUCUUCUUCAUGGUGUACUUUGGUAAGUUCUAUCUUGAUGUAUACUGAGAAGUAACAAAUUAAUGUGUGGCACCCGAGUCAAACAGAACUGUGGCAGGCACUGAGUUGAUAAAGAACAUGCCAAGUAGACCUCUUGAUCCUUCUGAGCACUCUCUGAACUCACAUGUUUCACCUUACCAUGUAUGUAGUCCUGUUGUCCAACAUUUUUUUGAGGUUGGUUUCCAUUUUGCACUUUCAAUCUUCGCCUAUUUCGACUCCUAGAACCAUUGCUGAAUUACCUUUGGAGAUUUUGAGUAUCCUUCCAAUGAUAGUUGUUGGCAAGGUGACCAACUUCUCCACAGCUAAAGCAUUCCUUUCCCUUGGAAGUGCAAGGGGUACUAGUCUCCAUCAAGAUGUUACUAGGUGGGAUCUGGCAAUUAUUUUGAACCUCUGGAUCGAGGUGGUUGAACACGUCCUGCUCUCUGGAGUAAAAUGAGUGGUCACAUGGUUGAGUGCAAUGGGGGCAAGUGUUACUAGUAAUUUUCUUCUAGGAAUCGAACUUCCUCUUCAUCACCACCAACUCAUGGCGCUUGUCCUCCACUAGUAUCACCUUAUCCACAAGUUGCUGAAAGUUAGGGAAAGUGUGGGCAACUAACUGAUACUAAAUAGGUGCAUUCAAACCUUCUAGAAAGUGGUCUUGCUUCUUCUCAUCAUUAUCCACCUUUUCUGGCGCAUAGCGAUAUAGCUGGAUGAAUUUAUCUUGCUACUCACACACAUACAUCCCUUCCUGCUUAAGACUGAGAAACUCCUUCUUCUUAAGCUUAAUCACACUGGUUGGAAUGUGGUGCGCUCUAAAGUUAUUCUUUAACUUUGACCAAGUGAUGGUAGAUCUGUCUACAUGGGCACCUGCGUAUGAAUCCCACCAAUCUAUAGUAGGUCCUUCUAAUCUUUUUGAAGUAUAUAGGGCCUUCUCCCUAUCAUUACAAUGGGUGAUCUCGAGCUUCUUCUUUACACUCCUGAGCCAAUCAUCAGCUUGUAGUGGAUCCGUUGAAUGAGAGAAGGUAGGAAGUUGAUGGCUCAUGAACUUCCUAUGCUUCUCCCUAGGCUGCACAGGUGACGCUAGUGAUGUCUGGUUCAGUUGAGCUUGUAAACUAGCCACAGUGUUGACCAGGUUCUACAACAACUGAGUUUGGGCGGCGAGGAGCAGCUCCAUCCCUUCUAGUGGCACUUGCUUCUGCUGAGGAUCGGGGUCAGAAUUGCUCCUUCGUUGACAGGGGUUGUGUAGGAUGAUCAACUCCAGAUUAAGACCUGGUGUUCACCAUAUGAUGGAAAAAAAUGAGACUCAGACGUUUGUAGAUAUAGAUGAAUCAAGAAGAUAGGGUGAUAUUAAUUCCAGUUUAUGAUAGAUUCUAUUCGUGCUACCAAAUCAGGUGCAAGUAUCAGGUAGAAUAUCCAAACAUAGUGAAACUUUUUUCAAAGCAUAAUAGAUGAAAUUCUGAAACUAACCGAACUGGAAUCACCUCAAUCAGAGGUCUGAAACUCGAGAUAUGAAUUAAACAAGGUGACUGCAUCCAGCAAUGCUGACGAAUUCUGAUUAUUCCACUAACACGCAAGUUUCUGUCUGUCUAUCAAUCCAAAAAUCACGAAACGUUUCCAGAAAUUAGUCUAUGAAAUUCUGGAGCUGACUCAACUAGAUUCAUGUCAAUCGGAGUUAUGUAGCACCAGAUAUAAGUCAAACAGUACAACUGUGUCGGACAGUGAUGAGAACAGAUUUUUGAGCAGCUCUAGGCUUAUGAUGGAUGGAUGGAUAGAUAGAUAAAAGAUUGUGCAAGAUUUAGUUUGAUUGAGACAAGGUAAAACUCAUCUAACAACUUUAUUACUAAAGCUGAUGUCAUUGUGGUCAUCACUCCAAAACACAUCACAGUCAUUACAUAGAACCAACUCAAGCAAGUUAACACAAUGACAAGCAUAUCAAGCACACUCACAGACAAUUCAAUUCUACUGUUUUACAACUGAUAAGAAAACCUCCUAAGUUGUCUUAAGGAUCAAAGGGCACACUGGUCCUAGAGCUAGGAGAGACAUGGCAGGCAAUCUUGUGAGGUAGAGAGUUGGCUAGACACUUCUGCGUCCAGGUCUUCUUCCAACCCCUUUGGUAGGUUCUUAUCUCUUGUUAGCUUUGUUUCUAGGAUCUCAUUUUUCCUCCUAGUUUCAUCUAGCUGCACAUGCUCUUCAGUUUUUUCUACUGCUUCAUGCUCCUAAGACUGGUGAGCAUGCGAGAUUCGUCCAAUAGCACUCUUAUGAGACAUCUUCCUUUCUGUAGCCAUCUAAUGAUAGUACAAAACGAUUCUCUAAACAAACCUAAGAUUUUAGAGCAAGGUAAGGUAGAAGUAGUAGAGUUUUAAGCAGCAAUGAUGAGGCAAAUCAUCAAUGGGUGAGGAGUAGCAUAAGAUAGCAAGAAUAGAAAAAGCAAGGCUAUUAAAGCAUUAUAAUCUUUAAAUUCGACAAUCUUCUAACUAGGCUAACGUUCUACAGUCAACACGGCUCUAAUACCACUCCUGUCACAUCCGAUUUUAAAGGCAAAACUAGAUGAUUAUCAUACGUGUGCUAGGAUCAAGUUUCACGUUUACGAUGACUUUAGUAAAUAUCAAAUACAGUAAUAUAAUGUAAAGAGAGAGGAUUACAUAGAUUACACAACCAGAAAUGAGAUAAAAAUCUCUAGUAUAAGCACCGGAUCUCCAACAACUCCACAGGCAGUUGACUAGGAAAAAUAUACGCCCAACAAUUCUUCAAAGUCUUCAACAGAUUUGUUUUGUACUGAACAAUAGAUAUAGCAAGUGUGAACACACUUAUGGUUAGCACUCAGCAAGUGUGGGGAAUUGUGUAGUGUAAGGCCAUUCAAGGAUAAGCUAAGGUUUUAAUAGCAGUUUAGCUUUUUAUUUGGUUGGUCAAAUUUUAUUACCAAUUACUACAUGUAAGUUUGUACCACCCACGUUAACCUGAACAUGAAUAGAGAUAACAUAAAUAAAUAAUAGCAAUUUAAUUAUGUCUUUCGAUAAUUUAAUCAUGUGAGGGUCCAGGCCGCUCUUGACCGUGAGUACAGCUGAUAUAUCAGUUUUACACUCUGCAGAGGUUGUACACUUUCACCACAAGUCACAUAAAAGUUCAGAAUAACUUUGGAUCCAGCCAUACUGGCAAAAGUAGGCACUUAUCACACUACCGAGGUGUGACUGCAUAGGGACGCUACGAGGCCUUUACAAAGAUUCUCUAAUAAGUGAUAACCCGCUAAGGUUUCCUCAUAAGAGGAUGAACUCUCCCCCAAGUGGUGCCAACACCCCUUGGCUGGACAAUCCAUCACACAACCUAUGAGCCCGUCUUGCCCUUUCGGUAGGACUAUCACAAACAAGAGUCUCUAAUUAAUUAGCCAAGACCAGAGCCAUAUAGUUUGUGUGGUUGUAUUGUUUUCCCGGGUGGUUCUCCAUGUUCCAAUUAAAUAUAAUGGUCUUGUAUUAAAGAAAGGUAUAAUAUAAAUGAAUCAAUAUUAAUAAUUGAGUUUAUUAAUACCAUCGUAUCCUAGUUGAGCAACUAAGCAUGUACUACCCAACAUUAUGUAAGCCUCGGUUGAUCAAGGUGUAUGGAAUAAAACUAGGCAAUCCUUAAUUAGGUCCCAUCAUGUUUAUGACUUAAGGUGCAUGGCAUAAAUGUUAUUGAAUAUGAAAGUAAAAGUUCUUAGGAUCAAGUUGUGGACAAGGACACGACUUGUUUCUUGCACUUGCUUCAGCUGCUCAUAGUCUUCAAGGUCUUGAGCUUCAAAUCCCUCGAGCGGCAGUCCUUCUAACGCGAUGACAAAAUAAAUAAAUAAGAAAUGGUACAGCAAAUAGUAUAAAUAGAGAAAAAAGCUCAAAAAGUUAAUCUAUGCGUUAAAAUGAACUCGUGGACAAAAGAAGCACUUAGAACGGGUCUAGGAUGCUAAAGAUAUGCACUAAACAAGAUGUAGGGGCUUGCUGGCGAAAUUUUAAAACUUUCAGGGGCUAAACUUGAAGAAACCGAGGGCUAAAAUAUAAUUUUGUAUAGAAACUCGAGGGCUAACGUGGAAAAGGUUAAAGACGAAUUGGACCACGUGAUCUAACUUUUGUGAGGGCCUUUUCACAAAAAUAGCAAGACUCAUACUUUUCUAUUGGUAUUUCAUUUUCCUUCAGGGUUAACGUGCAAAACGGAUCAUAUCUUCUUCCUUCGAUUCAAUCCACCGACGGCUGGACACUUGCUGGCACCGGCGAUCGGGACCAGCGAAAGGGGAGCGCGCGGCUGCAGCUGGGCCUCGGCAGUGUUGCGACGCGUGCUAGGGGUGCGCGUGGUGGUGGUGCAGCAUCGGCGCGCAGGGGCUUCGGUGUGGGGCAGGCCGGUGGCGCGGCCAGGCAAGGGGUGCGAGGUGGUGGUUCGGGCAAGGGCGACGCAAGGGAUGGCAGCGGGCUGGCCUUGGCCAUUGAGUUGACUGGAAUAAUAAAGAAAGAGAGAGAAAAUAGGGGUAAGGCUAGGAUGACCUCGAAAAUUGCACUGGAGUGGCAAAACGGAUCGAGGAUGAUGAGACAAAUGUGUUGGUGUGCUCACCUUCGGUCGAGGACUGACGGUUUCACCGGAGUUCGCGCCCAAAGGUUCGUUGGAUUUUAACAGAUGCGUAUCUUCAACGUCGAACUGCGGCAGCUAGGGUUGUUGUAAAGAGAUGGGGUUCGCAGCGUUAGCAAGAGGACGUCAAGGAGAUCACCAAAAAGUAUUUAUAGCCCCAUUUGGAGUUGGGAUUUAUUUUCCUCUUUUUUCUAAUUUCGGGAAUUAAUUUCAGAUUUGAAAACAAUUCUAGAAUAUCCUGAAAUCAUAAUUAAAUCAUGAAAAAUACUCGAAAGCUUUGAAAAAUUUAUGAAAAUUCUUGGAGAUGAUUUGGGACACGAGGAACCCAAAUAAAAUACUUGGUCCUCCUGGAAAGACUUGUAGAACUAUCCAAAAAUUGGAUUAAGCGCUAGAAAAAUGAGAAUAAAUUCUAGAAAAAUCUGGAAAAUUCUAGGAGGAACCUAAUCAUCGUCUAAACGUAUUUUUAAACUUUUUCACACUCAAGAAAUCAGAAAUGCAACCAGCAUGAAUGCAACAGACUUAAACCUAUGGUUCAUUAAGUUAAUUUUAGAAAAAAAAGAUUUUUAAUGCCUAAUAAAUUCACAGAGAAACAGAUUCUAGAGAAAUUCUAAUUAAUUUUUUUAUUAACUGCAAUAGAUGAAAAAUUAGGGUGUUACAGUUUUACAAACUACCAUGGAUUCGGAUAGUUCAGUAUCCCUGCCGGGAAUAAAACCGGCAUGGGUAGUCGAUCUCAUCCGUGUCGAGAUUGUUGUGGUGGGCCUAAAACUGUCACGGAUGAGGUUUCAGUACCAGCACGGAUGAGGUUCUCUCUAGUAGUGCGUGGGGCAGUCAGUGUAAGUGAUAACGACACGACUUUAAAUUUUUCAGAAUAAAGAGGAUUGCAAAAUAAUAAAAAAGGCAAAAUUUGAUGUUUUUUUAUAGUAACCCACGAACGUCCUCCCUGGCAUGUAUGACCUACCACAGCGUCCUUGGUUGUUAUCACGCUCCUCCAUGGCUCUGACCUAGAUGAUACAUCCAUUCUUCAUACUGUUAGUCGGCAUCGGUUAAUGAUCUGAUAUUCUUUACGCAGGCUUGAUUUGUUGGAACAUGUACACAUGCAGCUUUUCUCAUUGUAUGUAUUGCGGAUACCAACUCACCUACCAAGGACCACACCAACUUGUCUUAUUACAUCCCAAAUUUUAAAUGCCUAAGUCCCCAAUCCAACAUAAAUUGUCAAAUCCUGGGUGAGGGUGCGAAUCUUGCAAGAUGGCUGUAAUCAAGACAACCAUCUAGGGCCUUGAGAACUCAAUACCUAUUUUAAAUUUUCUGUGCAUUCCAAUAGAUGCCCUUAGAGAUUGACACCUGUUGAAAUGAAGUGACAACGAGGCAAGCUAGUGUGGUAGAAAGAAUUAUCCUAAGCCUUUGUAAGGAGAAAAAGAUAAAAAAUUCACGAGUUUCUCAGAUCAUUGGGAUCAUGUUUAUCGUCGAUACAACCAAUUUCGACACGUACCCUCAGAUCACUUCACUACUCGAUCAGAGUUCAUCACUGCUUACCCGUUCGAAGAUCCUGUUAUAUACCACUACAUAGAAAGUAUAAUGGGAAGCAAGUUGAACUAGACGAAGCUGCAAAAUAUGAAGCGCCGCAGCUUUCCCAUGGCAGCCCUUGCUGCCAUCAUCUUCUUCCUCUCUGUCGACGCAUCCUUCUCAGCGGGCAAAGCCGCCGUCAAGCACACCUUCGUUGUAAGCAUGAUUCUCUACUACUAUGGUUUUGAUGUACACAAUGAACGAUAUCAAUUUUGAACAAUUCAUCCACGGCGGUGUAUGUAUAUAUGUAGGUGAGCCAGGUGAAGAUGACACACUUGUGCAAGGAGACACUGGUCACCGUGGUGAAUGGGCAGCACCCAGGGCCAGCGAUAGAGGUCACGGAGAGGGAGACUCGGUGACUGUUCAUGUCGUCAACAAAUCACCCUACAACAUAACAAUCCACUGGUAAUCAGCUGAGUACCUACUCAAUACACAAUCACUUUUCUUCCCAAGGACACUAAAAAACCUAUUAAUGUACAUUCAAGCCGCAACGGUAAAGGUCGAAAUAAAAUAAUAAGAUGCUUUCCACUAAUUCAUGAAAAUAGAAUAUUUUAUUUUAUUUCAUCUUUUGCCAUCUUUUUCUUCUGUGUUGUCUGAUGUAGGCAUGGAGUGAAGCAGUGGCUUAACUGUUGGGCUGACGGGGUGCCGAUGAUUACCCAACUCCCUAUCCAGCCAAACCAAAAUUUCACCAACCGGUUCAACGUCAUCGGGCAGGAAGGCACCCAGUGGUGGCAUGCAUGCUCACGUCCCCUUCCUCCGGGCAUCACUACACGGCGCCCUCAUCAUCCGGCCAAGAAAUGGGGCGAGCUCAUAUCCAUUUCCAAAGCCAGACAGGGAGGUCCCGAUCAUAAUAGGUUCGUGAAUUAGUUGCAUCAUAUUCUCUAGCUGUGUUAGGAGAAUAGAAAGAAAUUGUACCUGUUUUUUAUUGCUCUUUGGAAAAUAGAAGAAUGGACUGUUCCUAUUUGAAUUGACCUGCCUUUGACUUCCGCAACGGACUAUUGGCAGCUAGACCUUGCACAGGCGGCAAGGAGGAUGAUGCAUGGUUUCUUGUUUUCUUUCGCCAAUGCUUCCACAAUCAAUGGCUAGCUUGGAGAUAUCUUCAAUUGCUCUGGUAAGAAAUUACAGCAUUGAUGUCCGUGUCAACGACAUAUUCCUUCUUUUCUGAAAAAAGUGUCUGCAUGAAGUCGAGUCUGAAGGUGUGCCGGAAGAUAGCUACCACUGGUGGAAAACUAGCCUUUAGUUCCGGUUGGUAGGGAGCAAAUCUCCCGAAAAUCCAUCCGGGAUAAAACAAUCAAGACAAAAGGGGAUCUUUAGUCCCGGGUCUUUUAACCGUGAGUAAAGCCCCUCUUUAGUCCCGGUUGGUAAAACCAACCAGGACUAAAGGGCCUGCCAUGCCAGGCGUAGGACAGGGCCCUUUAGUCCCGUUUAGCUCCGGUUGGGUUUUCCAACCGGGACUAAAGUCCUGCUUGAAAUUUCAGGCGCGCACCAUGUAGGUGCCUGCAUGGUCCUUGUAAUUUCAUGCAUCUCUACGUACCCCUUUACUUAACCUUUAGUAGUUGAGAUUUUUUUUAUAAUGAAAUCAAACUAGUAUUUAUACAAUUACUAUAUAUAUAAUUCUUAGUAUAUAUAUACAAUUCUAGCAUAGUAUACAAAUCUUAGCGUAUUAUACAAAUCAAACUAUCUACAAUCUUCCCAUCGAGGUGUUGCUCGGAGCGUCUAAAUUUCGUCCAUCGUAAUAAAAUUCUCCUUGUGGAUUUACCACCUCGUCCACCAUGAAUCCAAUGAGACCUUCACAUAUUGCCGCUACUCUUUACUUCUUCAAGAGUCCAUGUUAAAUAUUUAACAUUUAUAAUUUGGAAACAUGUGAAUUUUACACAAAUAAUUAAAUAUAAGGAGGUAGAAAAUAAUUAACUAUUUAUAGUUUUAUUUUAUGUACUUUAUUGUUGUGCGGCAACGUCUUUCCCUUCGGUCCCGCAAAACUAUGCAUGUGCUCAGAGACGUAGUAGCCACAUAGAUUAUUCCCAGGUUCCUAUCUUAUGCACUUGAGUGGGAAAAAAAUAAGUUAUGAAAUAUUCGUGUUAUAGAAUGUACAAAAUAUGCAGACUUCAUACAUACCGGGAAGUCUGUGUUCCAUGUAAGUUUUUCUUUGAAUGGACCUUUGUGUGUCCUGAUGAAUUGUCUCCAUGCGCUACGAAUUAAAAUAAUGAAUGAUAUAGUGUUAGGUGAAAAUUUAGGAAACAAAUUUUUACAUAGAGAUAAAGGUCUAGAAUUAUUACAAGCCCAGCAUGUCUUGCAUGUCUUGGUACUUCAUCGAAUCUUUCCUCAACGAAUCGAAGACAGUAACGUGGCUUAUUUCAAGGUCAAUUAUAAUAAGGAUCCAGUGGUAGCUGCGUACGUAAAUGUUCAUAUAUAUUAGAGCUAACUAACAUUAAUCAGGUAAGGAAAAAGAAAACGAAAGUAGACGGUAGACACACACUUACUUGAAGUUGUAUGGAAGUAGUAUGAAAUCCUUGAAUUUUUGUUUGUCUAGAAAAUUGUAUACUUUCACUAAGGUUUUGUCCGGCGCAUCCUGUACCUAUUUUUGGUUAACUAUGGAUGGAUCCAAGAAGCCAACAUGGAGGUAUGCUUCUUGUCGGCACGUCUGAAUUAGCAUCCUACAUAAAAUGGAAGAUGAAGUUAGUACGGUGACGCAUGCACAAAAAAUAAUGAUAUGAGCUAAAAUUUACAUCUAGAUAAAUGGACACUUAUAGAACCCAGGCGCUGAUCAGAGAGACGUCCAGGGCAUCAUGAUGGUACACUUCGUAUAUAUCCUUGAAUUCUAGCCACAGAACUUUCUCGCCUUCGCUAUAAAAACCUAUCAGUUUUACCUUCAGGCUGAACAUCUCCCUUGAGUUGGCGGACACCUUCUUAUACCAUUGAUGGAAUUCGUACAUCUUUGUUGAUAGCUUCAGUACCAACUCAGGCCUUACCAGAGACUUGCCUAGCUCAAAGGUCCAUCUCGGUUCAACUGGCAGUGCAGCUGGCAACUCUACUUGCCCUAGACAUUCAUUAAGUCCUAUACCUGUUUCUUCCAUGAAUUGCAAUACUUGUGCUUGUUGAUCCAAGGGCAUUGCUGCUAUCUUUUUAGCGUCUUUUUCUGGUAGAUGCCCGAGGUCGGGGACAACACCACUGGAAGAUGACUUUCCUUUUCUUUUUUUCCUCACAUCAGUCUUGACUAACGCCCGUUCGUAGUUCGAUAGUGGUGGUAUCCUCUUCUUGGCUCCUUCUUGAAUCCUGAUAAAAAAAUUUAAUUCUCUUCGAUUUACUCAUGGUGGCUCCAUCUCCCUUGCUUUUUUUUCUUCAGCCUGUUUCUUAAAACCACUCCCUAGCCUCUGCUUGGAUUUCAGCCCAGUGUUCCGCAUGAGUCAUUACCUCCUAGGGUUCCUCAUGAGUCACUUUAGGCUCCUUUGUUUUCUUCUUUUUGUGUCUUGGCUUGGGAGGCGGUGGUCGCGACUUCUUAAGUGGUGCUGCAGGUUCCUUGCUUGGGGCUACUCUUAGUCCUGGCGGCGGUGAUCGGGGAGGGGUGUUGUUGUCGUCAUCAUCACUCCCACCACCAUGAUGUGGUGGAGAUGGAGACCUUGAUCGAGCAGGAAGCGAUGGUCCUGGAGCAGGUUGUGCUGGAGAUGACGGUCUUGAACUUUCAGGAGAUGGUCACUGAUGGGGAUCUGCAGGGAGCGAUCUUGAGCUCUAAGGAGAUGGCUCCGUGCCAUGGAUGAUGAUGUAGUGUUUGCGCCAUAGAAUGAUCCCGUGAAGCGCAUCUCCUAGUGUCCUUUCCCCGUCGCCUCCCGGGAGGUCGAGCUUUGGGCCUUCAUAUUGGCUAUCAGCGAGCUGCUCUAGGCCGACUCUAGCAUAGCCAGGUGAAAUCUCCAUGCCAUGGCUGGUUUGCCCUACCAGGAUUAGUAAGGCAUUCCCGUAUGCCACCUGUACACAUAGCAGAAAUAAAGAAGUUAUUAAACUUUGAUCCUGAGGUGUGGAUCGUUUGAGAAGAUUGCAUAAAUAUUAUGUAUAAGUAUACCUUAAUGGUGAGGUUGCCGACUGGUGUAUGCAGCUCACAUGAGGUGCAUUGCAUGAUAGCAUCCACAGUGAACCGUUGCUAAUCCACAGGUAAUCUUGGUGUCUACGGAUCGGGGAGCCUUGUAGAAGCACAACUACUCCUGAGGUGUUGAGAAAGCGGAUCUGGCAACGCUCUAGAUUGGGCCAACCCCGCAACUGUGUGGGCCACUCGACGAUUGAUUUUCUCCUGCAUUUUUUACUUCUUGUGAAUGCACUUUGGAUUCUAGCAUGCGCCACCAGCUCUCAUCGAUCUGUUCCUUUCUUCGCUUUGUGGCUUCUAUACGAGGCGCUGUCACCUCGAAAAGCAAACUUCCACGAAACGACCCGAACCCUCGGCAACGUCCUGGUUGCUCGUGAUUCCCAAGGGCCAAUGUGACCUCAUCAUUUUCUUGAUAAGCCUUUCGACCUUCUGAUGUAUUGUCUCAUUGAAGUGUUUCUACAAAUUUGAAGUCUUCAAUGAAUCCCACAAAAUUUGAAGUGUUUCUACAAAUUUCUACUAAUUCCUACUAAAUUCUACCAAAUUUGAAGUGUUUAUACAAAUUUCUACUAAUUUCUAAGAAUUUCUACCAAAUUUGAAGUGUUUAUACAAAUUUCUACUAAUUUAUUGGAAUUUCUAGAAAAUUUCUACUAAUUCCUACUAAUUUUAAGAAUUUCUACCAAAUUUCUACUAAUUUUCGAAGCAUUUGUACUAAAUCAUAGUAAUGUAAUAAAAAUUAUAUUAAAUGUUACAAAAUUAGACUAAGCAUUUAUACUAAUAAGUGUUUAGCAUUUCUACAAAUUUCUUCUAAUUUUUGAAUCAUUUAUAAUAAAACAUAAUAAUUUCUAAAAGUUAUACAAAAUUAUAGUAAGCAUCUAAACUUAAUUAUACUAAUUUCCUAGUAAUCAUAGUAAUUUCUUACUGAGUUUCAACUAAUAAUAGUAAUUACCUAUAGAUUUUUUACUAAUCUACAGAUUUUUUACAAAUUUCUAUUGAUUUUGUAGCAAAAAAAAUGGGCUCUUGCGUGAGCAAGGGCCCCACCGUAUGUGCAGGAGCUAGGGCUGGUGGGGGUUAGGCGGUGGCGACGGGAGGAGGGGUCCGUAAGGCGGCCGUGGUGAUGAAGUGGCAAUGCUCGGGAUGAGGAGGCCGGGGUGGCGGCAGCGGGAAUAGAGGUGGCGGCAACGACGGGGAUAGAGGCAGCGACGAGGACAGAGGUAGCAACAAGGCGGCGCGACCGAGGCGGUGGCAACGAGGAGACGCGAUGAAGGAUGCGGUGGGCCGGUGUGACGGAGGAGGUGGCGGUCUAGGUGCGGGCGAGGUGGCUGGGGUGGCGAGUGACGGCUCUAGGGGUGAUGGGCAAUGAGGAGAACGGUGGCCGGCGAGGGAAGCGAACGGGCAGCGACGGAGCAGGUGGACGGGUGCGGAUCUUGGCAGGAGUGAAAAAAUUGCCAAAGAGUUGAAGGAUGAGUGGGCUAGAAGACGACUGUUACUUUUAUCACCCUGCCCUUUAUCCCAGUUCGUAAUUGAAUCCGGGACUGAAGGAGCCUUUUGUCCUAGGUCCAAAUAGCAACCGGGACAAAAGACCCCCCUAUCCCGGGUGCAAACCGUAACCAGGGUAAAAGGGUACGUUCCGGGCGAGAAUCGAAAAAUACCCUUUUAUCUGGGUUCCAGUUUGCAUCCGGGAUAAAAGGGGGUGCCUUUUGUCCUGGUUGCUAUUGGCACCCAGGACAAAAGGGCCUGUUUUUUGGAAAUGGAUUUUAUUUAUGUUUUUACUGGAUUUCAGGAUGCAAAAAAAUAAAACUUUACAUAUUUCAAAUAUGCAAAAAUAUAUUAAAUUAGAUAAGUUUGAAUGAGUCAUUAAUUCUAUACCAGUUCUUUUAGCUUCUAAAAUAAUUAUUUAUUGCAUCGCUAUCAUCAAGAAAUUAUUCAAUUAAAUAAUUUCAACGCGUGAAAAAUUGAAUCUAUGUAUGUGGUUAACAUUGUUCAUAUUGAUCUAAUAAAUCCUCACCUCAACUAAUUUAAACAUAGAUGAAAUCAUACAUAUGUUAAACUAAAAAUUGUAUCAAGUAGUACAUGACAUCAUAGAACUUUACAAUGUAACUUUACAUAAAGGUGAAGCAAAUUUGGUGCAUUACAAUGUAAAGUUAAAAAAAUUUCUUCUUCACAAAAGUUUCUUGAUCAUGAUCGCGGUGUAACUACGGAGCCUCUACUUCGGAUAGCAAGAUGUUUGGGUUAACUUCAACAAUGAAUGGAGGCAAGCCAUCAAACUGAUCACAAUCAUCUGAUUGGUCUGUUUCGUCCUUGACUCCCACGAUUUUUCUUUUACCUGGAAGAACUAUGUGGCGCUUUGGCUCCCAUGGCCCUUCUGGAUUUCUCUUGGGUUUGCUAGAUAUGUGCUUCACAUAGAAAACCUAAUGCACAUCAUUGGCAAGUACGAAUAGUUCAUCACUAUAUCCAGUCUUGCUCAGGUCCACUAUUAUCAUUCCGUACUGAUCUUUGUUUACACCAGUUAGCUUCACCCAUUUGCAACAAAAUAGAGGGAUGUACAGCGGUUCGUAUUCGAGUUGCCAUAUCUCCGCUAUGAAACCAUAAUAUGACUCCUUGCUACUGUUUCUGUCUAUGGCAUGUAUGCGAACACCACUAUUCUGGUUCGUGCUUUUCUGGUCUUGGGCUCUUGUGUAAAAUGUAUAACCACUUAUCUCGUAGCCUUAGAAUUUCACGAUUGUGCUAGCAGGUCCUCUGGCUAACCAAGUGAGCUGUGGGUGAAUUUCGAAGUUACCCAUAAGUUGUUGGUGCAACCAGGAAGGAAAAGUGUCCAUGUGAUGACGUGUAAGCCAGGCAUCAGAUUUUGUCGGAUUUUUGGAAACUAGGAUCUGCCUAUGUUGCUCGAUAUACGGAGCCACAAAGGAUGACUGCUGCAGAAAAUUGCAGUGUGCCUUGUCGAACAAAUCAGUAUCAUUGCUCAACUUGAUUUCCUUCCAAGGGUGCCUAUUGCUCGUAGCCUCCCCUUGUGGCGUGAAGUUGGAACCCCAAUCGAGUCAAUUGAGUCAAUAAAAUCAACACAAAACUCGAUCACCUUCUCUGUUCCAUAUCCCUUGGCAAUGCUUCCUUCUGGACGGGCACGAUUAAGAACAUAGCUUUUUAGGACUGACAUGAACCUCUCGAAAGGCCACAUAUUGUGCAGGUAUAAUGGUCCGAGAAUACCAAUCUCUUUUACUAGGUGAACCAGGAGGUGCGUCAUAAUAUUGAAGAAGGAUGGUGGAAAUACCAACUCAAAGCUGACAAGACAUCACACCACAUCAUUCUGUAGCUUUGCUAGUUUGGAUGGAUUGAUUGCCUUCUACGAAAUCGCAUUGACAAAUGCGCAUAGCUUUACGAGCGGCAAUCGGACAUUCUCUGGUAGAAAACCCCUCAGUGCAACAGGAAGCAACUGGGUCAUCAACAUGUGACAGUCAUGGGCCUUGAGAUUUGUGAACUUUUUUCUUUCAUAUUUAUUAUUCCCUUUAUAUUCGAGGAGUACCAAAUGACACCUUCAUACUACUCAAGCAUUCAAACAUGCUAUCCUUCUCUUCCUUGCUAAGAGUGUCACUGGCAGGACGUAAGUAGUGUUGUCCGUUAUCUCUCUUUUCCGGAUGUAGGUCAUCUCGUUGCCCCAUGGUUUUCAGGUCUUAUCAUGCUUCCAAUGUAUCUUUUGAGGUCCCAUAAAAACCCAUGAAGCCUAGCACAUUCACGCAAAGAUUCUUUGUCAGGUGCAUCACGUCUAUUGCAUUGCGGACCUCUAGGAUUUCCCAAUAAGGUAGCUCCCAAAAUAUUGACUUCUUCCACAUGGGUACACAUCCGUUAUUGUCGUUCGGAACAGGUUGGCUACCAAGCCCCUUUCCAAAGACUACCAUUACAUCCUUUAUCAUCUAAAAGACACGCUUUCUAUUAUGGUGUGCAGGUUUUUUACGAUUGUCUGGCGCGCCUUUGAAAUGCAUCCCGCUCUUUCUCACCUGGGGUGGGUAGGGAGAAAUCGACGAUGACCCAUAUAGAUGACCUUCUUAUAGUGCUUCAAAUAUAUGCUGUCUGUGUCAUCUAAACAGUGGGUGCAGGCCCGAUAUCCCUUGUUUGUCUAUCCCGAAAGACUACUCAGUGCAGGCCAAACAUUGAUAGUCACAAACAACAAUGCUCCUAGGUUAAAAAUCUCUUGUUUAUCAUCAUCCCACACACAUAUACCUUCUUCCUUCUAGAGCUGUAAAAGUUCAUCAAUCAACGGUCUUAGGUACACGUCAAUGUUGUUGCCGGGUUAUUUUGGGCCUUGGAUAUACGCCGGCAUCAUAAUGAACUUCCGCUUCGUGCACAGCCAAGGAGGACGGUUGAACAUACACAGGGUCACAGGCCAAGUACUAUGACUACUACUCAACUCAUAGAAUUGAUUGAAUCCAUCAGUACUUAAACCAAACCUUAUGUUUCCUGCAUCACUUUCAAAGUUCAGGAAUGCUCUAUCAAUUAAUCUCUACUGAGCCCCAUCAACAGUGUGUCUUAGCAUCUCAUCUUCCUUACAUUCUUCUUUGUGUCAUCGCAUCAAUUUAGCAUUUGCCUUGUUCCUGAACAAGCACUUCAAGCUUGGUAUUAUAGGAAAGUACCACAUCACCUUCGCGGAAACUCUCUUCUUGGGAGCCUGCCCCAUGACAUCACCAGGAUCAUCUCACCUGAUCUUAUACUGUAGCGCUUCGCACAUGGGACAAGCAUCAAGUUUCUCGUAUUCAGCACCACGAUAGAGGAUACAGUCAUUAGGGCAUGCAUGUAUCUUCUGAACCUCCAAUCCUAGAGGGAAAAUAAUAUGUUUAGCUUCAUAUGUUGUGGAUGGAAAUUCAUUAUUCUCGGGAAGAAUCUUCUUGACAAUUUUCAACAUCCCCUGAAAUUCUUUAUCGAACACACCAUUUUUGGCCUUCCAUUGCAUAAAUUCUAGUAUAGUAACCAGAUAUUUAUGGCCCUGCUAGCAAUCUGGGUAUAACAAUGUUUGGUAAUCAUCUAUCAUGUGCUACAACUUUGCUGCUUCCUUCUCAGUUUUGCAGUCUCUAUGUGAAUCCCGUGGCACCUGACCAAGGUCAUCAGUAGGGCCAUCUUCUGCAAACUCAUAUUCAUCAACCUCGCCCAUUGUAGUAUCUGCAAAAUCUUGGCCUGCAGCCUAGUCUGGAAUGUUGUCAUCAUCCUCCUCCUCUUCGCCAUCUUCCAUUACAACCCCUCUUUCGCCAUGCUUAGUCCAAACAAAUAGUUAGCCAUGAAACCAUAUCCAAACAAGUGGCUGUGAAUAGUCCCCCAGAAAGCUUGUGAAUAGUCCUUGUUACUGCAUUGGAAGUAUGGACAACAUAUGUACCCGUUCUCUGGCUUGUUCGCUUUGGCGACUUCGAGAAAAUAAUGCAAGCCAUCAAUAAACACCUUGCUUCAUUUGUCCGCAUUAUACAUCCAUUGCCGGUCCAUCUACAUCGUAUUACGCACGAAAAUAGAUUACACAUGAAAAUGGAUUACUCAUGAAAAUGGAUUACACAUUUUUUUCCUUUUUUUAUUUUUGUUGUACACAAUUAAUUUUAAUAUGAUUUUUAGCAAGCAGGUCUUUAACAUCUUGCCAACGUUAUAAAUGUUAGGUUAUAUGGUAGUUGUUUUUUUACCAAUUCAAAUAUAUUGUUUCUUCAUCCUUUAAUGAUUACAAAUAUUAGGUUCUCUUGUUGCGAAUAAGUGUGACAAUUCCAUUUCGCAUCAAAAUUCAUCUUUACGUGCCUAUUGAUGGUUAUUUGAUACGCUUUAUGACUUAUAUACAUGCUAUUCACGAUUGAAAGCAUGCCAAACUUUGUAGUGCAAAUGAUGCUGAAAGUUUAGAUAUAGAUAGAAAUACACAUAUUUAAAUUUCAGAUCCAAACAACAUGAUACACUACAACAAACCAUCCACUAAAAAUUAUCUAGGAGGACUUUAAGCAUGCUUGGGCAAUGAAAACGAAGGUUUCGCUGACCCAGCCUCAUCCUGUGGUUUAUUUGUGCCUCCUGCAAAAGUAGUACUAAGUGGACGUGAAACAUCGCGACUGGCAGUGGAGCAUAACGACCACCAAAAAGAGGUUUCUAACCCGCCGCAACAGCAUUUUCAUGACAUCUUUGAAAAUAACGAGGCAUUGCUUCCUCCCAUGUGCUCAUUUUUUUCGGCUUACCAUAAGGGCCAACUAUAGUUUUCCCCUUGCCACGAGAGGAACGACGAUCGACCCACCAUCGCCACUACCUCCAGCAGCAGAAGUCAUCUCUAUGUAAAAAAAUUCAUAUCUUAGCACUGUAGAACUUGUUAAACUUGAAGACCGUGAUCAUCUCGAUGAGCAUUUCUCCACCGGGCGGCACCGUACUUCGCAAUGGAAGAGCUCUGAUUCUAUGAGGAAGGGGACAUGAUCUUCCAUGAUGUCCAUUGCUUCUCUUCCUUGUAGAAUCGAAGCUCCUCCUUGACGUCCAUUGCCACUCGGUGGAGAACAUGCUCACCGAGAUGAACAUGGUAUGCAUGUUCAACAAGUAUGGAUUUGAAAAACCAUAUUGAAUUUGACAAGUUAAACCGUCUAGACAAGGGUAGCAUCAUUCUUAAACCGAUGCAAGAAUACAUACUAUAUAUGACACAUAUGACAUACUAAUUUUUUUCUCAUAAUUAAUAUUGAAAUCCUCUCCUUUCUACCUCACAUUUACUCUCCAUUCUAGCUCAAAAUCCUCACCAUUUUCUACUUCACAUUCUAGCAAAUAAACUAUCCAUCUCCAUUCUGCACAACAAGUUGUUUUAAGUAAUAUGAAUCAUAUAUAACAAGAAAACUAUCCACCAUAUUCUAGCUCAAAAAUAUGUAUAAAUACAAAUCCUCUUCAUUCUCCCUCUUUCUAACAAAUAAACUCAUUUUUCUUCCUCUCUAAAGCAUAAAACAAAGCAUAACAAGAGAAUGAAGUAGCUAACCUUCAGAACACUUUGGAUGAGUGAAAUCCCCAUGGAAAUGACAAAAAAAAUUUGGGAAGCACCUCCCCUAGGCUUGCUUCGGCGCCAUAGAGAGUAGGUGAAGCUCUCUAUCUUUGUGGAGUGGACUGGCUCGGGCUGGAGGAGGAAGAAAGGCCUCUGUCUCGGGAUUUAAUGGAGGAUGAGUUUUUAUCCCGGUUUGAAAUUCCAACCCAGAUAAAAAGGAAACCCUUUUGUCCCGACUGAAGUUUACUCCCAGUUGGAAACACCAACCGGGACAAAAGCGCAACCAUUCCAGCCAGGAGUAAACUUUUUAUCCUAGUUGGUAACUCCAACCGAGACAAAAGGGUUGCAUUUUUAUCCCGGUUGGUGUUUCCAACCGGGACAAAAGGGUGCCGCCGUCGGUGCUAGGAUACUAACCGUUACAACCGGGACUAAAGGGGGGCCUUUAGUCCCGGUUGUAUAUACCAACAAAGAGUAAAGCUCCGCCCCAUUCCAGUUUUCAGCCUACCGUGGUGCACCCCCUUUUAUACCGGGCCAACUAUAAACCGGGACAAAAGGGGCUGCAUGGAAGGUGAGUUCUCUAAUAGUGUACGUAUUGGACAUUGUGCCUGGCAAGACCUACCUGAUACGAAUAAUUAACGCCGGGCUAUCCUCCGAGUUCUACCUAAAGAUAGCUGGGCACAAAUUCACUGUGGUUGGUGCCGAUGUCAACUACGUCAGCCCAUACACCAUGGAUGUGAUCGCCAUGGCGCCCGGUGAGACAGUGGAUCCCUUGGUUGUUGCUGAUGCGCUCCCUGGAAGGUACUAUAUGGUUGCCCUGCCCAAUCAGGCACCAUUGCGGGACACCCAGACCCCGGAAUACACAAUUAGAGGGAUCAUGCAAUACAGCAACAGUCACAGCUCUGCCGAUGAUCCAGCAGGACUGAUGUCAGAUCAUGUUGUGGAAGAGGAAGAAGAAGAUAAAGGUUCAUCCGGUGAUGUGCCAGUAGCACCUGAGAUGCCUGAUAUACAUGACACAAUUGCAUCUUACUACUUCCACAGCAACCUGACCAAGCUGCACCAAACGGAGGUCCCUCAGCGAGUUGAUGAACGUUUGUUCAUCGUGCUCAGCCUGGGUUCAAUAUGUCAGAAUGGCCAGUGCUGCAGCAGUUCUACAGGGCGAUUUCAACCCGAUGCAUCUACAUGGUCACAACAUGAUCCUUCUUGCACAGGGGUUUGGUAACUUCGACGCCGCGAAAGAUGUUGCAAAAUACAACUUGGUGAAUCCACCGGUGAAGAACACCAUUCUUGUCCCAAAUCAUGGGUGGGCUGCCAUCCGAUUUGUUGCGAACAAUCCAGGUGUGUGUAAGAUUUAUUUGCGUUAGUUGGGUUUCAAAGUCGACGCUGUCAGAUCUAAUGCUUGUCUUAUAUGAUUUAAGGGGUAUGGUUCAUGCAUUGCCACUAUGAAUUCCAUUUGACUAUGGACAUGGCGGAAGUAUUCAUUGUAGAGGAUGGUCCGACAGUGGACACAUCUCUCCCUCCACCACCUGCUCAUUUUCCAACAUAUUGUGGUCAUGACGACAAUCUCCUUCUGGGUGAACUGUGCCUCCAAACUAAGAAGAUGCAUGAAAUCCCACGCAUAAAUGUAGUCUGAAUAAAUAUUACUGCAACCGCCGGUUAUCAAAUUAAAUAAUGGAUGGCCCACGCUAGUACCUAGAUUCAAGUAUGCAUAUUAAAACUACUGUAUCGUCUUCACUCUAUCAAUAAUGUGAGGCCAAUUAUAGGACAAUCCCCUUUUAUAUCCAUAUAUGCAUAUCUUUCUUUUUUCUAUAUUCGAUUUUACAUCCUAGUGAAUUGCAAAUUUUAUCUAUAAUUGCAUAUACUCUCUCCGUCCCAAAUUGCAGAUCGUUUUGGCAUUUCUAGCUAGAUUCAUAUCUUUUAUUAAUAGCUUUUAUAAAUACAUGUACUUACAAAUUAGACCCGUGUUCAAGUGGAAGUGACUAGAGGAAUAAUGAAUCAUGUCGAAAGUCCCCCAAACACGAUUAAAAAUGUUCAGUCACCCUUCUGACGUACAGUCCAAAGUUCAAAGCACGGGAGCUGCAAACAAUUAUUUCACCACCGUUUUACACUUAAGCCAUAUAUAUCCUUCGUACAAAGACCAGGCGGAUUACACAUAAAGAGGUCCAACUAGCUAGCUUCUCAACAUGCGACUAGUAAACCUGAAGCAAGAUCGAAAUAAUAAUCAAGAAGCCAAGCAGUUUCAAUGUCUAUUUUGUUUUGUCUACAUACAUGUAGAACGUGGUAAACUAAAACUUAUACUAUAAUCUUUUAAGAAAACACCGUUGACCUAAAAAGGAAGACAUCUAACAUUAUUUUAUAAAAAAUAAACUAGUGAACAAAGAUAUUGCAAUAAGAAAGACAUUACCAAUACAUUAGCUGGUGUCUUCUACGUAUUAAGUAAUAGAGUGCAACUAGUCGUACGUGAAGUAUUUCCCCGAUACAAAGUAUGUUUAAAAAUGAAAAUUCCGGCCUACUAUCUUUCUCUCUUCCCAUAGUUAUCUCUAUGAAUCCUAAAAUUGUAACCUUUUAAUUAGAAUACUAACUUCAUGUAUCAGUAUUGAAAUUGAUGGCACAUAUAAUAGAUAUUGAUAAGUUUUUAUUAACAAUAUAAGAUAUCGAUCACGUUUGGAUGCCCCCCCCCCCAUCCACCCACUUAGAAUUUCUAGUUCCACUACUGGUUGGGUGAUACCAUAUGAUCUUUCCUAAAAGGUUCUAGAAAGGUAGUUUACCUAGGGUAUAUGCACUUCUUAGUGGAAGGACACCAGUACCGAAGUAAGCAGUUCCAUAAUUUUUUUGGCAGCAUGCCCGAAAUUGAUUCUGCUCCAAAAUUUUUUCACCAGGGCAGUGUCUUCAAGCAAGGCACUAAAAAAAUAGGUUUAAGUACUAUUUCAUGGAAACACUUGCGGAGCAGCAGCAGUCUGGGCUAGUAUUGAUGAACCAGCCACAUCAGUGGGCCACCUAGUGAGCUAGUAUUGGAAAUGGGUUACAAUGUCAAUUCUGUUAUUUGGAUGUAGAUGAAAUUGCUACAUGGAAUCAAAUAAGAUGGCAAAUACCAAUUCAUAUUUGGAUGUUUAAAUGGUGAAAUUGAGAGAGAGAGAGAGAGAAGGGGAGCGACGGGCGGCGCAGGCACCCGCCACAGGCCACCUCUGAGCCGCACUACGCGUGGACGGCCAUUGGCUGCAACUCUGCCUAGCUUGCGUUGGUUGCAAGGAAGAUCGGAGGGGGCGCUGCCGCGUGGAAGAUGGGAGAGGGCGCCGGGCACGAUGAAGAAGGAAGGGGGCACCGCGCAUGCGGAAGAUGAGGAGGGGGACCAGGGCAGAGGGGCGGACACUUGCGCUUUUCACACUUGCGCGGACAACAUUCUAGCAGUUUGAAGAUAGAAAGUGCAUUAUGGAUGGCAACGGGUACAAAUUACCCACGUGCCCACAGGUAAAAACCCAUUAGGGUGAGGAUACGAGUACCAUUUAGUAACUACGGGCAUGGGUGCGGGUUUGAUUUUGUGCCCAUGGGUAAAAAAUUUGCGGGUAUGAAAAUACCUUACCCAUGCCCGCAAACCCGCGAACCCGCUUGAGAUGUGGGCCUGCUACACAUGUAUAUAAUAUAAGGAUUUUCUAGGGUUCCCUUAUCCCUUGUCCUCCCCCAGGCCCCAGAGGCCAAGUCCCCUACAGAGCCGCAAUCCUAGCCUCCCACAGACCGCAUGCCCGCAGCGGUGCAGCCUCCCUCCAUGGCUCCGUCCCUCGACUUCCGCCGCCAGUUCCCUCCGGCCACCGUCUGCCCUCCAGCCGCCAGCCAUCCCUUCCCUUCCCGCCGGCAGCCACCUCCCCGCCACCAUUUUUCCAUCCGCCCUCGCUGCCCCCACCACCACCGCUCUGCUCGGUGCCCGCCCACCUCCCCGCCGCCACUCGGUCAGCCGCCUGCCGCCCACUCUGGCAGCCGGCACCCGCCGCCAGCCAUCCCUUCCCACCUAGCGCCUAUAUUCCCAUCGCCGCCCCAGCCCCUAGGUCAGUCACUUUCCUCUCACUUUUUCUUCAUUCUCUAUUCAGUAGAAUGAUAGAUCCAGGAACUACACUUCUGCCUUGCCAUUGAUUAAUGAUAGAUCUAGUGAAAUGUCAUGUCUAGUUGGUGAUUUUGUGAUUGUCUAGAAUGAAUGAACUAUUUUGUGACUGAAUGAAUGAUUUGGUGAUUUUGUUGAGUGGUUGUAGUGUUCAGUAGAUAAAAUGAAUGAAUGAUUUUGUGUGAAGCAUGCAACUAUAGCUAGUUCAUAACAACUCCAUGGAUUAAAUGUAUGCAUCUACCAAUUUGAAUUGCUAUUUUCCCUAUAUACGGUCUUUAUCACAUGGUUUUGUUUGUAUUGUAUCACCAAGCAUAACAUGGUUUUGUUUGUAUUGUACCAUGACUAUAGAUUGGAUUGGUGAUGGAGACUCCUCACAGCAGUGUCCAACCUGUGCAGGUCUCGCAAGCUUCCAUCCCUAUUGACGAAGCUCUCCCUGCUAAUCAGGUUAUCAACAUUAAUGAUGGAGUUGAUGAUCACGAGGACGAAGACGGGACUGCUGGUAUAACUUAUUUACAGGGUUCACAUAGGAAGCUCACAUCUACUGUAUGGAAGGAAUUCACACGAGUUUGUGAUGAUGAUGGAGUUUGGAAGGCAAAGUGUGACCACUGUGGCAAGAAGCUUUCAGCUACAACAAGAAAUGGUACUAACCAUCUACGUACUCAUCUGAAAAUCUAUAUCUAUAUGAAGAAGCCUGGUGAGAAAGUGCAAGCAAAUUUGAGGUUUGCAUCCACUAACAAAGGUGCAGUAGCUGUUGAAAAUUAUAUGUUUGAUCAAGAUGUAGCUAGGAAAGCACUUUACACAAUGAUUACACUGCAUGAGUACCCUCUGUCCAUUGUGGAUCAUCUUGGUUUUCAUCAAUUUGUUAGUGCUUUGCAACCCUUGUUCAAGAUAAGAACUAGAAGCACUAUUAGGAAGGGCAUCCUGAAUUGCUAUGAUGUGGAGAAAAGAAAAGCUAGGAUGUUUCUUCAGAAGCUCAGUUGUCAUGUAGCCAUUACAACUGACCUAUGGACUGCUGAUAAUCAGAAAAGAGGACAUAUGGCUGUCACUGGACAUUUUAUUGAUGACUCAUGGACCCUUAGAAGCUGCAUUUUGAGGUGAUUUCUUAUUGUCCUACUUCAAUUACUUGCUGUCCUAUUUGUGUUUUACUUCAAUUACUUGCAAGUCUUAUUUGUGUUUUACUUCAAUUACUUGCUAUCCAACUUAUUUUAAUUGUCUUUUCUAGGUUUGUAUAUGUGCCAUGCCCCAUAUUGCUGAAGUUAUUUGUGAUGCACUACUUAAAUGCCUCCAGAGUUGGGAUCUUGAUUGCAGGGUGUCCACUAUGACACUUGACAAUUGCAGUGUCAAUGACAGCAUGAUUGGUCUAAUGGAAUCAAGGCUUGGGGAGGAUAAUAUGUUGCUGGGUGGAAAGCACUUGCAUACCCGUUGCUAUGCACAAAUAUUGAACCUUAUUGUACAAGAUGGAUUGGAAGUGAUCAAGAAAUCUAUUGCAAGAAUCAGAGAGAGCAUUGCUUAUUGGAUUGCUACACCAAAGAGGUAUGAAAAAUUUGUGAAAGUAGCUCAACAAUAGAAGGUUGAAUUGAAGAAAAAACUGUGUCUUGAUUGCAAAACUAGGUGGAAUUCAACUUUUGUCAUGCUUAGCACUGCUAUACCUUAUAGGAAGGUUUUUGAUCAUUUGGACACUCUUGACCAACACUUUGUUUUCCAACCAAAUUAUGAUUGGAAAUUUGCAGCUAUUGUUUGUGAGAAAUUAGAAUUGUUCUAUCAGCUCACUGAAUUGUUUUCUGGAACAAAGUAUGUGACAGCUAAUAUCUUCUUUCCUAAAGUAUGUGAGAUCAAACUUAAAAUUAACUCUUGGAAAGAAGAUGAAAAUGAGAUCAUUAGAAACAUGUCCACUGCAAUGAUAGAGAAGUAUGAUAAGUAUUGGUAUGAUAUCCAAGGUCUCAUGGCUAUUGCUGUUAUUCUUGAUCCACGCCUUAAGAUGAUCAUGCUGCAAGCUUGCUAUAUGGCUCUUUUGGGUCAAGAAGAAGUUGAUAGAUUUUUUCAAAAGAGCUAUGAAUUGCUAACUCAAUUGAUGGAUGAGUACCAAGUGCAAGUUGAUCAAGAGGUUGUGGGUGCAUCAUCUUAUGGGGCUUCAAACUCUACUGUUAGUGCUGCUGCUGUUCUGUCCAUAUUCAAAACACUUGCUACCACUAAGAAGACCUCAAGUCUUGUUAAAGCAAAGAGUGAGUUAGAUCGGUACUUGGAUGAAGAUCCUCUUCCUCAUGAUGAGAAUGAGUAUUUUGAUGUCUUGGGUUGGUGGAAGGUGGCUGGAACUCACUUCCCUACUUUGAGGUUGAUUGCUCAUGAUAUUUUGGCAAUUCCCAUAACCACAGUAGUUUCUGAAUCCGCUUUUAGCACUAGUGGAGGGUUCUAAGUGAGCAUCACAGCCGUCUUACUCCACAAAUGUUGGAAGCUUUGAUGUGCAACCAAAGUUGGUUUGGUCACAAUCUUAAAGGUAAAGAAUUAUGCUUUUGAUUCCUACAGCUUGUCAAUGUUGUCAUCUCAUUCUAAUGAUCUUAUGGCAGUAGCUUACUAAUGUCGUCUUCUUAUUCCAAUGUGCAUUUGUAGGUCAAGAUGAUGGAAAGAUUGACACCUUUUGGUUCUACCUUGAAGACAUUGAAGAAGAAAUGAAGGAAGAACCUUGCAUCUCUAUCGUCGACUCUGAUUAAGCUUGAUGUUCAUUUGUAUCUGUUAUGUGAACAAUAUUUGUGUGAUUUGAGCCAUGUGUCUGUUGUUCUAGACUUGUCACUUAUGCUUGUUGAGCCAUAUUUAUUUGGCUUGUACUCUUAGUUGUGAACUUAAUAUGUGAACUUGUGCUGUUGUAUUGUGCAUUGGAUCUAUCUUCUGUGAUCUGGCUGGCGGGUAUGGGUGUGCCCGCGGGUGACAGGCGCGGGUUCAAGUUCGUACCCGUGAUGGGUCGCGAGCGCGGGUGCGGACACAGGGUUUGCCUCACGGGUGCGGGUUUGUAAACCCUCUGCCCGUGGGUAAUGUGCCCGUUGCCAUCUAUAAAGUGCAUUCUGCAGGAUAACAUGCUAGCCCGUUAAAAAUAAGUUCUACUCCCUCCGUCCCGCAAAGAGUGUUAGUUUAGAAAAUUUCAGAUACAUUAGUAGUGAUGAGAAAUAUUUAUGUUGCCCCUAAUAACUAAUGUUAAUUGUGAUUGAAAAUCGUACUGCCUGUUUAGUUUUAUGAAUCCUGAGUAAACUCGCGUGCAUUAAACCAGAGAAAUAACAUCAAUUGAUCAUUUGAUUGGCUCUACGCGCUUCCCCAUAUGUUUUUCUUUAUUGGUGUGAGUGUUGCUUAACUAGAUGAUGUUUACUAGGAGGUAAAAGGACACUCUUUGUGGAAUAAAUUUUGGAGUCUAAAUGGACACGGGACGGAUGGAGUAUGUAUCUACAGUACAUACAGAUCUCACAUGUCAAUACUAGCAAAAAGUUGUUGCCUCGAGUUGACCACUAUUAUUCGGUUCACACAUCUCAAGAACCGAUCACAUCUUUCAUUAAGUAAAGUCCACGGUGAUGCUCAUGCCUGCAGCUCUUGUUCAAACAAAUACCUAUGCCUAAACAAACAUCAUGUGGUAGCAGUAAAAGUCUAAUGGAGACUUUUUUUAAAUAAAGUCUAAUCAGAUCAUAUCAGAUACGAAAAUAAAAUCAGAUGUUGAUGUUGAUGGAUUUACUUCUCAAUGACAGUUGGAUGGGAGAAGAAAAGUUUAGUCCAAAAACUAAUGGUCGGAAAGCAUAAGGUACAAGGUGGGCUAGCCCUCACCCAACAAUACAAUCUCGUGGGUUGAGUUAGGCUAAUAUUAUUGUUGCUUGUGUACUCGGGUGGACCUAAUCCUCGUAUGGAGAGCUGGAGUUGAUUUGUUGUGUACUCUAAGGGCCCAGUUGGCACGUGGCUUUUCUCGGCUUGGGCUUCAACUGUUGUAGCAUUGGAAUGUUACUGCAGCACAUAGCUAUUUCUCUCCCUCGCAAUAAAAUAAAUUGGGAGCCGAUGAAGUCUGGUUUCUUUGUUUUCACCGGCUCCGUCUCCUCAUGCCAUUGUAGCAUCAAAAGAAGCCCUCCUAAACGUACGCCCUAACAGUUGUGUUAGUGGAACGGCAUCCAGCAAUGCACGAAUGCAGCACUUCUGCCAAAAACAUGAGCCUGCUGUCUGUCAGAUACACAUGUACACACCCAAAUAACCUAAUCGCUGAUAAUCUUUAGCAACAAGGGGUCAAACAAGGAAUUUAGUUACUUGUACACUUCUUCCAACGAACUUCAAUGUAGCCGUAAUUAAUUCGAUCGUAUUGGAAGUCAUAAACACAUAAUUAGCACUAUGCACUUAAGAUUAUGUUGUUUCUUUGACUUGGAACAAGUAGCUAGUGAACACUUGCGCGGACAACAUGCUAGCAUGCAGUUUGAAGACAGGAAGUGCAUUCUGCAGGACAGCAUGCUAGCCCGUUAAAAAUAUGUUCUACUCCUACAGUACAUACAGAUCUCACAUGUCAAUACUAGCAAAGUCGUUGCAUUGAGGGCAGUCCCAAUGGGACAUUGAUGAUAGUUUCUAUCCCUCUUAAUUAUCAUGUCAACUAAGCAAUUUGCUGAUGUGGCAGUAGAUUUAUUAUGGAGAGAGAGAAACCAUUUCUUAGAGAGGAAACCAAGUCCUCACGCGCACCAAUGAGCUAAGAAACCAGCGAUUCUGCAUUGGGGACCCAAGUAGUUUCUUCUUAAUUACUGCAGGAUCCUUUGCGCUUGCACCGCUGCUACCCAUCACUCGAGCUCCUUUACAUGAUGCACAGAGGAUCUGGUACUAGAAGGGAGAAUGAUUGGUUGGAUUUUUAUUUAGACUCUAGAUAAAAAAGUUGCAUUGUGAAGGAUGAUUUCUUGAUACAAUAUCCUAGACUAUGGAAACUAGGUUGGUUUCUCCCAUUGGACUGCCCUAACUUGAUCACUAUUAUUCAGUUCACACUUCUCAAGAACCGAUCACAUCUUUCAUUAAGUAAAGUCCACGGGCCACGGCGAUGCUCAUGCCUGCAGCUCUUGUUCAAACAAAUACCUAUGCCUAAACAAACAUCAUGUGGUAGCAGUAAAAGUUUAAUGGAGACUUUUUUUUUGAAAUAAGUCCUAAUCAGAUCAUAUCAGAUACGAAAAUAGAAUAUACCACGAGGCAAUCGAGGUAACAAAAAGAAGGAGAAAGUUGGUGAGAUACAACGAGAGGAUUACAGGUUGGUAGGCUGACACCCAAUUAAUGGUGCGUUCUUGGAAAAACGCAUCCACUGUCAGGCUACUUACUCUAGCGGUAGCAGUACCCUUAGUUGCGUGUUAGCUGUUAGCUCAAAGUUGAUGUGAAUCCUAUGUAUAAGAUAGCUUAGGAUCUGUUUGGAUACACACUCAUAAUCUUUAGGACUUCACUUUUAGUCCACUUUUAGGACUUGUGCAUUCAAACAUAUGUCAUAAAAGUGCAUUCAUAAUAUUUAGGGUCUGUUUGGAUACACCCUCAUAAACUUUAGGACACUCAUAAAGUUUAGGAGCUAGAAAUUGGUAGUCCUAGAAUUUAUGAGUGGGCUGUUUGGAUGGAAUCAUAAUCUUUAGGAUGUUGGAGGGGAAAUGACUUUUGUACCCCUAAUUACUCCACCCCUGCUCUGUUUCUAGCGCCGUGGAGAGAGAAGGGGAGGGGCAACAGGGGUAAAGGAUGGGUUGGGGACCACUUUUAGGAGAGAAAUGACCCAUUAUGAUGGUUUGGUCCUCCUAAUGAAAACAACACUCCUAAACAUUAUGAAUGCACUUUUAUGACAUAUGUUUGGAUGCACAAGUCCUAAAAGUGGACUAAAAGUGAAGUCCCUCACUACCCACGCUUUUGUANNNNNNNNNNNNNNNNNNNNNNNNNNNNNNNNNNNNNNNNNNNNNNNNNNNNNNNNNNNNNNNNNNNNNNNNNNNNNNNNNNNNNNNNNNNNNNNNNNNNNNNNNNNNNNNNNNNNNNNNNNNNNNNNNNNNNNNNNNNNNNNNNNNNNNNNNNNNNNNNNNNNNNNNNNNNNNNNNNNNNNNNNNNNNNNNNNNNNNNNNNNNNNNNNNNNNNNNNNNNNNNNNNNNNNNNNNNNNNNNNNNNNNNNNNNNNNNNNNNNNNNNNNNNNNNNNNNNNNNNNNNNNNNNNNNNNNNNNNNNNNNNNNNNNNNNNNNNNNNNNNNNNNNNNNNNNNNNNNNNNNNNNNNNNNNNNNNNNNNNNNNNNNNNNNNNNNNNNNNNNNNNNNNNNNNNNNNNNNNNNNNNNNNNNNNNNNNNNNNNNNNNNNNNNNNNNNNNNNNNNNNNNNNNNNNNNNNNNNNNNNNNNNNNNNNUGAUGUACUGAUCGACUAUGAUAUUAGUGAUCGUCCUAACUAAUCAAAGUACUGCGUACUGAGAGACUGAUCCACUCGUAGCGUGUCGGUGGACGUUGAUUUCGAAGCCUUCCAUUGCCUCAACGCGCUCCACCGGCUUAUUCUAUAGACUGUCGUAUGGGCAAGAGCACUCGAUGGUUGACUUGACUCUCUCCAUCAUGCAUGUAUAUAUCAGAUCAAUCUAAACAGCCCACUCAUAAAUUUUAGGACUACCAAUUUCUAGCUCCUAAACUUUAUGAGUGUCCUAAAGUUUAUGAGGGUGUAUCCAAACAGGCCCUUAGAAGGUUGUGCUGUGAAAGAAAAUUACAUCAAAAACUGAGCGAGACUAGCUCUUCACUCCACGCUUGUCUCGUACAUUUUGCACUGUUCAGCUACCUCUGAACUGAAUCAUUGGAGACGCUCCUACGAUGAUACAGGCAGUAUGUUCGUUUGUGAGCUUCCUUGGUCAUGUUGUUCAAUUCUGCUGGGUGUCCACCGUGUGUUGAUUGAUCACUUUCAUGUGUGAAGUGACUCGAACAAAAAAUCGAUCACUUGCACUUUGUGUUGAUCGAUCACUUUCCGAUGUUUCGCCGGACUAGAAGGCCAGCCCCUCCGCAGGCCAGGCGCAAUGCAAGGGAGAGGAAUUCCUUCAUCUGCUCUCCGUGGACUGAACCAUAAAUUAAUUAGCAAAGGAACAUUUUACUAUAAUACCCUUGCUUAACGUAAUUACUGUGGAGGGAACCUGAGGUUUUCCUUCCAAGCACAGUAAGUAGGCUAAUUAUCAUACAUUUUCCCAGCACAAUUUCACAGUAUUUCGCACAUGCAUGUGUAGUUUUGUAGGAGUUGGCCCCAGGCCUUGCGUGUAGCAUCCUUUUGGCAUCCCUCAACCUUAAUAAGACACCGUUUGCUGGUGGCAAGGCAGCUCUUUUUCAAUUCAUAAUCUUGUUGUCUAAAUUUUUUUACAACUGUUUGGGCAUCUAUACAAUUUAAGUAAAUAAAUCAACUGGAAACUUGUACAUCUCAUAAAAAGAUCGUCUCUAUGGGGCUCCUUUCCAAGAAAGUCAUGAAUUUUUUAAACAAACCGACAUUCAAAUGUGCCAGUCUGUAAAGCUAUUGAUAAAAUAAAGUAUUAAAUUGAGUUUUAAUAUUAGAUAACAUGACUAAUCAGUAUUUGGCCAUUAUCAAUGCUCAGUUAGCUAAAAUAUUUGGCCUACCAAUCAGAUAAGGUUAGACAUUGGAGGUUGGAAAACAUUCGUCCAGCAGAGAACUGAACGAUAUUUAAUACAGUUUUGGACAGAAUGUUUUUUCUGAAAUUUUGUAAAAGUUCCGAACUGGACUAAAAUUUGACAUAACAUUUUGUUCGACCAGACGAGAACAUGUAUGUUCAAUGUGCACUAGGGUCCACUGAGUUAAAGCUUGGCCCCUAGCUGAGCGUAGGGUGGUACCGUGAGAACCUCAAGGGACAUAAGCAUCUAAUCUAAGAGUUUUUAAGCAUUGAACAUAUGUCUUUUUUUUAGAAACCAUAGGAGAUCAUAUGGUUAUUUCCAUGUGGUUUAAUCGGUGAUCAACUGCAGUCCCUAGAGACCUAGAGAUGACAUUAGCUUCGACCGUUAUAUAUAUAUAUAUAUAUAUAUAUAUAUAUAUAUAUAUAUAUAUAUAUAUAUAUAUAUAUAUAUAUAUAUAUAUAUAAAGGGUAAAGGAAAAAGAAGAGGUUGUUAUAAGUGAAGAAGAUCAAUGGGAGAUCAAUAAUAAAAUUUUAUUAGAAAGUUAUGAAGAAGAGGAUGAAGAUAUGCCCCACAUAUAUAUAUAUAUAUAUAUGGACUUCUUUUUGAGGAGUCUUUUAGAAGUUUUUCAGAAAAUUGGAUACGAUUCUCCUAGAAAACAGAAUUCCAAAACACGUUUUACACGUAUAUAUCAUGACGGCAUGCAAUUUAUAUCCAUUUUUUGAGGUUCAAGACAGCAAGUGCUAAGCGACGUAGUUGGCUUUCUCCUCCUGCAUGGCCUCCGCGAGUUUGGACCACUUUGUGCGGACGGUGACCACCAGCAAUGAGCAGGCCUGGCAUGUCAGCCCACAUAUCAGCCCCACCCACAAACCCUGCAGAAAAAAGAAUAUACAACAACAAUACAGCAAUUAAGCUGGAAAUUUGGACAGUUUCGGACAAUACAGCAAUUCAUCCAGCAGAAAACUUAUCGAUUUAAUACAGUUUUGGACAGAAAUCAUUUUUGCUGAAAUUUGGUAAAAAUUCCAAACUACACAAAAAUUGACACAACAUGUUGUUCGACCAGACGAGAACAUGUAUGUUCAAUGUGCACUAGGGUCCACUGAGUUAAAGCUUUGCCCGUAGCUGAGUACAGGGUGGUACCGUAAGACCAGUCUAAGUGCACAGUUUCAUUGUCCAGUUAUCAAGAUAGAGAACGAGGUAACUGUGUCAGCUGAGUGUUAUGGAGAUGAAACUCCUCUCUCAUCUGAUGAAACUUCUCCUCUUAAUUACCUUGGCAAGUUAGCAAUUUUGCUGAUGUGUCAUUAAAUCUAAUACCAUGAAACUCCUAUGAAACCCUCCAUUAAGACUGGUCUAAGAACCUCGAGGAACAUAAGCAUUUAAGAGUUUUUAAGCCUUGGACAUACUUUGUUUUGUUAGAAACCAUAGGAGAGGUCUGAUGGUUCUAGCCACGUGGUUUAAUCGGUGAUCAACUGCAGUCACCGGAGAUGACAUUAGCUCCUUUUUGAGGUGGAUGGUCAGAAGCUUCUUUUUGAGGAGUCUUUUAGAAUUUUUUUCAGAAGACGGGUUACUGUCACACCUGGUUUUAAAAUAAAACCAACUACUACCUAUAUGUCACACCUGGUUUUAAAAUAAAACCAACUACUACCUAUAUGUAUUUCAGAAUCUAGUUUCAUACAUAUAGUGACAUCAUAAGUGAAUAACAGUCCAGUAUCAAGUAAAUGAAUAUAAAUAAUGACUUACGGGUCUAUCAGAGAUAUACAGCUUAAUCUGAGAAACAGAGGCUCCAAACUUCACAGACAAUCUACUGGGGGUUGCGUACGCUUAGAAUUCAGCAUCAUCUUAAGAAAACUUCACACACCCUUCCUCUUCUGAGUAGCAGUAAGUAAGCGUGAGUACACUUAUGGUUGGUACUCAGUAAGGCCACAAGAAAUAGCCAGAAUAACAAUUUAAAUCCAUCUUCAAGUUUAUUAAUCAUGUGAGGGUCCAGGCCGCUCUUGACCAUGAGCACAGCUGUUAUAACAAUUUUACACUCUGCAAAGAUUGUACACUUUCACCACAAGUCGCGUAAAAGUUUAGAAGAACUUUGGAACCAACGAUGCUAUGCAAAAGUAGGCACUUAUCACACUACCGAGGUGUGACUGUAUAGGGAUGCUACGAGACCUUUACAAAGAUUUCCUAGUAAGGAUAACUCGCUAAGGUUUCAUGAUCAACGCAAUGCAUAAACCUCUCGCAAACUGCAAAGCUACCAUAGAGCAGAUCAGUUUGAGGGCCGAGCUAUAUACCAACUAUUGUCUCCCCCUUUUGCUCCUUUCAGGCAAAGCUACCACAAACUAGAGUUUCUAAUUAAUUUUCUAAGACCAAAGCCAUGUGAUUCUUAUCGUUGCACUGUUUUCCUGGGUGGUUCUCCAAUUAUGACAUGGUGGUCUUGUAAAUAAGCAUAGAUACAAGGAUAGCUAAGGACACUUGCCUUUCUCCAACGAAAAGUUACUCUUACUGCUCUUCAGCUCUUGCUCUCUUGAAACUCUUAAUCUUCAAAUCUUUUGAACAACAAUCCUUCUACUUGAAGCAAUCAUCAGGUCCCAACAUACAAAGCAAACAAACAAGUAUAAUUAAGAACAAUACACCAAUCAAAGAGAAAAGCUUUAACAGAGUGUACUAAAGAAUAGGGCUUGAUUCUACAAUAAGGAAGGCACAUAAAACACUAAGAAUAAUGAUACCGUUGAAAUAUACAUCUACCGAGAAACUUUUUGUACAGAAAAAGACAAGAGCUAUAUGCUGAAGUUAUUUUAACUAGAAAUCAUAUUUUAACUAUAAAAUAUCCUAAGUUAGAGUUGAUUCAAAUUAUAUUUUUAUCUGAAAAGAUGAUGUAAAACCUAGUAAACUUUUAUUUAUAAAUAUUCAUGUACAAAUUAUGCCAUUUAAACAUUUAACUUUGGAAAAAUAAACUAUAUGUAAUAAUAUCUAAUCAAUAACUUUAUAUGUCGCAUUGAAUAAAACAAGUUAUAAUUAGAAACUCAUUCACGUUGAUGUUAAUCAUAUUAACACUUGCUUAAAGAAAACCGUUGUAUAAACCUAAUUAGCUUUUAAUUAGAAAAAGCUAAGUAAAUAAGCAUUAAUUAAAAUUAAUACCAUACUUAUUUUCAAAAACACGAAACAUGGCGAAACAAUGUUGCUAAACUAUAGCUUAUGAUUAGAAGAGUAACACAGCAAGAACCGACUAGAAUGAAACUUUGGUCGAGAAGAUACAUUAUCAAAAGAUUUGGGUUCAUAAAAGAAAAGAAACUAUGUGCUUCAUACAUUUUAAAUGUAGAAAUCAAUGUGGAUGAUAUUUUAGAGAAAUAUCCUAUGUUAGAAUUAACUCACAUUAUAUUUAUAUUUUGAAAACAUGAAGUAAAGCUUAGUCAAAAUUUAGUUACAAAUGUCCAUGUAUAGUUUAUACUACUUUAAACAUUUAAUUUGGAAAAGAUAUCACAUGUGGGAACAUCUAAGCGCAUAACUUUAUGAUUCAUGUUGAACUAACUAAAUUAUAAUUUAAAAAUACAUUUAUAUUUAUAUUAUCCAAAUUAACAUUUAAUUAUGAAAACUCGAGAUAUAACCUAUGUAGCUUUUAUUUAUAAAACAAAUUGAGUUUAAUUUAUAAAAAUCUGAGGUAUAUCUCUAAUUAGCUUUUAAUUGAAAAACAUUUAAGAUGAAGCAUUAAUAAAAUUAACAUUUAUUAUGCAAAGCGGUGUAUAACACUAAAUACCUUUUAUUAAAGACAACAUAUUUAAUAGGUGUUAACCAAAUUAAUAUCAAAUUUAUUUUCAAAAAUAUGCAAUGAUGGAAAACAUCACCAUUGACGUGUAAUUUAUGUUGUUAUGAAUCUAACGCAACUUGAAUGGAUAGAAACGGAGCUAAAACUUGUAAUUUAUGGAUUAAACAAGGUUCUAAGGACCUAAAUAGAAUUAACUGUAGAUACCAGGGGCUAGCAGAGAAGAUUUGCAAGAUAGAGCAAACAGUGCUUGUAAAGAGGAAAAAGGUUAGGACUAUAUCUAUAAAAACUCUCAGGUAGGACUAGGGUGUAGAGAUUUUAAGGUCUUCAGGGGUUUGUCUACAAAAAAACCAAGACACAGGGAACCUUGGACUAUUUACAGAUUUCGUUAGGGGCUUCAUCGCAAAGAGCUCGAGAGGGCUUUUGGCCGGCCAAAUCGCUGGCGCUACGGGCAAUUUGGAGCUCGGCCAAGGCAGGGAAGAUGAAGAGGAGGUCGAGAGGAACUUGUAGGGUAGCUCAUCGUCGGCGGAGAGUCACGGCAUUGCCAGGAAUCUGGCGGCAGAUAGAGGAUGGCGGCCGGCUCGGGCCAUCAUGGGCGGCGAUGUUCCAGCGGUGGGAAGGUGAUGAGAACGAGCGGCAGAUGUGCAGCAUGAGGAAGGGAAGCACGAGGCGAUGUCAGCUUGCUCUAGGGAUGUCGGGAGGCGUCAAAUCGAAGCGGUGGCGGUGCUAUGCUCCUCCUACUCCAGGCGGCAACGCUCGCCCCGUUUGCUCGGAUUGCGGUGGCACUGGGCGAGGCAGCAAGGCAGUGGCAAUGCAUGCACGGCAGGGGCAUGCGGGGGUCAGGUGCUACGUUUUAUAGGGACGCGGGGCGGCCACGGCUUAGCGCGCAUGCCAAGGCUGGCCAGCGACAGCGGCAGCAUGCUGCGCUGUGGCCGUUGGCCCAGAUGGGCCUCGACUACAUCAUCCAUGUAGGCUUCUACGUUGAAGUGUAGUUGCGAUGAGAUCCUUUGGAUUUCUUGUUUUGACGACUACAUCAUCCACGUAGGCUUCUACGUUGUGCUGUAGUUGCUUCUCAAAACACAUCUGGAUUGCGCGUUGAUAUGUUUUACCUGUGUUCUUCAACCCGAAGGACAUUGUCUUGUAACAGAAAGCUCCAAACGGGGUGAUGAAGGCAGUUUUGGCUUGGUCUUCUUCCUUGAUUGCUAUCUGAUGGUAACCUGAGUAGCAAUCGAGGAAACAGAGUAGUGCACAACUAGCUGUGGAGUCGACGACUUGGUCGAUCCUGGGUAACCCGAAGGGGUGUUUGGGGCAGUGCUUAUUGAGGUCUGUGUAGUCUACACACAUCCUCCACUCAUUGUUGUUUUUCUUACGAACGAGUACUGGGUUGGCUAGCCAAUUAGGGUGGAAAACUUCCUUGAUGAAGCCAACUACGAGUAGUUUGGCUAGUUCUUUCUUGAUAGCGUCUCUCCUGUCUUGAGUAAAUCUUCGUAUCCGUUGCCAUUUAGGAGUAGGUUUGGGAUCAACAUUUAGUGAGUGCUCGAUCAGUUCCUUGGGCACACCUGGCAUAUCAGCCAAUUUCCAAGCAAAGAUGUCUCAGUUAGCCUGAAGGAAACUGAUGAGCGCGCUUUCCAAUUGGGGAUCCAGCCCUAUGCUAAUGAGGGUUGUCUUGGAUGAAUCACCAAUCUCUAGGUCAAUGGGCUUGGAAUCCUUGUUUGUUGCUAGCUUGACCUUGGCCACCCCCGCCUUGUUCUCUGGAAUCUCGAGUUCUGUUGGGGUGAGUUUUUUCGAGACUGUGAAGACUUGUUGCAUGGGACUAGGUGCUUGAGAAGUCGCAGCGAUUUCGAUGGCUUCUGCGUCGCACUCAUAGGAUCGCCUCAGGUCUCCACAUAGUGUGAGUUCACCUUUUGGUCCUGGCAUCUUGAGCAGUAGGUAUGCGUAGUGUGUUAUAGCCAUGAAUUUAGCUAGAGCUGGUCUUCCGAGGAUGGCGUGGUAAGAAGUCUCGAAGUCAGCGACCUUGAACUUAAUGUACUCGGUGCGAUAAUGUUCCUUUGUACCGAAGGUGACAGGUAAGACGACUUGCCCUAAUGGGAUAGCGGCGUUGCCUGGAACAAUUCCGUAGAAAGGAGAAUCUAUUGGAGUAAGCAUAUCAGUUAUGUCGAGGCACAUUUUCCUCGAGGUUUUGGCGAAGAUGACGUUGAGUCCACUACUAGCAUCGAUGAGUACUUUUGUUAGUCUUAAGCCUGCGAUAACUGGGUCGAGUACCAAGGGAAAAGGCCUGGCUCUGAGAAGUUGGUCCAUUGAUCCUUUCUGCUGAAAGAAAUUGGCACCUCGGACCACUUGAGUGGGGUGGGAGUCGCUGGCUCGAUGGCCAUGAUCUCUCUGAGCACUAGCAUGUUGGACCACUUCAAUGUGGUACCUGGGAUUCCGCCAAAGAUGACGUUGACAUUUUUUGAUGCGACUUAAAAUUUGUCUUCGCCAUCAUCGGUUUCGUCCACCUUGCCUUUGCCUUUGUCUCUGGAGUUUGCGGUCAAGUUUUUUUUAUUAUUUUUGGGCGGAGGAGCUUUGGGUAGUUCUUGCAUUACUCUACGGAGGCUCUAGUAGUCUAUUGCGGAGUGGUUACUGUGUGGAUGCCAUGGGCAUUGCUUCUUGAGUAAGUCGCUGAAUGAGGGGCUGUCAUUGUGUUUGUUUGCCCCUUUUUUGUUUGAGUUGGUAAGUGUUGCAACGGUGUUGUCGGGUUUGCGCUUGUGAUUCUAGUGACCCGAGGUAAUUGUUUCAGGUAUCAUUGUUGCGAUUUCUGUCUAGGUUUUGGUUGUUACCUUGGCUGUUGUUGUUGUUGCCCCCACGGUUGCGAUCAAACCUCUCACGUUCUUUGUCCUCCUCGUCUGCCCACUGCUGUACCAUGAUCUUCAAGUCUUUGACACUCGUAGGACAGUGUCUGCCAAAAUCUUGGUACAUGCGUUGGUCCUAGAGUCCAUUUUGAAAACAUUCAAUCACGUCUCCCUCUGAGAUGUCGACAAUCGUAGCCUUCUUCUCGAAGAAAUGACGUAGGUAGUCGCGCAACAAUUCGCCUUCCUGUUGUUUGACUUGGCUUAAGUCAACUUUGUUGCCUGGAUGUUGCAUUGAUCCCGUAUAGUUGUUGGUGAAAGCUGUUUUCAAUUCUUCCCACGAGUCGAUUGACUUGGGCUUGAGAGACUCGAGCCAAGUCAAUGGCGCGGGUUCCAUCCAUAUGGGAAAGUAGAUGACUUUUGUCUCGUUGUUACCCCCAGCUAUUUGGACUGCUAAUGAGUAGCAUCGGAGCCAUUGGACCGGGUCUUGUUUGCCAUCGUACUUGUUGAUUCCCAUUGGUUUGAACUUGUCGGGUAAUUUAGUAUGCAUGACUCGUGUGGUGAAGGUGGGGAAGUAGUCGGGAACAUCGGUUUCUGCUUCUCAUUCACAAUGACGGUUUCUGAUUAUGUCCCGAUCAUCGUGAUUCUGGUUGAGUACUUCCCUGAGAUCACUCAUGUAUGAAUGUUCCCGAUUGGUUCUAUGGCGAUGAGGACUUUGUGCGGAGUUGGUGUGACUAGCUUCUCCCGCACCUUUGUUUUUCUGUGGUGCUUUGGGUGCACCGCCACGUCUUGGAGCAUCUCUGCUACCAUUGUGCUGGCUAGAGUUGUGGUGUACAGAAGGGAUUGGUGACUCCUUGUCGAGCAACUGGUAAGCAUUUGCCACGAGUUGUGCUAUUAACUUGUUGCCUCUUCAUGUGAGUUGUACCGCGAGCUUGUUGUCUAUGUCCUGAGGUAUGAGGGUUGUUAAGAGAUUGAUCGAGGUGAUUGCUGUGAGUGGGGUGUUGUGCUCUCGUGCUUGUACUGCAUCGAAUGCUCGCUCGAGAUUCACAAUAGGUAUGCUUGCGAAAAGUAGUCGGCGACGUUCUACUCGAGUAGCGUUGCGAUUUCUUCUUUGAAUUCAUUGCUCACUUGUUGCAUCAUCCGGGGCAUUGGCUGAGAGCUCAUCAUCAGAGACUUCUUCAUGUUGUCCUACCCGUCGAGGUGUUCUGUGGUGCUCGUUAGUCGAGGUGUUUUGUGGUGAUGGUUACUAGUCGCGACUUCGUCGUGUGGUGACAUGACAACAAAGAGUUCCCUAUCUGAAUAGUAGCAUCCUAAGCUUGAGGUUGCAAUCUCUGUGGCGCUAUCUUCUCCUCGGAUUGGAGUAAGUGGAGUGCCCUGUUUAUAUGGGAGGGUACCCAUGUGGGCGACUAGGCAUGACUCGUAGUUUUGGGUAAGGGAUGAUGGCUUCAUCCCUGGCCAAUAAACGAAUUUGCCUUGCGAUGUGGAUGUGAUAACCAAACCUUGUGCUGGGUCUGAUGAAGGGUGUUCUUGAACGGAGUCCGAGUUGUAGUCGUAGUCCUCAACUGUUUCUUGUCCUGAUUGGACUCGAGUGAGGAGUUCUUGGUGGACCCUGGCUGCGUUUCGGAACCCGAACGGGAAUCAACUUCGAUUUGAAAUCGACUUGCAAGGUGACUUGGAUACUAACCUGCGUGGGCUAGUCCGAGUCGAGGUCGAGUCCAAGCUGUAGUCGAACUCGAUGCUGUUGACGUUGAAAUUUUGGAUUCUCUCAAUGGAAUUUUCCACUUCUUGAUGAAGAGGGUUUUCGUUCAGAUGCUUCUUCUCCAGCUUCUCGAUGAUGCAACGUUGGAAAUUUCCAAAGCCAUCAACGAUGCAGAGCAAGGAGCCGAAGAUGAAAGUUGCGCCCACCUCGAAAGCAAAUGCAGGUUUGAUGAUGGUUGGUGCCAUCGAUCUCGCGCGGAGAAAUUCGGCGACUCCCCCUACCUGGCAUGCCAGCUGUCGGUGUUUUAUACCGGUAACCCGCCUAGGGAGUACCUGAGGUGGUGUUUCGUGCGGUGGGUGUCGCCGAGAAUCAAGGAGUCGAUGGUGACACAGGAACACGAUUUACACAGGUUCAGGCCGCUAGAUCGCGUAAUACCCUACAUCCUGUGUAUGGAUUGUAUUGAUGAGUUGUGUUGCUUGCAGGGGUUCCUUGCCCACCCUUAUAUAGUCGGGGGAGCAUGGUUACAGGGUAGGAGUCCUAGUCGAACACGGUCACAGAGUCCUACUCGGUGAAGUAGUUUCCUUGUGUAUUCCGACUAGUCUUCAGGAGUCCGUGUAGGCUACGUUACCCUGCAGCGCAGCCUCAUGUCCUAAUCACGUCCAAGUACGCCCCUUGAGUGGGCUAUACAAGGCCUACUCGUGGACCCAAGGAUGUAUGCCCGACAGGGCUAGCUGGGUCGAGCCCAAGGCUCGGCCCAGAGGGAAAGGAUUUGGCUCUAGAAAAAAAUAAGAAUAAAUUAUAGAAAAAGCUGGAAAAUUUUCUCAGAAGGGUCUGGACAUCAUAUAAACGCAUAUUAAAACCUUUUGCACUCAAAAAAUACUAAGAUGCAUUGGUCUGAAUACAACACACAGAGCAACACUAUUUAAUUUAAAAAACAACCAAUUAUUUUUCCUAUACUACAUUUCCUGUCAAGAAAAUAAAUGUUGGGAAAAUUUUAAAAUUAUGAUAAAAUCAUUGUUUAAUUGUUCUUUCUAAUCACAUCCUGAAAUCCAAAAAUUUCAGGGCGUGAUAGAUACGAUUCUCCUGCAAAACAGAAUUCCAAGACACGUUUAAUUUUAUAUUUAUAUAUCGUCACGGCAUGCAAUUUCUAUCCAUUUUUUGUUUGGUCAAGAUAGCAUGUGCUAAGCGACGUAGUUGGCUUUCUCCUCCUGCAUGGCCUCCGCUAGUUUGGUCCACUUUGUGCGGACAGUGAUCACCAGCAAUGAGCAGGCCUGGCAUGUCAGCCCACAUAUCAGCCCCACCCACAAACCCUGCAGAAAAAGAAUGUAAAUGCAGCAAUUAAGCUGGAACGUUGUCGUUGGCAAGAAAUUGAUUCACUUUAAUUUUUAAUUUUUACAAGUACCUUGGUGUGGAACUUGAAUUUGAAGGAGAAAAGGAUGGCCAGCGGCAUUCCGAUUAAGUAGAACGCCACAAGGUUGGUCAUGGCCCCCAUGUGCUGCCACCCACAGCCCCUCGACACGCCUGACAGGACGCCCUGUGCAGCGUCGAGCACAAUGGAGAUCAUCAUGAGCGGGGUGAUGGCCGCGAAUUCCGAGAUGAUCCUCGAGCUCCUACUGAAGAGGCUGGCCCAUAGGUUGUGGCCGAACGCCAGCAACAGGACGAAGGAGACGGCGAGGAACACUGAGAGCUUCAACGUCACGGAUACCGCAUUCUUCGCCUUGUCCACAUUCCCCGCACCGAUCUCGUUCGACACCCGUGUGCUGCACCAAACAUUAAUCCAUGACCCAUCAUGCGUGAAAUAAACACAAUGGUACAAGAACAACUGUGGCUGAGAAGGAAGAAGCAUAUGGAAUUCGUUCAGACAGAACCGGGCUGGCAUGUGAUGUAACGCACCUUACGGUGGCACUGAACCCAACUGUGAUCAUGCACGCAAUCGCCUCAGUGCUAACGCUGCACACAAUUUGCAGGCCAUGUACGUCAUCGUUGGGCUCACGUUGUUAGUUUAAUUUGCAUAUCUGAAGAUCAAAUAAAGACUAUCGUAAUAUAAAGGUAUUUACCAUAUGGCGAUCAGCGGCGUAGCCACGGUGGGAUGGGGAAGUAAACCAGCUAUGAGCACCAGGAGCUCGAACGCCCAUAACUCCAAGCUGCAGCCGGAAUGUCUCACCGGUCAUGAUUCAUGAAUGUCACUGGCACGAGGAACACGAUACUGUAUGUCACUGGCAAGAUGUACACUUACCAGACCAUGAUGGCAGAUGGCGUUGCGAGCUUCACGGUAGGCAACACGUACAUGAAGGCGUCGGCAGAAAACCCUCUCCAUGUUUCACAGAACUCCUUGGAGAUCAGCACAUAGGCGAACAGCAUCAGGCAGCAGACCCAAAACGUUGCUGAGACCGCCGCGGAAGCGCCCGCGAGCCCCAGGCCAAACACGUUCACCAGCAGGUGCGCCAGGGCGACAUGCAGGACGAACGGCACCACGGAGCAGACGACGAGCGGUAGUACCACGGACUGCGUCUGAAGGUAUCGGAGCAGGCAAUGCACGAAGGAAAACGCAAAGAGACCGGGUAUCUGGGCCUGCACAAAAAUCCCAGCAGCGUGGGACACUUCGGGGUCCUGCCGGAGGAGAAGCAGCAGCGGCUCCGUGAAGUACCAAAGCACGGAGAUAAGCAGGGAUGCGGCAGCAGACAUGAUGAACGACGACUGCAGGUACAGGCCCAGCAUGCGGUACAGCCGGGCGCCGUACGCCUUCCCACAAAGCGUCUCCAGGGCUCCGCUCAGGCCCAUCUGGAAAAUAGCAACGGUCACAUCAUUUCGAUCAAAAUAUAUGAUUUGUUUGUUGAUUCUACAAAAUUUCAUAGUGAUAUUUUAACACCAUUACAAGUACAUGUUUUCUUCAUUUUCUUGAUUUCUGAAAACCAUUUAUCAGUAUAUAUAUGAUUUUUUUCUACCAAAUUUGUGGUCGUAAUUAAUUAAACAUGUGAGUUUUUCUAUUUAGAAUUGUUUAGAGAGAGGAUGAGAGAGAGAAUAAAGGAUUGACAUAAUUAUGUUAGGUUUAAUGCUACUAGAAAUAUAUAUUAUUUGUUUUCAUAUGAAGGUUGUGCUUGCCUUCUCAAGAAAUAGCAUGUAGUGUGUGUGCGCUAAUAACUAUUUUUUUCAUAUAUCCUAAAGAUGAAGAAAACCGCGACGCGAAAGUGCAUUAGCGAUGGAUGCUUGCCAAUCUCUUCAUAUAACUGGGCGUAGUAAGCAUGUCUAGUGAUGAAUAUAUGUAAGACAUAUANNNNNNNNNNNNNNNNNNNNNNNNNNNNNNNNNNNNNNNNNNNNNNNNNNNNNNNNNNNNNNNNNNNNNNNNNNNNNNNNNNNNNNNNNNNNNNNNNNNNUGUCCCCAAGGCACACCUCCAUUCCUACGGGCCCAUAUAUAUUAUAUAUUCGUGUUUGCGUUUGUUAUGUAAUGAGAUGGGAAAUAUAAAUUUAUAAAUUGGCAACAAAUAACUAUAUAAAAAUGGGUAGAACCAUUUGAAUAUUCAAAAUAGUGCGUCUAUUCAAAAUAGUACAAAUUGAUUUGUGCAGCGGUUGGCUUAACAGAGUAGCGACACUUAUAGAGAGACACUUAUUCGUAUCAAUUUUGGCUUAACAGAGUAGCGACACUUGUAGAGAGACACUUAUUCGUAUCAGCUCAUUAGUGCUAGCCAUAAAAAAGCCGGCACGAAUAAGUUAUUCGUGCUGGUGUCUAAUAGAGCCUUAAUGGAUAAUCCACUAUCCGUGGAGCCGGCACGGAUAAUUCUUAUUUGUGAUGCACGGAUAGUCAUCUGGAUUAUUCGUUCCGGCUCGGGUAUGGACUUCAAAAAAUUCAAACUUUUACAUAUGGACUCAGAUUGCGACAAGCUUUAUAUGGAAGUGGUAUGUUUCAACAAGAUUUAAAACUUUGUAGUUUAACGAUUUUUAAUUUGAAAUCAUUUAGAUGCCCAAAGUUAUAACUUUAGCAUACCUUUUGCGUCCAUAUCAUUUGAAUUUUGUGUUUUAUUUGGAAAUUCAUAACUUUGUGAUAUGGACUAGCAUAAAGGCAUAUUUAUAUGAAAGUUAUAGAUUUCAACCUGAUCUACAACUUUGUAGGUGAAAGUUUUCAAUUUAAAGUUGUUCAUAUGUCAAAUAAUUUCAGCUCUUGUUUCCCCCUUUAUUCUCAUCCUUCUAAGUUGAAUUUUCUAUUGUGUUUGGAAAUUUGUAACUUCUGCAUAUGGUUUCAGAUGGAGAUGAACAUUACAUGGAACUUGUAGGCUUCGAUGAGAUCUACAACCUUGUAGUUAAAAGUUUUUUAUUUAAAUUCAUUUAUGUGCCAAAAUAAUAGAUAAAAGCUUUAGGCAACACGGGUCAAAAGGAAUAGAACUUUAUUAUGCGUGCAGAUAUCUAGCGUAGGUAGAGUGGUAGAGAUGUAUCGCGCGGGUCAAAAGGAAUAGAACUUUAUUAUGCGUGCAGAUAUCUAGCGUAGGUAGAGUGGUAGAGAUGUAUCGCGCGAGAUCGGAGGUUGUGAGUUCGAAAAUCGGACACUGCACGCGCAGAUAUUUCAGGGGUGACUUGGGACCGUGAGCUUAGCUCAGGGUGCCUCAUAAACAAUAUUUUUUUUGCUAUUUUCGUUUGUAAAUUGCUAUUUCUACUACCUGCGUCGGUGUGUUAUCCCACCGACAUGUAUAAUCCAUUAUUCGUGUCUGCUUCGACAUUGCCAUGAACAACCAACCUAAUUCGCAUAGAUGUCGUGGUGCCAGUCCCAUAACCGGUACGAAUGAGGUUUUCACGCCAGCACGAAUGAGUUCUGCAGUAGCGGUCAGGCAUUCACUAGCAUAUAUCGUCAUUUGUAUAGGUUGAAGGUUGCUGGCGCAAACUGGUUUUGAUUACCGUACACAAGUAGUUUCUACAGUUGUCGACAACAAGGUUCGGUGGAAGUUGUGGUACACAGUUUCCGUGGUUGUGCCAAGAGUCUGGUAAGGAGGUUCACAUGGUGGAGGAGUAGGGCGGGAAUCUCAACAAAAGAUAUGUUGGAUCUUAAGCUACUGUAACUCGAGGCAGAUCACAUUGUAAAGCUCUACUAGAGAAAAGGACACCUGUACUCAACGAACAUGUAUUUGGACCCAGCAUUAAUGCUAGGGUCUAAAUUUGAUCAUCCCGGGAAUCCUUUCCCAACCUGUAUUAAGAUCCUGUCUGGUUCCGAGCUCCUAAAAGUUUUAGCAGCCUUCUAAAAACUCCCAAAAGAGUGUUUAGGUCCACCUCCUAAAACUGACUAAAGGUAAUAAAUGCACUCGCAAAAGGACCAUGAUGCCCCUCCCCAUGCCCCUGUCCCUGGCCGCAGCUUGUCCAGCGACGUCGGCCUCCUCUUCCUCUCCGGCGACUCAGGGUUGAAAUGCGCCGCGCCGUGCCCGUGAUGCCGCGGCUCAUGUUCUUGAUUACAUUGACAAAGAAACCAGUCACGCACGUCACCAUACAUCGAGCACAAAAAUGGUGCCCAAGAACUCGGAGACAUCGAGGAGGCUAGAGGACCCUCUCUAUCCUGCCCAUCGCCCAGUAGCUAGGCACUCUGCUGGCACCAUCACCACCGCCACGAUGGAGGCCAGACAGUUCAUCGCAGACCUCUCGCCCACCCGCAAGCUCACCCCGGUGCCGUUGCUGCCUCCGCCGGGUCUAGGCGCGAAGGGGUGGCGGAUCUGGUUGGGGAGGGCGCAGAUCGGAGGGGGAGUGAGCAGGCGCUGACACCGAGGAGGAGCGGGAGGGCCACGGCGGGCCCGUGCGGUGGUGCAAGGGAGCGGGGGCGGCAGAUCUGGCGGGCGCCGACGUGAAGGAGGGAGGGAGCGGUGGCAGGGGUGACGGAUCCGGUGGCGCGAGGGGGCGGGGGCGGCGCGAGGGGGAGUGGAGGGAGGGAGCGACAACGGGGUUGUGGAGGGAGCAGGGGCGGGCCCGUGCGGCAGCAGCGGGCAGAAUGGCGGCAGGCUGCUAGGCGGGAGGGAGGGUGGGAGAGAGAGGGGGGACAGGGCAAUAAAGGAUGGGUAGUGGGGGUUCAGGAUGGAUUUUAGGUACUUUUAGGAGGAGGUGGAGCUCCUAAAGUUUUUGGCCCUUCCUAAAGUUUUUAGGAGCUUUUAGGAGGGGGGUGUUUGGUUCUUUAGGCAAAUUUUAUCCAGAUUUUAGCUCCUAAAGUUUUUAGAGGGGUACCCAAACAGGACCUAAACCUACCAUUUCAAACCAGUUGCUAUUACCAUCCUUUACUAAUGCUCCUCGAAACUAUUACCACUUGAUGUAACCAUCUGGUAAGUACCUGUUGAUGUAAUCAAUAGAACUAAAAGAUCCUCUAGAGAUGACAUUAAAAAAAGCAUUUCUUAUCCAGGGUUGUAAAUAUUUUUUUGAUAUUUUUUACCGACUAGUACUAAAGGUGACAGAUCUGAUAUUAAAGGUCGGAACUUUUCGUCUUGGUUUUUUUGUACCGUUUCAAAAUUCAAGAGUAAAGGAGGGUUUGGAACCAAUACAUAAGCCAUAAUCUCCAAUAAUAGUGAGACCAAUAUGCUCUCCAUGCAUAUGAUGGAUGUGGUGGUGGCAUUUGCAGGGACCGAUAUUACAAGGGUGGUGGUGCAGAGGCGGCAUGAUCAUGAGAGGUAGAUUGCUUGAAUAUAAUGUUACAUAGAGAUGCAUCGGUGGUGCGAUUGUGGAUUGCGUGGUGAUAGAGGAGAAUUGUUGCGGUGGAGGUCGAUCUUAUGGGCGCUAUCGCGGCGUUAGUUGUUUUGAUGGCUCAUGUCGUGAUGGCCGACGAAGUCCACAAUGAACCUGAUGAGCAGGUUCAGGCACGCAAUGCCUAGAUGAAGCAGCUUGAUAAACUGGAUGUAUUGGUUUUUGUGUAAAUACUGCUAUGCUGUUGUUAAACUCAUAUUUUCAUAUGUGGAACAAUAGGUCAAAAAAAUUAUGCUACCCCAUCACACAAAUAUAGCUUUGUUCAGGUGAUCAUUUCCAUUCCUCCAGAGCUAAAGGUUCAUUCAGAAUUCGAUUACUUACAUUCCAAAAAUGCUAAACGCAGAGACUAAAUGGUGAGCAAUAAGCAAUUUAGUAGAAGGUAGGCUUUGUACGUACAACGAAGGCGUAGCCGGUGACGGUUGCCCAGGAGUUGCCGAGCGUGGCGCCGGCGAGGUGGACGUCGCCGAGGUGGCCGGAGAACAUCACCGACACCAGCGGAAUGCCGUAGUAGGCCAUGUUGGUGAGCACCAUCGGCACCGCGAAACGCAGCUGCGCCUGCGCCUCCUCCGUGUCAACUAUCCGGCCAAGCCAUGCUAACCAGCAUGGUAGCUGCUGCUCCCCUCCAACUUUGCCGGCGGCGAGGUCAUCGCCCUUGCAGCGGUCGCCGAGCAGCGGAGCCGACGACAUGUCGCUGGGUGACGUGGAGCUAUCGGCCGGGUAGACAGGUUCACCUCCUAGCUCGCUGAUAUUGGUAUAUAGGCUAUGGAUCAAGAAGUGCACCGUGGUUGUGUUGUGCAUUUCUAGCCGGAUGAACGUGGCGCAAAGUUGGUGGAUAGUGUGGAAUAUUUGAGAUCCGAUGGACGCAGAUUUUGUUAAUUUUUAAUUUGAAACAUUUAUGAAACUGGUCCAUGUUCAUUUAUGUCGAUUUGUGUGCGUUUGGUCUGCUGGCCAGCUAGAGCAGGUCAUUCUCACCCUUCCAUUGACCAGCAUCUCGAUCGAUCUUCUCACGUGCCUCGCAGCCAUCGCCGGUGGUUGACAGGAUUAUGGUGUCCUUAAUUAAUUGUUGUAAGUCGAUAAUCUUAAAAGAAAUAUGAAGUUGGCUGAGCUAUGUUGUUCUUGUAUACUACUCGCAAAGGAAGUCGUUUUAGACAAGGCUUGGGUCAAACAUUGGAAAUAUAAAUCAUGAAUAACUUUUAAGUUGUUGAGUUUGGAAAUGUAAAAGUCAUAUAUAUAGAUUUGUCUUGAAAAAUGCUUUCAUUAAAAUAUACAUAUAUCACUUUUUGAUAAAUAUUUUUAUAAAAAUAAAGAGUCAAAGUAAUACUUUGGAGACCGUGUUGCUGUUCAAAACGACUUCCUUUGUGAGUAUGGACGGAGUACUCACUAUGUAGAAAAUAAUAUCAUUUUGAGACAGAUUUUUAUAUAUAAGUAUAUAACGUCAGUAAAAUUUAGAGUACUUAGGCAUCUUGUAAUGUUUACAAUUAUCCGUAAGAGAUGGCAAACUGAGAUGAGACGACAUGUGGCACAAUGUGUUUACAGGGAUGGAUGAGUGAUUAAUUAGAUUUAAUUCGACCGAUAUCAUAAAAUAUUUGUUAAUUAUAAAGUACUUUCUCCGUUUCAAAUUGUAGGUUGUUUUGAAUUUUUUAGAUUCAUAGAUAUUAUUAUAUAUCUAGACAUACACUAUAUCUAGGUAUAUAUAAAAAAAAUAUGCACCUAGAAAAUCCAAAAUGAUGUACACUUUAGGAUGGACGGAGUAGGUAAUUUUAUAGUGAUUAGUGAUAAUGCUAUGAUCAUGGAGCAAUCUUGUUUAAAUAACAUAUGUGGCCAAAAGGAAAUAAGAUACCAUGGGAAGUUGAGAUACAUGAAUAGGCAAAGCAAAAUUAUAGCGGAAUGAAAACACAUAAUUGACGGAUGGUGGACUGACAAAUUUGACGAUCUCAGGCGCAACGUUGACAGACAAUGCUCGAUUGUCUCCAUGAUAUUAAUGUAGUGCCACAUGGAGUUUUGGAUGAUGUGACACUAUAUUAAAUGAGAGGUAAAGAAAAAAGAACAAAUUAGAUCUCAUGCAAGAUAUUGUUCCAACAAGAAAUUUAAAGCACUACAAACUAUUGAAUUCUAUAUUGUGGGGGACUUGUGUCUCCAUGAUUAGUGAGGCUGAAAGAUGGUUGGUGAACUGAGCUACGCUCGGAUAGUAAGGUUCGUUAUGAUGAAACAUACCGAUCAAGGUUCAUGUUCUUGACUUGGUAAUGAUGCUUACGUUUUCUUGAAUUUAUUAUAGGAUUAACCGGCGUUGUUCCAUCCACAUCUACAUUUAUUUCGAAUACGAAUAUGAUUUUGGAUAAUAAAACACAAAUUUAAAUAUAUCCAUUUAAGAUACCACAUUAAAAAACACUAGAAACGAAUGCGGAUACGGAUGUCCAUAUAUCACAUUUUUAACGGAUACGAGCUAGCGGCUAGGCAACUUAAUUAUUACCAUCCAUGAGCUCCUUCAUUGUGUGUCACUGCACCAACCGACAGUAAUUUUGUACGUGGCUAUUACGGCGCGCCGCUUAAGAAACACGUGGUCCGAUGCACUUAUCUCGGCUGCAUUGAUACUGCAGCGUGACUUCCGCACGGAGUUACCCUAGUACAGUACUCCAUGUGCGCAGAAGAGCACAAAAAAGGGAGCAGCAUUUCAACUUUGGUUAGCUGACCAAAUAUAGGAUCCUAAUUCAACAGUUCUUGGUAUGCCAAAUGUUUUCCAAAAAGUAAAGGAAUUACAAAACUCCAGGGAUUCGUACGUCACUAGUCACUUCAACAUUGAAGUAACAAUACCGUAAAUAACGUGUCUAUAACAUGCAUGGCGCAGUCUUGCUGACAAAUUUAUGACCAAUAUUUGUUCAAAUUAAACUACGCGGGGGCAACAUUUGUCUAUCAUAAUAUAAUGUUUGGGAUGGUGUUCUUAAUGAACUUUUUUUUUCACUCCACAUGUUUUUUUUGUGAUAGGACCAUCUAAGACGUACCUAAUCUUCACGGACUCUCUUUGUUUUUUAUAAACAAAAUAUAUUAAUUACAUCAGGAGAUACAUUGUUUUAUAUUGAUCUCAAGCAAAAUACAAUGGUAUUCUAGAGAUUUCAAGGCGGAAGCAGGUUGUUGGUCGAGGUUGUUGGUCGAGUGUUAGUUUGCCUGACAUGUUGGGGAUCGCCCAAACAAAUAGUCACCCUCGAGCUUAUCGUGCUCAGCGACAACAGCUCAGCCCCUUAGGAUAAUUAACCUCAGGUGAGGCCUCCUAACCUUAGACGGUGAACCUGAUACGGAAAAGUAAUCUUAGUCUCGCUAUCCUAAGUUUUAACUCGAAGCCAGGAGGCAAUUACCAAUCCCCUGACUAGCCGAGUCUAACCUCGAGCACUCGAAGCUAACCACGAGUGCCAAGUUAUUCACUGUCUUGUGCAAAGUCGCUGGUUUAGAUUGGGAAGCAGGGCACGAGGUUGAGCGCCUCUCGGACGCGAAGCUAAGGCGAUUGGAACUCCCGAAGCUAGGAUGGCUUUGGUCGCGAGGUCAAGAAGCGUGGAGGCGUUGGAAACGUGAAGGCAUGAUUUGUGGAACCAUGUGAGAGCAUGAAUUACGGAAAAGGCGUGAGAAGCAUGAUCCUAAGAGGAGACCAAGUCAUACAAGUUAUGACCUAAAAAGAUCUCUAUGUAAAGUAUAUUCUAGAAAUGUAGUAGGUGAAUGAGGGUAAUUGUGGGAUGUAAAGUGUCCUCCGAGACACUAUAAAAGUGGAGCCCUACCCCGAUGUAAACUCAUGUUCAUUUCUUAGAAUUGAAUUGCAAGUGCUGCUUUAACAUCAUUGUGUUCGAACUUCGCUGAAACUUGUUUUCCAACAUCACAGAUCGAUUGGCCAAAGUUGCUCUGUAGGAACUGAAAACGUUGUCACGUGGUUUGGCUGCAACGCAUACGACGAAUCUGGGUGGUUCAUGGCCUCGAAUUCCACGUAAAAAGGUAUAAGAAAAAGAAAUGUAGUAUCCACGUAGAAGAGAUGAAUAGUAGAUGAGAAUAGAGACAGCGAUACAAAUUAUAAAAUAAUGUUGAACUGUGGGUUGGUAGGGUGACACCGCCAACGUCGAGAUUCACAAAACCAUUACUGACUCCGACAUUGAUUAUCGUGUAGUUUAGUAAAGAAUCCAUGCUCAGGCGGCCGCAUACCUGAAAAACGUAGCUGGAGCACUCCAUCGGACAAGCAAGUGCUUCACGAAGCAAAGCAAGCAGCCAUGGUGAGCAUGGAGAGCCGGAGCCUCCUCGCUGCUGCCCCAGCUCUGGCAGUCGCCAUCAUCUUCCUCUCUACCACCGCACCGCUGGCGCGCGCGGCAUCCGUCGAGCACACAUUUGUCGUAAGUUUGCACACAAAUCGUGAAUAGACUUUCACCAAAUUCGGGCACUAUAACACACUCGCUUAUGCUUGAUUUGUUGGAAAAUAUUGUAGGUGAAUCAGACGAAGAUGACGCGCCUGUGCAAGGAGACACUGGUCACCGUGGUGAACGGGCAGCUCCCAGGGCCGACCAUUGAGGUCACAGAAGGAGACUCGGUGACUGUUCAUGUCGUCAACAGGUCACCUUACAACAUUACGAUCCACUGGUAAGCGAUGAUGGCAUAAAAAUAAGUUCAUUUCCACGGCUAGAUUAUUUAGGCACUCAUUUGGGGAAAAAAAUCAUAUGUAAUCGUUAAUGAUAUAUUCCCUUCGUUGAUUUCCUGAACUACGUAGCCUUUCCUAAAUGUUUUGUCUUUAGAAACAGAGAUCGUACACUUUAUAUAAGGAAUCAUGCAUUUAGAUAGUAGCUACACACUAUCAAGUGAUAAAUAAAAUAUACAAUAAUGAAGUUGAUCUAGGAUAUAAUGCUGACAAAGUUCACGUUGGACUUUGUAGUAAGAUAGUAAAAAAUUUAUAAACACUUACACUAGGUCAGGUUUUGCAACCUUUUUUUAUACAAAAUUGCAGAAUUGUAAGAUCCAAAAGUUUGUAAUUGACAAAUGACAACCUUUUAAUAAGUGAAGCCAUUUAUACCUAUAUAUUACAAUCAUCCUGAUUUUUGAAAAAUAUGGAUCAAAAGGAAUAAAACUCUUAUUGCUAUCAACAAAAAAAAAAGAGGACCGCAUGUGACGGGUGGAUAUGGUUGUAGGUUUGAUUCCUGGGGACACGAACGUCUGUAUUUUGCAUGAACAAACACUUGAGUAGUGACGUGCACUCUGUGAGUAGUUCGGAGGUGGUCUGUGGUUCUAGAUUUGUUUAAUAACAUUUUGAUGCUCAUAUAUUUAUUUCAAUAAACAUUUUAUCUCUAAUGAUGGUUCAACCCUCGAGCAGUGAGAGAGAGAGGAAGUUAUCGGUGUUCAAAAUAAUUGGUUUAUGACUACUUAAAAAUCUUUCACUUCUAUGGAAACUGUGACAUAUGAGAAGAGUAGUGAACCAGGAGAGAUAACACUAGUGACAUCUACGACUGAAAAGUAAAGAACAACUCAACCAAACAGCAACUCGUAUGCUAACUGACCUUGACAGCAUUAAAAGAAGGACACUUCCGAUUAAACAUAUAAUGAGCUAGUACGAUCGACACCAGGUGACACUCGUGGCAGGCAACCGAUUUACAGGAUAUCGUAGGAGCUCAAUGUUGCCCGUUGUUGUUUAUUAUGUUAGGAAAGGAUUAGUUCCUAUAUAAUCUUUAUAUGGUGGUGUUGAUCCUUUUUUUUUUUCAAUUUGGACUCUUAUUUUUAUUUGAGGUGUCCAGAUUGACUUGUAUCUCACAGUUGAUCUUCACCAUCGCAAUCUGGAUCCGCUCGAUAAACUAUGUAGAUUUGACGCAUUUCUAAUGAUUAACUUGGUAAUUUAAAGCCCCUAUGAUUAAACUUUGAGCCACCAUUUUCAGUCAACUACAAAGACAACUGUGUUUUUCAAAAAACGUAAUAUUGUUAUUAUUAUCAUUUCUGAUUACAUAAAUGCAUUUUGUGGUUCCUGAUGCAGGCAUGGAGUAAAGCAGUUUCGGAACUGCUGGGCUGAUGGGGUGCCUAUGGUCACCCAAUACCCUAUCCAGCCGAACAAAGAUUUCACUUAUCGGUUCAAUGUCGUCGGGCAGGAAGGCACUCUGUGGUGGCAUGCUCAUGUCCCCGGCCUACGGGCAACCCUCCAUGGCGCAUUCAUCAUUCGGCCAAGGCUUGGGGCUGAGUCAUAUCCAUUUCCUAAGCCUCAUAAGGAGAUCCCAGUUAUUAUAGGUUUGUGUACCUUUCUGAUAUUGAUUGCUGAUCAUCUGAGAACAUAAACGAUUUUUAGGAGCAAUUUUUAAUUGGGACCCAUUUGAGGAGAACAAAAUGUGUCAAGUCCUCUGGGAAAUGAAUUAUGCAAUUUCGCCAUGCUUGUGCAACUACCUAGUAGAUGUGAAAUGAUCCUGACGAUUACAGGGGACUGGUGGGAGGAGGACCUUGCAGAGAUGGCCCGGAACAUGACGAAGGGCAUCUUUUUGUCUUAUGCUAGUGCCUCCACAGUCAAUGGCUUGGUCGGAGAUCUCUUCAAUUGCUCCGGUAAGCAGUUAUUUAAUUGAUGUACAGUAGCCCACUGGCUCUGUUUUAAUGUCAUUUAGUGCAUUUAAACAGCUGGUUUGACCGAUAAUUCGCUAGAAGAUGGGUGAUCGACUAUUUACAAUUGUGUUAGGUGAAAAAAUACCGAUAUAUCCUUUUCUUUGGCUCUGUUUUUAUUAUAGUUCAUCUUUCAGGUGUCACAAAAGAAGGAUAUGUUCUGGAUGUGGAGCCUGGCAAGACCUACCUGCUACGAAUAAUCAAUGCCGGCCUCUUCUCUGAGUUCUAUCUUAAGAUCGCUGGGCACAAGUUCACGGUGGUUGCUGCCGACGCUAACUACGUCAGCCCGUUCACCACAGAUGUCAUCGCAAUCGCAGCUGGCGAGACAGUGGAUGCCUUGCUGAUUGCCAAUGCAGCCCCUGGCAGGUACUACAUGGUCGCCCUACCCAAUCAGGCACCAUUGCCUGACACCCAAACUCCGGAGUACGCUACAAGGGGGAUGGUGCGGUAUAAGGUCAGCCACAGCACCUGCACUAGCUCAACGACAGUGAGCUCAUGCCAGGGUACAGAAGAAGAAGAAAAAGGAUAUCGAGGUACAUCUGGUGAUGCUCCAAUAGUGCCUAAGAUGCCUGACAUACAUGACACAAUUACAUCGUUCUACUUCCAUGGCAACCUGACCAGCCUGCACCACCAAGGGCAACUUCCAGUCCAGCAACAAGUCGAUGAGCGCCUCUUCAUCGUGCUUGGCCUCGGCACCAUCUGCAAGAAAGGCCAGUUCUGUAAGAGGGGUAGCAGUGACGAGGACCUCCUAGUGGCCACGAUGAACAAUGCUUCCUUCCAGCACCCCACAGCGAUACCAACACCACUACUAGAAGCGCACUACUACCACACCGGCCUCAUCAAUGCCACGACACAAGAGCUUCCGAAGGGGCCACCGAAAUUGUUCAACUUCACCGAUGAAGCCUUAAUCCCUUUUGGACCCAAAGAGAUGCAGCUAGAGCCAACUUACAAGGCGACGUUGGUCCGGAGGUUCCGACACGGUGCUGUGGUGGAAAUAGUCUUUCAGAGCACAGCGAUCCUACAGGGAGACUCCAAUCCAAUGCACCUACAUGGGCAUGACAUGAUUGUGCUUGCACAAGGCCUUGGCAACUAUGAUCCAGCGAAGGCCGUGGCCACGUACAACCUGGUUAAUCCACUAAUAAAGAACACUGUGCUUGUCCCAAAUCUUGGGUGGAUCGCCAUCCGAUUUGUCGCCAAUAAUCCAGGUGUGUAUAAGAUUUGAAUGCUAGUUUCAUGUUGGAAAAUAUUAUGUGGAAACCCCUAUCUUGGUUUAAUCGUGGAAAGCCCUAGUGAACCUCCCUUGAAUAUAUUUUUGUAUAGGUCGUCGAUUGUUGGAAAUAGUCUUGUGAACUUGUUUAUUUGAAGUUUAGAGAAAAUCUUGCUAAAAGGUAGAAGAUUGGACUUCACUAGCAGCAUAACAUUAUGUUUGUUCCAUUUAUUAUUUUAGACCAUGAAAGUCCUCAAGACGUUCAAGUUUGCUGUUGUUAAUUAUGCGUUAUAAGGCCUAAACUGUUGUAGGAAAGGAAAAUUCUGGAACAAAAGAUGUAAGCAUAUUUCAUUUAUUUAACCUUCCAGUCAAUACAUAUUUCUAGAGCCACAAAAACAAGUCUUAUGAUAAAAUAGCGCAAAAUUUUAUCAAUAAGAAAUCAUUCAUCUUCUAGAUUUUACUUCCUUCUAUCCCAAAUAUAAGCCUAUCAAGACUCGUGUUCUUCAAUUCAGGUUUGUAUUCCAAUGACCAUAUUGAAUAAUACUCAAUUAACAAAAUUAUUACGGUGCUUUGUUCAUUUAAGCUAAAAAAUUGAUAACUUUAGAAAGGGGUCGGAUAAAAUAGGAAAGUGGAAUCAAAAUUAUGUCUCAAAGUUGUUUGACUACUAUUUGGUGCAUUGUGAGAAUGACCACUUACAUUUAUACUUGGUAUCUGAAGGAGUCAAUUUUUUAAGCAUUCCACGAGACUUCAAUAUAAUUAUCCAGAGUUGUAUUCCUAGGAAAUUAUUCAAUAAAAUUUAUUAUAGUGUUUUUCCGAUUCGCACCCAUAUUUGUUUGUCUAAGUUGCCUGCCAAAGCACCUCUUGGCGUCAAAAACUAACUUAUUGUCUUUUAUGUUGUACAGGGGCAUGGUUCAUGCAUUGCCACUAUGAGUUUCAUCUAUCAAUGGGCAUGGCAGCAGUCUUUAUUGUAGAGGAUGGACCAACAAAUGACACGUCUCUCCCUCGACUGCCAGUGAAUUUUCCGACUAUUGGUCAAGACAUCAAUCUCAUGCCCAAUGACUUAUAUCUCAAAACUAUGAAAAGUUAAAACUAGUGCACAAAGGGAGUACCUGUGUAUGUAUGAAGACAACUCCUAUUACUUAUUUUGAAUAAAUGGUUAUGAAUAAUGGAUGUGCGUCAUGAGAUAAAUGUACAUAUAUUAUUAAUGUCAAACUUUUUUGAACUGAUAAAAUGUCAUGCACCUAACCAUUUGGAUUGAAAAGAUGUCGAACUAGUCAUGGUUGCAUCGCCACCCACACAAUACCUUAUCCAUGUCGGCCAAUCAGUACCGGUCGAAAACCAGAAGGGCCAUCUACAUUGGCUGAGCAACCAACCCGCACAGGGCUUGAAAACAAUGACCAGCUUCACUGCACAAUAUUUGUAUUAGCAUGAAGAAGCCUGGCACCGAUAAUAUCCGUCUCAUCCAUACAUGCUGAGCUUCCAUUAAUAUUAGCAUUGGCACAGACAUAUAUCAUCUCUCAAGAAGCCCCUGAUAUGUAAAAGCAUGUUGUUGGCGCUACAAUUUUACUGACCACAUGCCAAGCAUAUGCAAUUACUUGGAUUCAAUGUUGAAGCAUAGUUAUAUUUUUUUCACACGAUGUCGAGAAGGAGAAGACCGCAGGCACAAUUCAGUGAAUCAUGGUCAAGUAUUGUCGAGGAGGAGGAGAAGACCGCAGGCACUCAUUUGCUGAAGGAGUUACGUUUUGCAGGCAAUGCAGCAACUUAUUCGGAAGUUCAACACACUGAAUAGUAUUGUCUUCCUUGCAAACUCUUCCACAAGCUGGAGUGCUAACUUGCAUUCCAGGAGUGGGUGAACUUUCUAGAAAGACUGACAUUUUUUUCCGCAUGUUUGGUUCGGGAACCAUGCCCCCUAAGCCCUUUCAUGCAUACUUCUCCAAUAAGAGAAUCACUCCAAGAUGAAGGAACAUCUUGCUCGGCGUCCUCGGAAUUUUGGUGCAAAAAUAUUUGUAAUAUCUUCUGGUCAUGAGCUUCUCGUCAUUCAUGAUCAUCAAAAUAUUACCGUGGUCUGUAGGCUGUAAUGCUCCACGAUUGGUUCCCCGAAAGCUAUGAGUAGAGAUGGGUAGAAUACGGAAAUUCAUGACGCCAUGCACGAUCCAUAGUCCCAGGCCUUCCAAGCACUAAUGAGCAAACACUGAUUUAGAUCUAGUGGAAUGACAUCACGAAUCAUAACAUCACCGUGUCCACAUAAUGAAAACUUCACCUUCACCUUGUGUACGUAUAAACCACGGUUAUUUAACCAUGAAAUAUCUGGCCUCGUAUGAUGCAUCCGCGACAGUCCCAAAACAUUCACAAGACAUUCACUUGCAGCAUUGAUGACAGAGAAUUGAUCCACAAUCGUAGCACUUGUACCCGCAACAACUUCACAGCGAGUGUAGCACAUGGAAAGAUCAGGAUCCACGGUUGGAUCCUGCUCAUAAUUUCGCAAUGCAGUGCCCAGAAUCAUGGUAGCAAUCAUAAAAAAAAAUCUCAAAUAGUACAGUUAACAGCAGAUAUACCGUGAUCAACUUAGCAAAACUGAUACGACCUGAUAAGGACAUGCUUGCUGUGCACAGGAUCUGUCCCAAUCUUUGACGGUACUAAUCACUUACAGAAUUUAGUCUCAAUAGUAUGGCUGUCCAAUAUAUGCUCCCUUUCUAAAUUCAGUUGUCGUGAUUAUUUGCAGACUAGGAAUGGUGAUAGACUAAUCUGAAAAUACUAGCAAAACAGAUACUGCACAAGAUAUAGCUUCUUGUACAGAGCCAAAUAACUGGAAUAUGAACAACAGCAUUCAUAGCUAUCUUCUUUUAAAUCAGGCAACAGCUGGACACUCUUACAGCCACAAGAUGGAAAUCUCCACAGACACUACCGGAAACCUUAAAUUUGCCGAGUGUUUUUUUCGGACACUUGGCAAACAAGCUCUUUGCCGAGUGCCGGGCUAAGAACACUCGGCAAAAAAAACACUCGGCAAAUGAUGGAUUUGCCGAGUGUCAGAAAAAAAACACUCGGCAAAAAGUGGGUUUGCCGAGUGUCAAAAAAACACUCGGCAAAGAGUGUGAUUUGCCGAGUGUCAAAAAAAACACUCGGCAAAACAAUAAAUUUUUUUCCUCUUUCCACCUUGAAAUUUUUUCUACUACCCACAUACAACAUGUGGUACUCCAUGUUAAAGUUUGGUAUAUUUUUGAAUUUGUUUGCUAUAUUUAUUUAAUUAAUUGUAUUUCAAGAAAAUUUUUGGUAUAAGUCAAAUUUGAACUGCAAGUGAUUCAAAUUAUAGAAUAAAAUGAGUAGAAAAAUGACCAAUUUGAGACCUGACCCAAUUUUAAUUGCAUUUCAUGUUAUUGGCCCAAUUUGAGACCUGACCCAUGAAAUAAAAAGAAAUUUCGAACAUCUUGUUCAGGAAACACGACCACGAACGUGUGGCAGUGGUAUUUUUAAAUUGUAAAAAAAACAAGCAAAGUCUGAAAAUCAUGAGAUUUCUCAUGAUGUGAUGAUAUCAUACGUGGAGGCUAUGGAAAAAAUUGAGAAGGUUUUGCAUAUUUUGUCACGUACGAUGUUUACAAACCGACGCAUCUCAAAAGAAGAAUAGUAACGUUGAGAAGGAUUGGAUAAGAUUUGGAGUCAAAAUGACAGUCGAGUUUUGAUUUGACUACAAAACUUCUUGUAUAGUCAAUAGAGAAUAUACAUUAUUUCAUGUGAAUUUUUGGCAAUUUUUUGAAAUUGUUGGAUAAUUUUAUUUUUUUUAAAAUAGCUUUGCCGAGUGUCCUAGGUUAGACACUCGGCAAAGCAACCCUUUACCGAGUGUCACACCUAGGACACUUGGUGAUUUUUUUCCCACACCGCGCAGGACAUAAAGUCCCACCAACCAGCACCGCACCCGGCCCCUCAUCUUCAUAUGUUGUGGAUGGUAAUUCAUUAUUCUCAGGAAGAAUCUUCUUGACAAUGUUCAACAUCCCCUGAAAUGCCUUAUUGGACACACCAUUUUUUGCCUUCCAUUGCACAAAUUCUAGUGUCGUACCUAGUUUUUUAUGGCCCUACUGGUAACAUGGGUACAACAAUUUUUGGUGAUCAUCUAUCAUGCGCUGCAACUUUGCUGCUUCCUUCUCAGUUUCGCAAUCUCUGUGUGCAUCUCGUAUCACCUGACCAAGGUCAUCAGUAGAGCCAUUUUCUGCAAACUCAUCUUCAUCAGCCUCGCCCAUUGUAGUAUCUGCAAAAGCUUGGCCUGCAACCCAGUCCGGAAUGCUUUCAUCUUCCUCCUCCUCCUCGCCAUCUUCCAUUACAACCCCUCGUUGACCGUGCUUGGUCCAAACCAAAUAGUUAGGCAUGAAACCGUAUUUAAACAAGUGGCUGUGAAUAGUCCCCCAGGAAUAAUUUGAAUACUCCUUCUUGUUAUUGCAUUGGAAGCAUGGACAACAUACGAACCCAUUCUCUGGCUUGUUCGCUUUGGCCACUUCGAGAAAAUAAUGCAAGCCAUCAAUAAACACCUUGCUCCACCUGUCUGCAUUAUACAUCCAUUGCCGGUCCAUCUGCAUCGUAUUACGCAUGAAAAUGGAUUACACUUGACAAUGGAUUAUGCGUGAAAAUUGAUUAAAGAUCCAAACAACAUGAUACAAUACAACAACAUGAAGAUCCAAAUAUACAUAUUUAAAUUAAAGAUCCAAACAACAUGAUACAAUACAACAAGCCAUCCACUGGUUAUUAUCUAGGAGGACUUUAAGCAUCCUUGGGCGGUGAAGACGAAGGUUCCACUGACCCAGCCUCAUCCUUAGGUUUAUUUGUGCCGCCUGAACUGGUAGUACUAAGUGGACGUGAAACACCCGGGACUGAGGGUGGAGCAUAACGACCACCAAAAGGAGGUUCCUGACCCGAGGCAACAGCUUCUUCAUGACGGUGCUGCAAAUAACAAAACAUUGCUUUUUCCAACGCGCUCAUUUUCUUCGGCUUAUGCUGAGGGCCAACUAUGAUUUUCCCCUUGCCGAAAGAGGAACCACGACCACCCCCACCAUCACCACUUCCUCCAGUAGCAGAAGCUAUCUAUGUACAAAAACUAUUACCUUAACACUGCAUAAGUUGUUGAACUUGAAGACCGUGAUCAUCUCGUGAGCAUGUCCUCAACUGGACGGCACCGCACUUCGUCAUGAAAGAGGUUCGAUUCUACGGAAAAGGGGACACAGUCACGAUGUCUGUAUCCACUCAUUCUCGUAGAAUCGAACCUCCUUCUUGACAUACGUUGCUGCUCGGCGGAGAACAUCCUCUCAGAGAUGACCAUGGUAUGCAAGUUCAACAAGUAUGGAUUUGAAAAACCAUAUUGAAUUUGAUAAGUUCAACAAGUAGCAGAAACCAUCUAUGUACAAAAAUUAUUUCCUUAGCACUGCAGAAGUUGUUAAACUUGAAGACCGUCAUCAUCUCCCGAGCAUGUUCUCAACUGGGCGGCACUGCACUUCGUCAUGAAAGAGGUUCGAUGCUACGAAAAAGGGGACACGGUCACGAUGUCCGUAUCCACUCUUUCUCGUAGAAUCGAACCUCCUUCUUGACAUACGUUGCUGCUCGGCAGAGAACAUCCUCGCAGAGAUGAACACGGUAUGCAAGUUCAACAAGUAUGGAUUUGAAAAACCUUAUUUAAUUUGAUAAGAUAAACCGUCUAGACAAGGUAGCAUCAUUCUUAAACCACUGCAAGAAUACAUACUAUAUAUGACACAUCAAUCUCUCUUACAUUCUAGCUCAAAAUACCUCACCAUUUUCUACUUCAUCACAUUCUAGCAAUUAAUCUUUCCAUCUCCAAAGCAUAAAUCAAAGCAUAACAUGAGGAUGAAGUAGCAAACCUUCACAACACUUGUGUUGGCUGAGUAAAAUUCCCAUGAAAAUGAGGGAAAAAACUUCGGGCAGCACCUCCCUUGCUUUGUCACCACCGGAGAGUAGGUGAAGCUCAGCUCUCUGUCUAUGUGCUGGACUGGCUCGGGCUGGAGGAGGAAGAAAAGCCUCUGUCUUGGUAUAUAAUGGGAAUGAGUUUUUAUCCCGGUUAAAAACUCCAACCGAGAUAAAAAGGAACACCUUUUAUCCCGGUUGAAAGUUUAGUCCCGGUUGAAAGUUUAGUCCCAGUUGGAAGCUGCAACCGGGACUAAACUUUUUGUGCUGUAAUGAAAAAAAUAUGUUGUUUAUAUUUUGUAUAAUAAAUUUACAAAUAUUUAUAUUGUGAUCCUUGCAAACACUUCCACGAGAUCGAGUGCUAACUUGCAUUCUGAGGGUAGGAGAACUUUCUAGAAAAGCCGAUCUUUUUUCAGUAUGUUUGGUUCGGGUACCAUGCCCUCUAAGCCCUUACAUGCAUUCUUCUCUGGUAAUAGAAUCACUCCAAGAUGAAAGCACAUCUUGCUUGGUGUCCUAAAAAUUUUGGCCAAAGAUAUUUGUCAUCUUCGGGUCACCUACCAUUGAUGUAAUCUUCUAUUUCUUGACACAAGCUUCUCUUCGUCGGCGAUCAUGUGGUGUGCAGGCUGUAAUGCUGAAACAUUAGUCCCCCAAAAUAUAUGAGUAGCGGUGGGCAGAAUACGGAAGCUACAUCAUGAUGCCAUGCACGAUCCAUAGUCAAGGGCCUUCCAAGCAACAAUGUGCAAACACUGGUUUCAAAUGGAAUGACAUCACAAAUCACAAAAGCACAACUCCACACGGUGAAAACUUAAACUUCACGUCAUGUUUAAUCUUAAUACCUUGCUUAUUUCACUAUAAAGUAUAUGGCCUAUGAUUCAUCCGUGAUGGUCCCAAAACUUUCACAAGACAUUCAUUUGCUGCAUUGAUGGUAGAAAAUGGAUGCACAAUCGUAGCACAUGUACCCGCACCAACUUGACAGCGAGUGUAGAACAUAGAAAGAUUAUGAUCCAAGGUUGCAACCUGUUCAUAAUUUUGCAAUGCAUCCCAAUAAACCUCAUUGUAGCUAUCACCAAAUAAAAAAUCAGAAACAAUACAAUUACUGGCAUAUGUACCAUGAUCAACCUAUCAAAACUGAUUUGACCUAAUAAGGACAUCCUUAAUUAAAUCACCACGUGUCCACGGCAUCGGCGGAGCUACUGGGUAUGCCGGGUGGGCCCUGGCAUACCCUGGGACCCAUCACUUUACCGUGAGAAAUCAAGCUGCAAAAAAUGAUUCUCAGGCCCAGCAGACGAUGCAAGGCAAAUGAUGCUCAGGCCCAGCUUUUGGCCCCCCGCUGGUUGUGACUUGCUUGCGUGGAUACGACGUGCUGUGUGCGGACUGCUUGCUUUGCUUGUCUCUAGUACAAGAUUGGCCCACGAUUUGACGCAUCACACCACAUCUCGACGAUUACAACUUCUCCGCCCGCCAGGACUCCUCCUAUCCUCUCACGGCUCCGCCGCAGCGCCGCCGGCCACCGCACCAGGCCACCAGGGACAGCGCGUCUGCGCAAGUGCGCAACUGCGUGGGGGAUUUUAUGCCCGAAAACUUCUGAUGGUCCAUAAGGAAAACUUCUCAUCGUCCACAAACCACAAGGAGGUUUAAGAUGAAUCUAUCUUCUAUUUUUUUUCUUAUUUGAAAAGACAUAUAUUCUUAAAUAUUUUUAUUUAUUUAUGUAUGAGUGCUUUUUUUAUUUCAGUUCGUGAGUUUAUUGAACAGACCGUCAAUCCAUCAACAUUCUUAACUUAAUAUCGUGUGAGGUUGUGAUUUGUAAGUUUUCUAUCCGAAAAUUUAAAACAUGAUUCUAUCGUUACAUGUUUGUUUUGCUAUAAUGUCUAGUUAGUUAUUGUACUUACAUUACAUAGACAUUGUUUUUUCAGAACAGUUGGAUUAUGAAGAGAGGCGGAGAUAUUGCAUCUCUUUUUCAGAAACAUGCAGCAAAGAAGGCAACAGCUGCUUCAAACACUAUCCCAUCUCCAGUUGAAACUUUUGUGGAAGAACAGAAUCAGGAGCAUGAUAGAGUGGUAGUUGAAGAAAUCGCGGAUCCUGUGCCCUUGCCUCCGCCACUGCAACCACCCACAUCACAGCCGCCGGUUUAUGACAUCAAUCGCCUUCCACAUGAUCCAGGUGAAAGGCAGCCCAUUGAAAGUUAUCAUGUUAAUGAUCAAGAUGCAAUUCGAAGAGCAUAUAUUAUUAAAGGUCGAUUCAAACCUGUUAAUCAUGAUUUUCCAUCAAGAAAAAUUGGAGGUAGGGAUCGCCAAUUCAAUUAUGUAUGGAUGUAUAAUCAUGAGUGGCUUGAAUAUAAUAUCAAGAAGGAUUCUGCGUUUUGCUUUAUAUGCUACUUGUUCAAGAAGGGUGCUGGGUCAAAUACAUUUAUUGUUGGAGGAUGGAAUAAUUGGAAUAUACGAAACAAAGCACUUCUCAAACAUAGUGGUUCUAUGGCACACAAUGCAGCUCAGGAGAGAUACAUUAGUUUUAUAAAUCCCAAGGUAGCAAUUGAUUAUCACAUUGAGAAGUGGACUGAUGAGGAUCUUCGUCUUUAUAAGAAAAGGUUGACAUAUUCACUUAGAUGUAUCAAGUUUCUUUUGCAUCAAGGAUUGGCAUUUCGUGGACCUGAUGAAAAUGAAGAAUCUAGCAACAGAGGAAAUUUCAUUGAACUUUUGAAGUUUCUUGCAGGAAAUAGUGAUGAAGUGAACAAGUAUGUCUUGAAUAAUGCUCCAGGUAAUUGCACCUUAACUAGCCCAGAGAUACAAAAGCAAAUUAUUCAUUGUUGUGCCAUAGAAACUAGAAAGAAAAUAAUUGAAGAACUUGAUGAUGAGCCCUAUGCAAUUUUAGCUGAUGAGUCCAGUAACAUAUCACAUAAAGAACAACUAGCUCUUUGUUUACGUUAUGUUGAUAAACUUGGAAGGCCUUGUGAACACUUUAUUGGAGUUGUUCAUGUAGAUGAUACUACCUCUUUGUCACUUAAGGAAGCUAUUGAGGGUUUACUUGUUAGUCAUGGAUUGACUAUGACUCAAAUUAGUGGUCAAGGUUAUGAUGGGGCCAGUAAUAUGAAAGGAGAUAUUAAAGGGCUAAAAACAUUGAUUAUGCAAGAAUCACCUUGUGCGUAUUAUAUUCAUUGCUUUGCACAUCAACUCCAACUAGUUCUUGUUGCUGUUGCCAAGAGAAAUACUGAUUGUAAGAGCUUUUUUGAUCAAGUAUCUAUCUUAUUGAAUAUUAUUGGAGUUUCUUGCAAGCGUCAUGGUAUGCUUCGAACUGCUAGGCUUGAGAAUAUUAAGAAAGCACUUGAGUGUGGUGAACUUGAAUCAGGGAGUGGAUUAAAUCAAGAGAUGAGUUUGCCUAGGCCUGGUGAAACUAGAUGGGGCUCUCAUUACAAAACUAUAUGCAGCAUCAUUACAAUGUAUUCCUCAAUCCAUGAUGUGCUCAUUGAUCUUGGUGAUGAUAUUUCACAUAAGGAUAAUUGGACAAAGAUACAUUUUGUGCUUGGAGCAUUUGAAACUUUUGAGUUCAUUUUCUUUGUGCACUUAAUGUUUGUUAUUCUUGGAUACACAAAUGAGUUAUCAGAGUGUUUGCAGAGAAGGGAUCAAGAUAUUCUUAAUGCAAUCUCCCUUGUUAAUGUGGCAAAGAACAAAAUGCAACAGUUAAGGUCUGAUGGUUGGGACCACUUCCUUGAGAGGGUCACUUCUUUUUGCAUUAAACAUGAUGUUGAAGUUCCUGCUAUGGAUGGUGAUUAUGUGCCGUAUGGAAAAUCAGCAAGGUAUGCCCGUGCUCGAAACCAAACAAAUGAUGAUCAUUUUAGAAGAGAAGUAUAUAUUGGUGUUAUUGAUCAAAUUAGGCAAGAGCUUGAUAAUCGGUUUGAUGAGAUCAAUAUGGAGCUACUUUCGUGUAUGUCAGCCUUCAGUCCUUCCAAUUCAUUUGCUUCGUUUGAUGCACAGAAGGUACGCAGAUUGGCUGAAUUUUAUACUAAGGACUUCUCUAACAAUGAUUUGCUAAAACUUGAAUUACAACUUGAUAAUUAUAUUGAUGACAUGCGACGAGAUGAUAGCUUCAAGGGUCUAGACAGCAUCGUUGAUCUCUCAGUUAAACUUGUUCAAACACGGAGGCACAAAGUGUAUGAUAUGGUUUACUUGCUUCUCAAAUUGAUAUUGCUUUUACCAGUGGCAACAGCGAGUGUUGAAAGGGUAUUUUCUGCCAUGGUUAAAGUGAAAACAAAGUCAAGGAAUAAGCUAAGUGACAGUGUUUUGGAUGAUUGUCUAGUCACAUUCAUUGAGCGGGAUAUUUUCUUCCAAGUGAAUGAAGAAGAUAUAAUCAAGACAUUCAUGUCAUUCAAAAAGCGGCGGGUAAACAAAGGAGACAAGUAACAUUGUAAGUUUCUUUUAUGCUAUAUUUUGAACUAUUUAUAUUGUGAUUUGUUAUUGUUUCUAGCUUAAUCUUUGAAUUUAUCGAAUUGUAAAUGGUUUUAUCGAAUUGCAUAAAAAUUUUUUUUGGCAUACCCUAUGAUAAAAUUCUAGAUCCGCCGCUGGUUCACGGUUUUCUGGUUGCUCAGCUCAUAAGCAAUUGAUCAUGCUUGAUCAUUGUUGGGCCAUUGCAUGUCCAUUGGCAAUCUUGACAGAAAUAAUUGAGCUACCAAUAAUAGUGUUGCACGUGUCUGUAACGGGAUGUACGGCGCCUGACAAUAAUAGGGCACCAUCCUUUCGAUCUGACAGACAUAUUUGUGUUACAUUCCUAGUGUUUGUAGUAUUUUUAUUUUCCGCUCAUGUCUACUGAUAAUUUUGCUAUAUAUGGUGCCAUUCUAAGUGUCCUUUUGUGGUCAGCAACUCGAGCCCCUGCUGGCCACAUCAUAGCUUGUCUGCUGGCCUGGUGCGCGUGAACCACGAGGGGAGGACCACAGUGGGCGCUCAGACAAUGUGCAUUAAGUCUGAGCUAAGCUGCCUUCUUCCUCAUCUUGUUAGUGGCCGUUUGACCCGGGACUAAAGGUCCUUAGUCCCGGGUCUAAAAACAAUCGGGACUAAAAACGCUGGAUAGGAGGUCUCUUAACCUAUCAAAACUGAUUCGACCUAAUAUGGACAUCCUUAAAUCACCACGUGUCCAUGGUUUUCUGGUUGCUCAGCUCAUAAGCAAUUGAUCAUGCUUGAUCAUUGUUGCGCCAUGUCCAUUGGCAAUCUUGACAAAAAUAAUUGAGCUACCAAUAAUAGUGUUGCACGUGUCUGUAACGGGAUGUACGGCGCCUGACAAUAAUAGGGCACCGGAACCUGCAAUAUGUCUGGCCGGAAUAUGCAAUAAAAUCCUUUCGAUCUGACAGACAUAUUUGUGUCACAUUCCUAGUAUUCGUUGUAUUUUUAUUUUCUGCUCAUGUCUACUGAUUAUUUUGCUAUGGGGCCUGAUUGGUUUGUUGCCAAAUGUGCAUGCCAAAGUUUUGCCAAGCCAAAAGUUGAGCAAGAAACUUGCUAAUAUUUUAGUAAGAUAAGUGGGAGAGAUUGCUAAAUUUUGGUAACAAACCAAACAAUGGCCAAAAUAUUAGCUUGCCAAAUCCCUGGCAUGCCAAAAUUUUGGUAGUGAACCAAUCAGGUGCCAUUCUAAGAGUCCUUUUGUGGUCAGCAACUUGAGCCCCUGCUGGCCACAUCAUAGAUUCAUAGCUUGUCUGCUGGCCCGGUGCGCGUGAACCACGAGGGGAGGACCGCAGUGGGCGCUCAGACAAUGUACAUGAAGUCUGAGCUAAGCUGCCUUCUUCCUCAUCUCAUAAGCAGUUGAUGCAUGCCUUACAGUGACUGACAUGGCCCAAUGGCACCAAUCCUGCUAACACAAAAUAAUAUUUCAAUCAUUUUUGGGAAAAAGGAGGGUCCAAUUUUGACUCCAUAUGCAAAAGUUGCGCCUGUUUUAUCGAACACUAUGCAAGUUAUAUUAGGGUUUUUUGGGUGCAUGUUUCAAUUGACAACUAAAGAUUAUCUACAACCAAGGACUCCACUAGACUGGCAAAACGGAAGUGAAAUUUUGUAGUUGAAAACCUUUUUCAUUAAAUUGAAGUCGUUUGUAUAUGUAAAUUGUGACAAAAUGUUCUGGACGGUAAUGGUUAAAAGGAAGCCAAGCAUGGGUGUAGUGGCCUGGCUAGAGGGCAUCACGCAUAGGUUUGAGGUUGGAGGUUUGAAAGACAAUCAAAACACUUGUGUUAAUGGCACCGCAAAAAUGGUUGAGGCAAGGGGUUGCAAACGAACCGACUGUACAGUCGGAUCACAAAACGUUAGUACAAAUUGUACAGAUGCUUGCUUAAAGUCGGUUCACAAACCUUCAGUAUAAAUAGUUCUGUAAUAGUGAUUUGUAGUUGUAAUAUAUCACAGGCCGAAACAUGCAGAUACAGGCAUCCCAGGACAUGCAACGAAAAGGAGAAAACAAGUGAUCAUUUUAUUGGUGUUUUAAACCGUCAUGUAACUCAUGUUUACUUUUGUUACAAGAAAUAGAAAUGCACAAAGACAUUUCUAUAAUACUAUUACUUUGCUACGUGGAAUUGGAACUUUGUAUCUGUGUCGUGGUUAGCGUCACGGUGCGGCAGAGGUAUCUCUGGAGCUGCCGAGCUAGUGCUGGUAGGAAUCUGUGUCGUUGUGGCCUUGUGGCCUUGUGGCAUGGUAGGUGCUCAGCAAUUAAUCGCACGUAUUGAAAACGUGUCUGUGGUCCUAUUGCUCAGCUCACCAAGCUCAUAUAAUGUCUUACACAGCAACGCACAGCAGCCAUGGCGAGCAUGGAGAGCCGAAGCCUCCCCAGGGCAGCAGCCACCUCAAUGGCGCAAGCUAUCGCCAUUGUCUUCCUGAUCUCAACUGUUGUCCAAGAACUUAAUAAUAUAACACCUAUGUCAAAGUUUUCAAGCAUGGCCACAAGCUCGCGCAGGCAGACCUAAUUACCAUUCCGAGGCAGUCUCAACUGUUGGCUCAAGAUCUGACGAUUGCUGCCAUUCCAAUUUCGAUUAAAAACACGUAGUGAUGACAGCUCACUGGAACCCUAACUUCACCCCUUAGGCCCUAAUUUCACUUUCCCCCUCACGUCUCCUCCUUCCUGUCUCUUUAUGUUAAUUUUUAUACUCGAAAAAUGUGAGAUUGAACUAACUGUAUCUCUAGACAUUAUGUAAAAAAAUAUGAAAAUAUCAACAAUAUAGUUUCGACAACCAUUCAUAAAUUAAAUAUUAAUAAUAUGAAAUCGGCAUGCAUGGUGUCGGGUCCAUGGUGUGCUAUCCGUGUGUUAGGCGGAGUGAGACUGAGAGAUGAUGGAGAAAGUAGAGGCCUAGUACACGUCAGUUAUUUUCUGUUACUUUCUUAAUGUUCUUUUUGUGGUUAGGCAUCUGACUGGCACAUCAUAAGUUUGUCCUGGGCUGCUCAGCUCACAUGCAAUUGAUGCUUGACAGUGACUGUCAAAACUAGUGUUGCUCGAUUUGACGGCUUAUACAUGGAUGCCUGACAAUCACAAUGAAACCUCCAUGUUCAAACACAAUCACAAUGCAAAUGCCUGCCCUUGGAUCCGACUGAUACAUUUGUGUACUGACCACUGCUGGCAACAUCAUAGCUUGUCUGCUGGCCUGGUGCGCGUCAACCACGAGGGCAGGACCAGUGACCUGGCAAGGUGAGGUGGGUCGCUCAGACAUGGUGCUUUAAGUCUGAGGUGACUCUGCUUUAUUCGUCUUUCUUUCAACAGUGUUCAACAUCCAUCGAUCAUGAUUUGUGAAGUACCUGGAUUUAUUACUUAAUAUAGCAUUUCUCAUCUAACAUUGCACAAAGACCUUCAUGAAUUCUUGAUUGCUUUUUGGAACGCGGAAAGCACAAUCGUUAUUUUCCUUUAUAAGUUCAUUAAAUGGCCAUGAACCACGAUACAUUCAUAGCUUUUACCGUGUUGGCAAUUUAUAACUAAACAUGGUCUACAAACAAGGACUCCCCUAGACCAGCAAAACGGAAGAGGAAUUUUGUAGUUGACAACCUUUUUCAAUAAUUUUAGAAUAUCUUCAUUUAUUUAUCAAUUCUAGUUUUACUAUCCGGACCAGUUUGUGUAAACGCCAGCACGGGUGCUAAUUAUAUGCGUCGGCUUCAUUAUGUUGGUAUGAUAACCGAUACAGAUGACAUUUUAGCGGUACGGAUGAGGUGCUCUCUAGUUGUAAUAAUCAACUCUUAAAAAUAUAACUUAGAAACUCGUCUUGGUCACUCGUGCUGCUUUGCAAGUUAAGCACUUUGAGUGCUAUAGUUCUUUUUAACAUGUCUACAUUGAUGGAUCGAGUGCCAUGAUUCUUUUGUGUUUACUUUGAAAAGAAGAAGAUGGCUUAGAUUCUGCAUUCAGAGUUUGAACCUACAAGUGUCAAGGGGCCAUACAUUCCUGAUUUCCUGUGUGCAUUGUUGGCUGUUGUUUGCCACUAAUAUAAUACAGACACCGUCGUACUUUCUAUUGGAUGUGGAUGUCCUAUUUUUCUGAUUCUAAUGCUUGUGCAUUUAUUAAGGAUCUAGAAACAAAAUUGACAGCGCGGCUUUCAGUUAAAAUAAUAUAAGUAAUUAGGAGUAAUGUGAUCAAUUCUCACAACUAAUAAUAAUAAUGUGUCUGAUUUUUUUCAAAAAAAAACUUAUUUGGGAACAGUGGGAUCGAGUACUCUUUUUUAGGUGCAUUUAAACUUACUUAUGCUAUUGGAUCAGGGGCGCCGGACACCACUGAAGUAUCACUAAUUAGCUAGUUCACCACGCUCCAAACCAAAAUGGAUUGAGAAAUUAAAAUGGAGCCGGAGGAGCAGUGCCUCGGAAUCGUAUCUCUUCGGCAAGCCAGGGGACAGGCUCUGGUGACGGGGCGCGUUGUAAAAGCCGCUCUUUUUGUCCGGUUCGACCUGUUCUGAAUCUAUUGCUCGAUUUGAGGGCCUAUACAUGUGCAAUGCAACAAUGGUGUUACAUCUCCAUACUCAUCUACCUAAUAGGGCACCGGCACAUGCAAUGCAAGUUCCUGCAUGCCUGCCCAUCGAUCCGACAGAGAGAUUGGUGUUAAUUAGAAUCAUAUUCGUCACUGACCAAAAUUUCCAGAUAACCAAGUCUAAUCAGUUACUGUAUAUGAUACUUUCAUGCUCAUGCCUACUGACCAUCUUACAAGUACUAUAUAUGAGUGUCCUUUUGUGGUCAGGCACUGCUGCGCGUGAACCACGAGUGGACGCCCAAUCAAAGUAACUGUGUCGUUGCGUGAGAUGCCUCCUCUCCUUGCCUCUUAAUUAUUAAGCCAUGUCCAACAACGACAACAACAAUGAUAAUAAUAAGGAACUGAGGUGAGACAGCUAUAUGCAUAAAUAUAAUUCAACAUAUGGACAAACAACAGAAUAUCUAAGACCUCCUAAUGAUCAGAGUUUUAUAUAUUUCGCUUUAUUUCAACAGUUAAACAUAAAUCGAAUAUGAUUCGUUGAGUAUCUACGAGCUUAGAACUUUUAUUAAGCGUUUAGGGCUAUGUUUGUUAGGAAUCCUUUUAUCAGUGAGUGCUGGUUGCUGAUUUGCUUCGAUCCAUGAAAAUAAGGAUAAAUUUGAAAAGAAAGCACAUAGGAAUCUUAGAGACUUUGUAGUGGGCAAUGCCUUCCAGUAGCUUCUCUUCUAAGCUAAAUUUGGCAUCAUAUGAACAAGUAGAAGCUUAGAUGGAUUAAGAGCUACAACUACAUACAAGAUGUUGAAGAAUACUCGAGUGUUUUUUCAUUGCGAAUGACCAUAAACGUUCUCUUCCUCUAGAAAUUUCUUCCAUAGAAAGAGUUUACAAAGAGACGAGCUGUGCACGGAAGACUUUGGUGCUAGCUCAAAGACGGGGCAGCUUGCUGCCUGGACGCAGCCUCGCCAUUUUGAGAACUGGUGUUAAUUACAGAGUCCCGGUAUGGAUGAGACCAAAUAUCUAAGUUGCGAGCGAUAGCCCGGAGCGUUGCAUUUGUGUCAGCAUUAUACGAGCGGAAAACCACGUUGUUGCGGCUGUUCAAAAUUCUCCACAGCACGAUCAGAAGAACAUGAUUCCAAGCGCCUUCAGAAAGGUGUGGGGGCUGCCCGCAGCUCCAUGGGUCUGCCUUUCCCGCGCCAUCAUAGGUGAUCAUCAGAGUAUCCCAAAUUGAAGCAGCAGCAGGACACUCGAAGAAGAGAUGCAUAUCGCUGAUUCCACUACCGUACCGCGCAGCCGCGAGGACAAAAGGCUUCAUCUUCCUUCAGGAUGUUUAUGUAUAUAUGUAAAUUAUCACAAAAUGUUCUGGCCGGUAAUGGUUGAAAGGAAGCAAAGCAUAGGAGGAGUGGCUAGAGUGCAUCACGUAGAGGUAGGCCUGCUAAUUGGAUUGAAAUCCAACUCUAACCCACACCAAUCCACAUCACGUUAAUUUCUUUUUUCAACCUAACUCACCCCAUAUCUAUAUUAUCUAAACCCAAACCGUUGAUAAAACUCAUGGUUUUGCUAUAUAUAUAAACCUAUGGGCUUAUAUAAAAAACUCGUAUAUAUUUGAAAUAAACGUGAGUCCACCAUGUGGGUCCUACGUGAAGAGCUAGACUCUAAAACUAAAAUGUCGUAUUCACACCUUAAAAUUUUAGCGAAAUUGAUCGAAAUUUGUUGGAGAUGACAGAGUUUGACUGCACGCUACAUUAUGCUAAAUAGUAUGGCUAAACAUACAUAGAGAAAUGAGGAAUGAGGUUGCAGGUUUGAAAGGCAAUCAAAACACUUGUGUUAAUGUCACGGAAAAAACGGUUGAGUCCAGGGGUUGCAUCACAUAUCCACCUAGGACCCUUGUGGUUGCAUCACAAUCGCACGUGUUGAAGAACGUGUGUGUGGUCCUAUAUAUUCUCCUAGAGGCACUCAGUCACCGGGGACUUCUAUUGCUCAGCUCACCAAGCUCAUAUAAUACCUAGUAGCUCGAGCACAGCAACGCACGCAGCCAUGGCGAGCAUGGAGAGCCGAAGCCUCCCCAGGGCAGCAGCCACCUCCAUGGCGCUAGCUAUCGCCAUUGUCUUCCUGAUCUACACAACCGCACGACUGGGAGAUGCGGCAUCCGUUGAGCACACGUUCAUGGUAAGUACGCAUGAUCCUGUUUCAUUCCCUUUGAUCGACUUGUCAGGCGUUAAUCGGUUAUGGUGCAACGAUAUUUACAUUGUAUUAUAGGGUGUUUUUUAAGACAAGCAUAUGCAUCGAUAAACGGUUCUAGAAAAUUAUUUUCUAAAUUAAGAUAUGCGUAAUCAACAAAGGCGUACAUUAGUGGUCACGGGUAGAAAACUCACCUUUAGUCCCAGUUGGUAGGGAGCAAAUCUCCCGAAAAUCCAUCCAGGAUAAACCAAUCGAGACAAAAGGGGGGUCUUUUGUCCUGGGUCACUCAACCGGAACUAAAGACCCCCUUUUAUCCCGGUUGGUAAUACCAACCGGGAUAAAAAGGGUCGCCACGCCAGGCGCAGCUCCCAAAAAAAACAAAGAAAUCCCGGGGACCCCCACACGUGAUUUUUCACGCGAAAUAUGCGCGUGCGUGGUGCGUAGCUUCCUUGCCAUCCCACCUACACAACACAUCUAACUAUAUAGGGAAUGCAAUCCUUUUGUAUUAACUCGUGGGGUCCCAGGCUGGAAACAUCAACAGGGACUAAAGACCCCUUUUAUCCCGAUUGGUAUUACAAACCGGGAUAAAAGGGUUCGAGGGAUUUAGUCCUUGCCAUCCGUGGGGGACCAUUUUAUCCCGGUUGGAAACACCAAUCAUGGUAAAAGAUCCCCUUUUAUCCCAGUUGGUAUUACAAACCGGGUUGGUGUUUCAAACCGGGAUAAAAGGCCUUUCAGGGCCUUUUUUUUUCCACUAGCCUUUGCAACCGGGAUAAAAGGUCCCGGUUGGUGAGCCCCCGUCAGUGACCGAGCUUUAGUCUCGAUUCGUGAACCUUUUAUCCGGUGCCAACUUUAAACCGGGAUAAAAGAGGGUGCAUGGAAGGUGAGUUCUCUACUAGUGGAUUCCCUAUGAAUUCUUAACAAUUCAACCACGAUGUAGGUAUAUAUGUAUCCAUGCUUGAUUUCUUGGAACAUGCACAUAUAUCUGUAGGUGAGCCAGGUGAAGAUGACACACUUGUGCAAGGAGACACUGGUCACCGUGGUGAAUGGGCAGCUCCCAGGACCAGCGAUAGAGGUCACGGAGGGAGACUCGGUGACUGUUCAUGUCGUGAACAAGUCACCCUACAACAUAACAAUACACUGGUAAUCAGCUGAGUUCCUACUCAAUACAAUCACUUUUCUUCCCAAGGACACUAAAAAACCUAUUAAUGUACAUUCACUUUGCAGUGGAAAUAAAAUAAUAAGAUGCUUUCCAGUAAUUCAUCAAAAUAGAAUAUUUUAUUUUAUUUCAUCUUUCGCCAUCUUUUUCUUCUGUGUUGUCUGAUGUAGGCAUGGAGUGAAGCAGUGGCUUAACUGUUGGGCUGACGGGGUGCCGAUGAUUACCCAACUCCCUAUCCAGCCAAACCAAAAUUUCACCUACCGGUUCAACGUCAUCGGGCAGGAAGGCACCUUGUGGUGGCAUGCUCACGUCCCCUUCCUCCGGGCAUCACUGCAUGGCGCCCUCAUCAUCCGGCCAAGAAAUGGGGCGAGCUCAUAUCCAUUUCCAAAGCCAGACAGGGAGGUCCCAAUCAUAAUAGGUUCGUGAAUUAUCUACAUCAUAUUCACUAGCUGUGUUACGAGAACAGAACAAACUGCACCUGAUUUUUUAUUGGAAUCUGUUUGGAAAAGAGAGAAGAAUGGACUGUUCCUAUUUGAAUUGAACUGUCUUUGACUUUGGCAGCGGACUAUUGGCAGCUAGACCUUGCACAGGCGGCAAGGAGGAUGAUGCAUGGUUUCUUGUUUUCUUUCGCCAAUGCUUCCACGAUCAAUGGCAAGCUUGGAGAUAUCUUCAAUUGCUCUGGUAAGAAAUUACUUUCUUACAGCAUUGAUGUCCGUGCCAAUGACAUAUUCCUUUUUUCUGAAAAAAGUGUCUGCUUGAAUUCAACUAUGAAGGUGUGCCGGAAGAUAACUACGUAUUGGACGUUGUGCCUGGCAAGACCUAUCUGCUACGAAUAAUUAACGCCGCGCUCUUCGCCGAGUUCUACCUAAAGAUAGCUGGGCACAAAUUCACUGUGGUUGGUGCCGAUGCCAGCUACGUCAGCCCAUACACCACGGAUGUCAUUGCCAUCGCGCCCGGCGAGACAGUGGAUGCCUUGGUUGUUGCUGAUGCGCCCCCUGGAAGGUACUACAUGGUUGCCCUGCCCAAUCAGGCGCCAUUGCCGGACACCCAGACCCCCGAAUACACAACCAGAGGGAUCAUGCAGUACAGCAACACUCACAGUUCUGCUGAUGAUCCAGCAGGACUAAUAUCAGAUCGUGGUGUGGAAGAAGAAGAAGAAGAUAAAGGUUCAUCCGGUGAUGUGCCAGUAGCACCUGAGAUGCCUGAUAUACAUGACACAAUUACAUCUUACUACUUCCACAGCAACCUGACCAACCUGUACCAAACGGUGGUCCCUCAGCGAGUUGAUGAACGUUUGUUCAUCGUGCUCAGCCUGGGUUCAAUAUGUCAGCAUGGCCAGUCCUGCAGGAGGGGUGAUCACAAUGAGACCAUCCUCAUCGCAACCAUGAACAACGUUUCCUUCCAGGAUCCCACGGGGAAGACGCCACUACUAGAAGCACACUACUACCACACUGGAAGCGUGGACUUGAUGCAAGAACUUCCGGACAGACCACCAAGGGCAUUCAACUUCACUGACGAAGCCUUAAUCCCGUAUGGGCCCAAGGAGAUGCGCUUAGAGCCAUCGUAUAAGGCCACGGUGGUGCGUAGGUUCCGGCAUGGUGCCGUAGUGGAGAUGGUGUUCCAGAGCACAGCAGUUCUACAGGGCGAUUCCAACCCGAUGCAUCUACAUGGUCACAACAUGAUCCUUCUUGCACAGGGGUUUGGUAACUUCGACGCCGCGAAAGAUGUUGCAAAAUACAACUUGGUGAAUCCACCGGUGAAGAACACUAUUCUUGUCCCAAAUCUUGGGUGGGCUGCCAUCCGAUUUGUUGCGAACAAUCCAGGUGUGUCUAAGAUUUAUUUGUGUUAGUCAGGUUUCAAAGUCGACGCUGUCAGAUCUAAUGCUUGUCUUAUAUGAUUUACAGGAGUAUGGUUCAUACAUUGCCACUAUGAAUUCCAUUUGACUAUGGGCAUGGCGGCAGUAUUCAUUGUAGAGGAUGGUCCGACAGUAGACACAUCUCUCCCUCCACCACCUGCUCAUUUUCCAACAUAUUGUGGUCAUGACGACAAUCUCCUUCCGGAUGAACUGUGCCUCCAAACUAAGAAGGAUGCAUGAAAUCCCACGUAUAAAUGUAGUCUGAAUAAAUAUUACUGCAACCGCCAGUUAUCAAAUUAAAUAAUGGAUGGCCCACGCUAGUACCUAGAUUCAAGUAUGCAUAUUAAAACUACUGUAUCGUCUUCACUCUAUCAAUAAUGCGAGGCCAAUUAUACGACAAUCUUCACUCUAUCAAUAAUGUGAGGCCAAUUAUACGACAAUCCCCUUUUAUAUCCAUAUAUGCAUAGCAUUCUUUUUUCUAUAUUAGAUUUUACAUCCUGGUGAAUUGCAAUUUUUAUCUAUAACUGCAUGUACUCCCUCCGUCCCAAAUUCUAUAUCGUUUUGGUAUUUCCAGCUACAUUCAUAUAUUUUAUUAAUAGCUUUUAUAAAUACAUGUAGACCCGUGUUAGAGUGGAAGUGACUAGACGAAUAAUUAAUCAUGUUGAAAGUCCCCCCAAACACGAUUAAAAAUUUUCAGUCACCCUUCUGUCGUACAGUCCAAAGUUUAAAGCACGGGAGCUGCAAACAAUUAUUUCACCACCGUUUUACACUUAAGCCAUAUAUAUCCUUCGUACAAAGACCAAGCGGAUUACACAUCACUAGUAGAGAAUUGGUCUUUAGUCCCGGUUGGUAGGGUGCAUAUCUCCUGAAAAUCCAUCCGGGAUAAACCAACCGGGACAAAGGGGGGUCUUUAGUCCCGGGUCUUUCAACCCGGACUAAAGACCCCUUUUAUCCCGGUUGGGAAUACCAACCGGGAUAAAAGAGUUUUCCAAAAAAAAUAGAAAAAAGCACUGGCGGGCGGAGGCCCGCCUCGGCUCCCGCACCACCACUGAGCCCCCAUCCCGCCGCCGCCGAGCCACCGCAUCCUGCCGCCACCCGCACCCCGUGUUGGAGGUAUGCCCUAGAGGCAAUCAUAGAGAUGAUGAUAUUCCAUUUGUAUCCAUGAUUUAUAUUGUGUUCCUUGAAUAUCCAUUAAAGGCUACUUGAAUUGAUUUGCAAUUAUGUGAAUUGUGUAUGAAACUCUUUACUUGUAUGGUUAUUCUAAAGUUGUCCCUAGUCGGAGUUCAUGUGAGGACAGACAUGAAUAUUAGACUAGCAUAUGUAUUAGUUGAUGACUAUGUUUCACAAGUCAUGGAUAUGGAGAUGUUGAACUAAUAAUGUGGGCACAUGUGGAGACAUGUGCUAGGACUGACCCAACACGAGAAGUAGUUCUCUCUUUAAACAACAUAUACGCUUUGUCCUUAGACCUAAGAUUGUCGCAUGUAUUCAAGAUGUGGAUCGACUUACUUAGGGGCUAUCAAACGCUACGCCGUAACAGGGUAGUUAUAAAGGUAGCUUUCGGGUUUGUCAAGAAGCAUGCUAUGAGACAUGGUCAAUCAAGAUGGGAUUUGCCCCUCUCUAAUUGAAAGUGAUAUCUCUGGGCCCCUCGAGUGAUUGGAUCCGAAAAUGCAUGGCCAUGCUACGUACGAUUAAGAGUUAACCUACAAAGGGAUUCCAAAUCAUAGGAUCGAGAAAGAGCGGUUGGCUUGAAACUAGACCAAAUAUAGUGAGGCAAAGGGAAUAGCAUGUAUAUAAUGUUGUGAUGGUUCGUCUGAUAUGAUCUUCGUGUGCGUAUAGGAGUUGGCACGUCUUGCUAGAGGCCGCUACCGACUAUUGGGCCGAGUAGGAGUACUCGGGCCAUGUCUAUACGUAUCCGAACCCAUAGGGUCACACACUUAAGGGGCUGGAAGCCCAAUUCGGAUGUGAUCCGAGUUGGAUUAGGUUUAGAAGUACUAACGGGCCUCGGACCCAGAGGCUCGUUAGGAACCUCUAUAAAUAGAGGGGUGGGGGCGCCCUAGGGUUUACACCUUUUGGCGAAACAAAUCUGUUGCGCCUCCCACGCCCUUGCCUGUUGCAACUCGCGGACCUAGCAGUCCGGCUUGCGAUGCUUCCUCCCUGCACGUGUGGAUACCUUGGAGGUGUUGCGCCUGCAGCACUUGGAUGAGCCACGACGAGCUGCCGACGAGCCACGACGAGUCGCCGACGAGCCACGACGAGCCGCGGCACGAGGGCGAUCUUGCUACACGUGGAUGAGCUGCUGAGGAGCUGCUGGACGUCGACGUGAUCGACUACGUACGACUAUGCUGAUCGACUUCGCUGCAUCGACGCGAAUCUACAUCUUCCGCAUCAUUGCGUCAAGUGGUAAUCCCGUGAUCCUUAUACGGUAGUUUUCCUGGUUUACGCAGUAGAAAGUUUUGAUUUGCGCUAGUGUAGCCUACCUUGUAUCCCAACACGCCGGCACGCCUGCUCCGGCCCCACCGCCUCCUGCUCCGCCACGCGCCGCCGCCUCCUCCGUCGCAUCCACCCGCCGCUCCUCGCCCACCGCCGCCGCCGCCCAAAACUCACCACAACAACACUGACACUGCACCGAGCUCGCCGCCGCCGCACCUCUUACUGCUGCUCCUCGCGCGCCGCCGCCACCGCCUGCAACAAAAAACAGCAAGAACUCACCACCACAACUACACUGACUUGGCCAUUGAGCUCGCCGCCAGCCGGCCACCUCUUACUGCGCUGCCCUGCACCUCGCCCCGCUGUUGCUCCUCAAUGGCAGUGAGGGGCGAGCAGAGGGGGAAGGGGAGGGUAGCAGAGGGGGCGGCAGCAGUCCAGGCUAGUAUUGAAGAACCAGCCACCGGUGGGCCGCCCACAUCAUAUGGUGAUGAUGACGCCUCCUUCAAAAAAAGAUGAUGCCAAUGUGCAUGCCGGUACUGGACGAAGCGAAUACAACAGUUGGUCAGAGUAGUGUUGGCACUACGAUAGCACAACCAUUUCCAUAGGUUCUGUAUCCAUUAAUACUCCAUGCUCAUUGCACAUUCUGGUCAGCAGAGUUGGAGAGACAAAAUAGGUUGCCCAGGGUGUUGCCAAUCCGAUUGGUGGUUUGUUUGAUGGAAAACCUAUCCCACCCCUGUAUGCAUGUGUACGAGUGCUUGAUAUCAAUCCAAACUAUGAUGAUGACGAGAUAGAUAUCCCCACUAUAGAGGGGAUCUAUUGCCUUGGACAAUGAGUCGAUAGUACCAUACUGUUGCAUAAACGAGAGAUACUACUGAUUGGUCCACAACCUUUGAUUCUUGAUGAUCCUGCCUCGCUCAAAACUUCCUCAUGUAUGAAAUCCAGACUGGGACAUGUUCUUGUUGAGCAUCCACUAGUGGAACGGACUUUGGCACCAGAACAACUAGUUCAUGGGAUAAGCAUAUCCUGCCACAUCAGCGAUCUACGCCUCUCAAACUAAGCAAUCCCAUUGGGCGAACCUUCUCUUGCACCUCCUUUCUAUCCCGUCCACCCAUCCUCCUCCUUUAUACUAUCCCUGCCUGUCAUCCAUUCCUACUUUACCUUCUCGCUCCCCCAACCUUCUUCAACCCAAGUGACUUCGGCUCGGUAUUGGUCUCAAACGAAUUUGAUACCGAACAGAUUUAAGUGUGGCUGAGGAUAGAUGUUGACAAGGGUUCUGAACCCAUAACUCGGUUGCCCGAGGUUAAGUCUGAUGCCUCAAAAUCGGAGGCUAGAGGUUGUCACGGGUUCCGAACCCAUAACUUGGUUGCCCAAGGUUAAGUCUGAUGCCUCGAAAUCGGAGCUCGAAGCUGCUAGGGCUUUAGCUGGGCUGAAAUUAAAAAAGCCUGGCAAGAAAACUGGAGUGAGAAUAGUCGAUGCUUUGGAGGAUGAUGACGAUGAAGUCGGUUUCUUGGAUGACAACUUGUCCCUGGUUUCACCUCUGCACGGUUUGCUCGAGGAUAAGGCUCACGAUGUUUCUGCUGAGAAGGAUUCGCAAUCCAAGAAUGUUGAAGAAACAUCGGAUGCUAUUGGUACUGUCCUUCCUAUUAUACUAGAUGCAAAGGAAAUUACAGAGCACGCGGUUGCUACCCACUCAGAAAGGUAAUCUUGAUAAUACAAGUCUGGCUGGUCUUAGUUUUGUGGAUGUUAGCGAGGCUUCUUCUAAAUUUUUGAUGGACUUGCAAAGCACAAUUGGCAAAGUUGGAGAGCCGUAUCAUGAACCCUCAUAUCUUUUGCAUGUAGAUCCUUUGCCCGACAGUCCUGAUCCACCUCAGGUUGUGCUAGACGACAACAAGGAUUUUGGUACAAAUAUCAAGGAGAAGUUGCUGGCUGUCCACAUUCCUGGAGCAGGUGAAGAUAAUGAUCCUUUCAAUCCUCCACUACUAUGUAGAUCGCAUGACUCACUUCGACCUGUAGGUGAAACGGCGAGGACUGUUCUGGGUGGUAAGUUUGAGGGCGAUGUUUCCUCUGAGGCUCUUGAAGAAGGCAAGCUUGCCAAAGAAGAAGAGAAAAAUCUGCAAGUUCCUGAAGCUUCGAGAGGCUUCUAUUCAGAGCGAUACCCAAGGAAGUUUCUUCGAUCUUGAGGCUUUGUAUUUUUUAUAAUGUCUUCUAUUUUUUUUUUGGUUUUUGAUGCCUUUGGUUGCUUAUAGAAUGCCCUUAUUUUGACAGAAUAUGAGAAGUCUUUGCGUUGCUAGGACCAUGAUCACUUGGUGAGGAUAACGACUACCCUCGGUCAUAAGGUAUUGCCUUUCCUGACUUACUGUUAAGAUUUUUACUAUUUGGUAUUUGUAUGAUUUUUCUCAGUUUUACUUGUUUUUCAUUUUUAGGCUGUAAUUGCUGGCAAAGUGGCCAAUGAUAGGCUUCAAGAGAAGGAGAGGGCUGCACUCAGCAGCAGCGCUAGGGUUCUUGAGCUUGAGACUGAGGUUGCGUGGCUUAAAAAGGAGAACUCAGCUUUAGAUGAUCUCAAAGCCUCACUUUCUGAGGAGAAUAUUGAGUUGAAAAAGAACAAGGAUCUUUUUGUGAAAACAUGCAGUGACCUCGUUCAGGAAGUGGAGACCUUUGAAAAGAAUUCUGAAGAUAACCUCGGAGUUUUGGAAAAACUGCGGAGUACCAUUGAGAAAUAUUUGACAACAAAUGCAGCUUUGAAGAAACAAAAUGAGGCACUUGCCAAAGCUUGCGCUGAGAAAGAUAUUAUGAUUCAUACCUUGGGAAAAAAACCUCGAGGAUCAAAAAGGUUUCAUCGAUGGUGCGGAGCAAGUGCUGAAGGCCCGUUUCUCACAGAUUCAUGAUGGGUAUAAGCUUGCACUGGUAGAGUUUGGGGCAGAACCCCUUCCUCUCUCUACUGAUAAGGGAGCCAACAAAAUAUUUGAUUGGAUGGAUCAAUAAUUUGAGUCCUUGCCCUCAGUUAUUGUGGGAGCCAGUGAUUAAGCAGCCUCCUUGUGUUGUGAGGGUAUGCUGAAGCUGCUCGAGGUGGAAAAUUGCUCAGAUUUCCUGAAAUUUGGUGCGCACGGUUACAAGUUUCCUUCUGCUUUAGAAUUCGAUGCACAGGAGACAUCAAAAAAUGUUAAGAUUGUGAAGAAGAAUUUCUUGAAGGAAUUUUGGAAGGCUUCUUGUCACGACUUUGCAAAGCUUGUUGCUCGUGGUCAUCUUUUGGAGGUUCGACUUUUCCUUUUGUCCAUUCUGCUUAAGACUGCUUUUCUUUAUCUUAUUGUGGUUGUUUGUGAUAGGCUAAAGAAUCUGAUGUGAAGGAAAAGAAGCAGAUUGGAGGCUCGGAGCAACAAGAGGUGUAGACUCUAGACUAGGUUUAAUUGGAAACUUAAUCUUUUGAUGCAUAGCUUAGGGUCGAGAACUAAAAUAGUUGUUGGUUGUAAUUUAACCUGCGCAAGUCCUAGGUGAUGGGCCUGCGCAGGACAUACUUCCUCUUCGAUUUCAUCAUGGAAACAUUGUUGCCAGUGGUCAUGCUUGGCGUCUCUUUCGUACUUUUCAUCUCGACGCUAGUUUUCAUGAUUUCUGGUGCUUUUGCUGUGAAUACUUUUCCGUGCAAAGCUUUAUGCUGGGUCACUAUUUUGAGUCCCGCGAUGGUUAUGCACUUGGUAUGAUGGAAGAAAAAAUAUUUGAAGCUUCAACGGUGAAGUCGGAGCCCCUUAGUCCGCAAAGUCAUGAGUUUGAUGAUGCCUAUGUGUGUGAUGCUGCAGAGUUUCGAGGUUCAAAACCUGGUCAUGUAAUCGAAUUGUCAUUCUGACUUAUAACGAAACUGAUUGGAAAAACAUCACCCCCCCCCCCUUGUUCCUUUUUGCGGAGAUUUUUGUUGCAAGAUGUUAUUGCGAGAAAUAUAUUGUGUUAUUUAUUUAAAGGGUUUUCUGUCUAAGUAUCAUAACCCGAGAUGACAAGGAAUAUAUGAUUUUAGUGAGAAACAUCACCCCCCCCUUCCGUUCCUUUUGGCGAGGGUUAUGCUGUUUGCGGUAUUUGGUCGAUGACAGAGGUAUCCUCGAAGCUUUCUAUCUUCCACAUUUUUCCGUGCAGUAGUUAUUGAUUUUGGAAAAAAGGUCCGGAGGUGUUUAACUUUCAUGUGGGAUUUUUAUACACCAGUUUUCUUGUAAUAAGUCAGCAAAAACUUGCUCCGAGUUUUGCGGACUUAGAAAGUUAAAUGACAAGUCGGGUCGAAUUCACAACUCUUGGUUGCUUCGACCAUAGAGCUGUAGAUCCUAUGAGGUUAGAUAGAAUUUUAGACGAGUAUGGUAAUGGCAAAAGCGAGGCUUUGCUUAUGCAAAAACACAAGAUUCGGGUAUUCUUGGAAGCAAAGUUGGUGCUGCAACUUAUUGUUGCUUCUGUCCAACGCUUGCGCAGAAACGCAAGUUUUUUCUCGCACAGAAAUGCGAGGUUUCGCUUGCACAGAAACACAAGGUUUAAGUUAUUCAAAAAGUAAAGUUGGUGCUGCAACUUGUUGCUUUCGCCCAACACUUGCACAGAAACGCAAGUUUUUUUCUCGCACAAAAAUGCGAGAUUUCACGGCAACUUGUUGUUGCUUUGGCCUCAGCAUGCACAGAAAUGCAAUGCGUUCUACUUGCACAGAAAUGCAAUGUAGUAGCCCUUUCGAGGCUUAGUAAACACGAGAUUCGGGGGAAUUGUAUUGCAUUAAAAUGUAAAGGUUUACAUGGAUCGCCUUGUUAAAAACCUUACCUCCAUUGUGGAGCCCCCUAGAUAGGAAAAGUGUACAUUCCAUUUGUAGCAAAGUAAAUGCAGGAAAGUAAAUUUUCUACCCUCGAUGUUGUUUAUAGGCUUACAGGCUGAGGGUUUUACUAUUUUGGUGACUAUGGGUAGUAUUUGCGCAAGUUAUCCACAUUCCAAGAAUGUGGUAACUCUGCUCCUAGCUGAUCUGCAAGGUAAAAGGAUCCUAGCUUGUUGAUGUGGAAUAGGGUCCCGAUCUUCCGAAAGGUUCAGUUAAUCGACGAUUUGGGCGGAGUCGCUACACAAAUCGAUCCGGCUUCCGAACAACACGUUCCGAACCCCGCAAUCGCAGCACAACGUCUCCUCAGGUUAUCGACCAGUGAUGCACGGUUGACCUCGCCAAGAAGGCUAAUCCUUGCCUGCAAAUCGAAGAACACAAGCAAGAAUAAGGAAGAAUGCAAACCAAAUUUGCGGAUGAAUGAUUAAGCUCACGAGUUGGGGUUUUACAAACCGAUGAUGGCGAAACUGUUCUUGACAGAUUAAUCUAAGCAAAACCCAAAACCUAACAAAGGUGACGGCUACUGUUAUAUAGGGGUUAGGGUCGUGGUCGACCCCCUGGACGCGCCCCUAAUGGGCUCAACAACAAUACACGGCCCAAAGGCCAAAAUAAGGCGACGCAGUGCCGGGACAGUUUCUGGACGCCAUCUUGUUUCGACAAUUUCCGUUGACUCAAGACGAAUUUAGGCAUGGGACCAGUGCCAUUGGAAAAAUAGAUGUUCUAAACUUUCCAACCAUAUAUAGAACGUCCAAAACGGAGUCCGUAUGCGGCCUGGGCGUCCAAAUCACUGUGGGCUGCUUCUGGACACCGAGGUGGACUCGAAGUCGACUUGGCUUGGGCCUCCAACUCGAGUUGUAUGUCCUUGCUGGUCCUCCAUGCCUCCCAGCCUCUCUCCACGCAUCUCCUGGUCCUCUCCUUUAUUCCUAAUCAAAAUAUAACCAUUGGAUAGCAAUUUAUUCUUAAAAUCAUAAAAUGAAUUGCUUAGGAAUGAUCUGACCUCUAAAUGCAAUUGUCGUGCGCGAGCUCUAGUGAUUGGACCUUGAAUGUCCAGCGGAGUAUCAUGUGCAUAUGGAGAAGUGAUGUCCUCAUCAUCCUCCCCUGCUUGAAAUGGAGUCAUCCUCGACUCAAGCUCAUCGUUUGCUCCCAAGUAAGGCCUCAAAUCUGAAAUGUUAAAGGUAGGACUAACCCCGAACUCGGGAGGCAACUCAAGUUUGUAUGCAUUAUCAUUAAUCUUCUCAAUUAUCUUGAAAGGACCUUCAGCUCUAGGCAUCAACUUAGACUUUCUCAAAUCUAGAAAUCUAUCCUUUCAUAGGUGCAACCAAACUAGAUCACCCGGUUCAAGUUUAACUUCCUUUCUACCUUUACUACCAGCAAUUCGAUACUUUUCGUUCAUUUUUUCAAUGUUGUGCUUAGUUGUUUCAUGCAUUUGCAAAAUAAAAUCAGCGCGUUCUUUGGCAUCCGUAUGAAUCCUCUCGCUAGUAGGCAAAGGCAAAAUAUCAAUAGGAGCACGGGGGUUGAAUCCAUACACUACUUGAAAAGGACUUACUUUUGUGGUUGAAUGUGUUGCCUAAUUGUAUGCAAACUCCACAUGAGGCAAACAUUCUUCCCACAUCUUCAAUUUUUUCUUCAAAACAGCCCUCAACAUGGUGCCUAAAGUGCGGUUCACCACCUCUGUUUGCCCAUCAGUUUGUGGAUGACAAGUGGUAGAAAAUAAUAAUUUUGUACCCAACUUGUUCCACAAAGUACGCCAAAAGUGACUCAAAAAUUUUGCAUCGUGAUCUGAAACAAUAGUAGAAGGCAUACCAUGCAAACGUACAAUCUCUUUGAAAAAGAGGUCAGCAAUAUGAACAGCAUCAUCACUUUUAUGACACAGUAUAAAAUGUGCCAUCUUUGAAAAACGAUCCACAACAACAAAAAUGCUAUCCCUCCCCCUCUUAGUCCUAGGUAAUCCCAACACAAAGUCCAUAGAAAUAUCCACCCAAGGAAUAGAAGGAACAGGUAGCGGCAUGUAUAAACCAUGUGGAUUCAAACGAGACUUAGCUUUUUGACAUGUUGUGCAGCGAGCAACGAACCUCUCAACGUCUCUCCUCAUUUGUGGCCAAAAGAAAUGUGAGGCCAAAGCGUCCACCAUCUUCUUGGCACCAAAAUGCCCCAUCAAUCCUCCUCCAUGCGCUUCCUGCAUCAACAAAAGACGAACGGAACCAACUGGAAUGCAUAGGCGGUUAGCUCUAAACACAAAGCCAUCAUUGAUCACAAACUUAUUCCAUGUACGUCCCUCUUUACAAUUGAGCAACACAUCCUUAAAGUCAGGGUCAAGCGCAUAUUGUUCCUUAAUUGAUUCAAGUCUAAAAAUACGACAAUCAAGUUGGGACAGCAAAGUAUAUCUUCUAGACAAAGCAUCGGCAAUCACAUUAUCCUUCCCUUCCUUAUGUUUGAUGAUAUAAGGAAAAGAUUCAAUAAAUUCAACCCAUUUAGCAUGUCUACGGUUCAAAUUGUUUUGAGAGCGAAGAUACUUAAGCGAUUCAUGAUCAGAAUGAAUAACAAAUUCCUUAGGCCACAAAUAAUGAUGCCACGUUUGUAAGGAACGUAUAAGAGCGUACAAUUCCUUAUCAUACGUAGAGUAAUUCAGAACAGGACCAUGCAAUUUCUCGCUAAAGUAUGCAACGGGUUUACCAUCUUGCAUCGAAACACCACCAAUGCCAACUCCACUAGCAUCACAUUCAAGCUCAAAGGUCUUACCAAGGUUUGGAAGUUGCAGCAAUGGCGCACGCGUAAGCUUGGCCUUCAAAGUGGCAAAGGACUCAUCUUGUGCUUUUCCCCAACGAAACACCACACCUUUCUUCGUCAACUCGUGCAAUAGCGCAGCAAUGGUGCUGAAAUCUUUGACGAAGCGGCGAUAGAAACCUGCAAGACCAAGAAAACUCCUCACCUGUGUGAUGCUUUGGGGCAGCGGCCAGCUCUCAAUGGCUUCAAUUUCCGUUCCAUCCACCUCAAUUCCCUGUGGAGUAACAACAUAUCCAAGGAACGAAACUCUAUCGGUGCAAAAGAUGCACGUUUGUUUGCUAAGCACUUCUCAAGGUUAGCAAACAAACGUGCAUCUCUCAAAGCCUCAAAAACAGCACACAAAUGCUCCCUAUGUUCAUCCAAAGAUUUGUUGUAAAUUAAUAUAUCAUCAAAGUAAACCACCACAAAUCGACCAAUAAAAGCCCUCAAAACCUCAUUCAUCAAACGCAUGAAAGUACUCGAUGCAUUAGUUAAACCAAAAGGCAUGACUAACCACUCAUACAACCCGAAUUUGGUCUUAAAAGCUGUUUUCCAUUCAUCUCCAAGUUUCAUUCUUAUUUGGUGGUAACCACUAUGCAAGUCAAUCUUUGUGAAAAUUAUAGAACCACACAACUCAUCAAGCAUGUCGUCUAACCUAGGAGUAGGAUGUCGAUAUCGAAUGGUAAUAUUAUUGAUGGCUCUACAAUCAACACACAUACGCCAAGUACCAUUUUUCUUUGGAACCAAAAGCACNNNNNNNNNNNNNNNNNNNNNNNNNNNNNNNNNNNNNNNNNNNNNNNNNNNNNNNNNNNNNNNNNNNNNNNNNNNNNNNNNNNNNNNNNNNNNNNNNNNNGCACUUUGUGCAGGAACCUGCAAAGAAUUUUUACCUGAACCCGAAGGUUUGGCAUUGUAGAAACUCCAGAGUCUGCUGGUCGCGUGCUCACCGGUAGGGGCGUGCGAAAAGAGGAGGACUUAGUCAGCCCCAAAGAUGGCGUCGUACACUGGUAUGAGUUACCAACCUUACUCUUGCCCUGCAACUCACGCCCCUGUAAUUCCUUUUCUGCAAACAUAGCCAACUGAAACAACUGGUUGACAGAGUUGAAAUCCUUAUAAUCAACUAUGUCCUGAAUUUCGCGCCACAAACCGGAAUAAAAACGGCAAAUAGCAUCCUCAUUGUCCUCAACUAUGCCACAAUGCAUCAAACCCUUCUGAAGCUCACCAAAAUAUUCAUGCACAGAUUUAUCUCCCUGAUCUAAGCGCAUCAAAUUCUUACGCAGUUCUCUAUGGUAAGAAGGUGGAACAAAUCUAUCACGCAUAGCAACCUUAAGUUGUUCCCAAGUAGUAGGUGCAACACCCGCAGCAACUAAUCCAGUCCACCAAAUGAUAGCAAAAUCUUUAAACUCACUAGUGGCUUGUCGAACUCUAUGUUGCUCAGGCACAAGGUGGGCACUAAAUUUUUGUUCAAUUGUCAUCUCCCAAUCAAGAUAUCCCUCAGCAUCAUAAUGUCCAGAGAAUGAAGGUAUAGUAAAUUUAAUCUUAGCAUAAGGAUCAUCGGGAGCACGAUUAGCACCUGCGUUCACACGAACACGUCGUCGUAUACGUACCUCUCGUGUAGCUACUUGGUCUAUGUUACCAUGGGCAUCAUACACCACAUCUUCAUCGGCUAGUGGUGGUGGUGGUGGUGGUGGUGGUGGACGGGCUUCCAACACAGCAACCCUGUCAGCUAUUGUGGUUAUCCGUCCAUUCACCUCCCUAAAAAUGUCAGCAAGCCUGAGUCCAUUGAUGGAGUCGGUGACGGCCUUGGCGACCACCUCUGUUAUCCUGGUCUGUGUGGCAUCCAUAAAAGCUUGCAACUAUCCUUGGCUGACACACUCGUUGAAGUCCUUGGGAGUGCCUCCAUCGUUAUCUGCAGCCAUUGUAGAUAGAAAACAGGAAUAAACGGUGAAGGUUAACCCUAAUAAUCUCCUACGCAGGUGUGGUGGUGUCUCUCAAAUCAAACAACACAGCAAAAGGAAACACAUUACCAAGCUCUUACAAGGUUCUUACCAUCAAGGCAAAGGAUACCUGGAAGGCGUAGACCGCGAUUGCAAGGGUCAAGAACCUGUGCUGCGCAGAAGUAAUAUGUGGAGCUAUAGGAAGGCCAAAGAUAUGUGAGUGGAACACAAUUCACUAGCAGAUAGCAAUGCUAAACAAAUGUCCAAAGCUACUUGUCCCUAGUUGCUAGCCUACCCGUGUCCUUAGAACAGUAGUGUCAACAAAUGAGGAACAAGGAUGGAUAUGAAGAGCAACAAUGAUACAAGAUCAGCAAGUAUCCAGCUGCACAAUAUCAGCAAACAAGUGGUUCCUCUCUACGUCCCUCCUGUUGUUUUGUCUUUUAGAACUAGUAGAAAUCAAAUUGUUUUUCUUUUUUCUUUUCUUUUUUUGAUACUUUUUCCUCAGCCAGGAGCACAAAAAUAGGAACACCACAAAGUAUCAGCUCAAUCCGAUGUAAGGUGUGAUCGGUAGAAAAUCACGAGCGUUUCACAAAACCGAUGCUGGAACUUGGGAACUCGAAUCGAUCCCCUUCUGAAUUUUUUUUGAAUUUUUUAAUUUCGGCAUGACUGGCAAAGCUGUGAAUCGUAUGUGCAAAAAUUCGAUAGCUUUCUGGGAAAAAAAAGAACGCCUCAAUCGGAGUUCCGAGCGAAAAGUUAUGCCUGUUUUAGGGAGGACCCUCCGAUGUAGGGUUUUGUGGCGGUCGAGAUGGAAUCGGGUGGGGAGAAAAAGAUGGGAUGAUGGCAGUGGAGUAUGGAUCACACAACCGAACUAAAACACGAUCUAAACCAGCAACAAUGACAUGAACGAGGACACAAACUCAACACUACGGACUCUGAAAAGAAUUAUGCAAAAGGCUACACACGGUGUUGGACUGGGAAAUGUUUUUGGCUUUUCUGUGGACUCUAGGAUGAAUGCGAAAAUAAAUCUAACUAGGGUAAGGGUGAACCUGACGGUAUACCUGAAGCUCUGAUACCUCUUGAUGUGGACUAGGGUCUCGAUCUUCCGAAAGGUUCAGUUAAUCGACGAUUUUGGCGGAGUCGCUACACAAAUCGAUCCGGCUUCCGAACAACACAUUCCGAACCCCGCAAUCGCAGCACAACGUCUUCUCAGGUUAUCGACCGGUGAUGCACGGUCGACCUCGCCAAGAAGGCUAAUCCUUGCCUGUGAAUCGAAGAACACAAGCAAGAAUAAGGAAGAAUGCAAACCAAAUUUGCGGAUGAAUGAUUAAGCUCACGAGUUGGGGUUUUACAAACCAAUGACGGCAAAACUGUUCUUGACAGAUUAAUCUAAGCAAAACCCAAAACCUAACAAAGGUGACGGCUACUGUUAUAUAGGGGUUAGGGUCGUGGUCGACCCGCUGGACGCGCCCCUAAUGGGCCCAACGACGAUACACGGCCCAAAGGCCAAAAUAAGGCGACGCAGCGCCGGGACAGAUUCUGGACGCCAUCUUGUUUCGACGAUUUCCGUUGACUCAGGACGAAUUUAGGUAUGGGACCAGUACCAUUGGAAAAGAGAUCUUCUAAACUUUCCAACCAUAUAUAGAACAUCCAAAACGGAGUCUGUAUGCAGCCUGGGCGUCCAAAUCAUUGUGGGCUGCUCCUGGACACCGAGGUGGACUCGAAGUCGACUUGGCUUGGGCCUCCAACUCGAGUUGUAUGUCCUUGCUGGUCCUCCACGCCUCCCAGCCUCUCUCCACGCAUCUCCUGGUCGUCUCCUUUAUUCCUAAUCCAAAUAUAAUCAUUGGAUAGCAAUCUAUUCUUAAAAUCAUAAAAUGAAUUGCUUAGGAACGAUCUCACCUCUAAAUGCAAUUGUCGUGCGCGAGCUCUAGUGAUUGGACCUUGAAUGUCUAGUGGAGUAUCAUGUGCAUCCGAAGAAGUGAUGUCCUCAUCACCUGUUGCUUCGAGUGACAAUGUAAGGCCCUUCCCAAGUUUCUUGUAAUGGCUAGGUUGGUGGUAUGAGUUGUCUGGCAGCGAGGUUGUUUUUUGCUGGUUAGUUGUCUUUUAACAAGCCUCGCAAGUUCUUACUAAGCUUCGGGCAUCUAGGAUUGUUGUUGGCCAGAAAAAACCCUGUCUCACGGCUAUAUCUACUAGGGCUCUAGUUUUGAUGUGAGAACUACAAAACCCAUUGUGGACUUCUGCUAACAAUUCCUUCCCACUCUCCGAAGUUAUACAGUGUAGCCAAGGAGCUGAGAUAUUUGUACAGCUCACCGUCGACCAUGGCGUAGCCCCUAGCCCUUUGCUUCAUUCUAUUUAGUUCAGCCUCAUUGUAAGUCUUGUAGUGUCCUCUGAGGUAGGACAUGGUUGGAGCCCUCCAAUUGAAUCUAGUGAUUGCAUUUACGACUCUCGGAGCUAGCUCUCUAGUUUAUGGGGAGUGUUUGACCUCAUAGAAUAGAUCAGGUGGCAUGGUUUGAUUUCCGUAGCUGCUUUUACCAAUUUGUCUGCAUCAUCAUUUUCUACCCUUGGGAUGUGCUGAACGGUGAACCUUUUGAAAUAUUUUUCCAUGGCUCUUACUGCGGCUAGGUACUUCAUAAACUCUAGCUCUCUGGCCUCGCUUUCUUUUUCUAUGUGCUCUUGAAUCACUUAGGAAUCUUAUUUUACUAUAAAUACUUGCUGACCCAAUGCCCUCAUUUUCCUUAGCCCCAGACGCAGUGCUUCAUAUUCUGUUGUGUUGUUAGUGGACCUUGCCUUGCCCUUGAAAUCAAGUCUUGCGGCAUAUCUGAUUUUACACCCAAGGGUGACGUGAUAAUUAGUGACACUCCUACCCCCUUGUCACACCAAGCCCCGUCGCAAUGUAUGACCAAUGGAACCUCAAUCUCAUCAGUUUCAAUGUUGCAUGGUGAUGUCCAGUUGACUAUGAAAUCAUCUAGGACUUGUGAUUUGAUUGCACUUCUUCUCUCAAAGUCCACUAGGUUUUCGGAAAAUUCUGAUGCCAAUUUUAUGAUUCUCCCCGAGGCUUCUCUGGUUGUGAGAAGAUCAUGAAGUGGCUGGUUGGUGAUCACCACUAUCCUGUGACCCUCAAAGUAAUGACUUAGCUUGCGCACUUCCAUAAUUACAGCAUAAGUGAUUUUUUCUAGCUCGGAGUAGAACAGUUUUGACCCCGAUAAUGCUUCUAAGGCGAAGUAUACUGAAGUUUGUCUUGGUUUGCCCUUGAUUUUCUUUUCUUGCACUAAGGCAGCACUGACUACAGAGCUCGAGGCUGACAAGUAUAGCAACAAGGGAGAUUUUGGUUCAAGUGGGAAUAGUUUAAUCAGGCUUGUCAGAUAAUCUCUUAGUUCUGCAAAAGCUUUGCUUUGCUGCUCUCCCCAUUCAAACUUUUGGGAGUUUCGUAGUACUUGGAAGAAAGGUAGACUUCUUUCGGCUGCUGUCUAGAUGAAUCUGUUAAGGGCUGUUAUUCUCCUGUCAGCUUUUGCACAUCUUUCACUAAAACAGACUCUUUCAUGUUGACCAGAGCUUGGAUUUUGUCUGGAUUAGUCUCGAUGCCCUUGGUUGAGACCAAGCAUCCUAGCACCUUGCCUUGUUGAAUUCUGAAUACGCAUUUUUCUCCAUUCAGCUUCAGGUUUGUUGUCCUCAGGUUGGUGAAAGUUUUUGCGAGGUCAUGAAUGUGAUCUUUUCGUUUGACACUUUUCACCACAAUAUCAUCCACAUAGGCUAGGAUGUUCCUUCGAAGCUGUGUGCUUAGGACUAUUGCUAUCAUUAUUGAGAAAGUUGACCUCGCAUUCUUUAGCCCCUCGGGCAUUCUGAUGAAACAGUAGGUCCCGAAUGGAAUGAUGAAACCAGUCUUCUCCUCAUCUUCUUUUUUCAUUUGUACUUGAUGCUAACCUAAAAAUAUAUCUAGUAGUGACAAAAUUUCGCUAUUUGCAGCGUCAUCUACCACAUUGUCAACCCUUUCUAAUGGAAAGUCAUCUUUUGGGCAUGCCUUGUUGAGGUCGGUGAAAUCUAUGCACAUUCUCCAUUUGCCAUUUUUCUUCUUGACCGGAACCGUGUUUCCCAACCAUUCAGGAUACAUAAUUGCGCGUAUUAUGUUGGCAUCGGCUAGCCUUUGGUCUCACACCUUUGCUUAUUUCUAACUUGUGCUCUAUUAUAUCUCUGUCUCACAUGUAGACCAUGUGAAGUCAUCCUUGCUCUUGUUGAGGAACUCGAUCAGUUGCUUUUCUUCAUCGGGCUUGAGUUCAGCAUUGAUGAUUACAGCUCUAUCGAGGACAUGUUCGUCUAGCAGUACUCUUUUUGUUUUGCCAUCUACACUCAUUUUUACUUUUUCUUUAUCUCUUUUUGACUUGACAUAUGGUUUUUUCAUCUCCGAGGGUUCAACCUCGCUUGAACUUGCUAAGUGGUGUACAUUUUUCAAACCCGAGUUUGCACCUUUUUCAACAUCCGUGGCUAUUUGUUGGUCACCAUAUAUUGUGAUAACUCCUUUCAGAGCUGGGAUCUUCAUACAUAAGAACAACUGCCUUAUGCAACAUCGAACUUGUUGAUGAAUCCCCUUCCAAAGAUAGCAAAUUAUGGAUAGUACAUUUCCACAAUGUUGAACAUUAUGUAUUCCAUUCUGGCAUUGUCUAGGUUUCCAAAUGAUACUGGUAAUGUAAUUUUCCCCAAGGCUCGCUUUGGCUUUCCACCAAAACCAAGUAAUGGUCUUUCUGCUAGCUAUAGUGCUUUCCCAAUUGUCCAUCCUACAACAAUAGCCUUGAUUACCAUCGGAUCAUUAUGCGAGGAUUUUUUGAGUUUGAAGUCUUCUUUAGUAAAGGAGAUUGGCAUGUGUGCCAAUUCUAGCUUGGCUGGUGGCCCAUCACGGAUGAUCGAAUGGAUUUGUCUGAAGUAAUUUUGCCUUUGCUUCUGUUUCUCAAAUUCUAGCGAAGAUCCACUUGCUAUUGGCAUGGUCAUGCCAUAGGUGGGCAAAAUGUUGGACUUGGUGUUUUGGGCAUUUUCAAACUCUUGUGAGGAGCCCCCUGAUAUUGGCAUGAUCAUGUCGUAGGUGGGUAGGGCUUUGGGAUCACUGUUUUGGACAAUCUUUGGUUCAACCUUAGGUAUUUGAUUUGGUAGGUUUGGCAGAGGUAGUGGUAUUUCUUGCAGAGGCUGAGGUGGUGGGAAUCUUGCAGGUUGCAUAGCUAGCUUACUUUGAGAUUGAAACUACGGCAAUGGUUGCCACAUCAUGGUGGGUUGGUAAUUGAAAGAAGGGUUCGUAAAUGAACUUGGGAGGGUAGAUGUAUGAAUGGUGUUGGGGUUUAUUUGUGAGUAAACUUGGCAGUAUGGCUGUUGUGGCCAGAAAGAAGUGUGAGGAAUGGUUUUUGGCGCUGCUGUUGUAGCUGCGGCUUCUCUUUUUUUCCUCUGCUAUCCUUUCGAAGGUCUUUUUUUGUUUCUGGAUAGAAAUCGAUUGCGUGGUCUAGUUAUUUGCCGUGAAAUGUGCAAUAGGACAUUCAAGGCUGGUUGUUUUGAUUGUGUGGCCUAGGAGGUCCUCUGCCUCGGCCCCUUCCUCUGCCUAAGUGGCCUCCUCUCUACCCAUUGCCAUGAUUUGUCUGUUGUUGUGGUGGUUGCCCAUUCUGAUUUUGGCUUUGUUGUUGUGAGGGUUGAGCACCCUCGAUCGGUAGCACAUGUUGAGCUGUAUAUGGCUGUUGAUGUUGUGUGAAAUUGUAUUUUAGGGCUAGCCAGUUUUGAUCUUUCUAGGUUGGCCUUUGGCGAUUCCUCUCCAUUACUCUUUCCCUAUGGUCCUCAUCUGACCUGCAAUAUUUUCCAACUCGACGAACGAGCUUCCAUGGUUUUGGAUUUUUCUCUUGUUAGGUGUGAGGCUGUCGGGGAUAGUGUUAGCCCUUUUAUGCAAGCUGAUAUGGCUACGCUUUCAUGCACAUCUAAGGUUUAUGACUUCAAUUGUACAAAUCUUUUGACAUAAUUGGCUAGAGGUGCUGGAUGCAAUGGAACAAGUCUCCCGAGUCUAUUGUUGCACGAUGGAAACCUUGGAAGUCUUGUAACAACUUUGUUUUGAGAUCGAUCCUGCUAUAUACUAACUGCAGUGGGAGUAAUGAGUACCAGUUCAGCGCGGCACCCUCACAGGCUAUGAUUAGGGACUUGGCUAAGACUACGUCAUCUCCUCUAGCUAAUGCUACUGCGGCCUCAUAGCUCAUGAGGAUUUGACGAGGGUCAUUUUGCCCAUUGAACUUUGGCAGUGAGACUAUCUUGUAGUUUGGAGGCCAUAGAGCUGUUUGUAGGCCUAUAGAUAAUGGAGAGCUUUGGUCAAUUGCUAUGUAGGGACCUAUCAUCACUAGCAUGUUGUGUCCAGCGAGGUUUGGAUCCAUUUGCAGAAUGUUUUCUGUGUUCAUGACAUGUUACUAUCUCGAAGGUGGUGGUUGUUGUUGUGGUUGCGUGUUUCAUUAAUAUUGCAACUCAUCCAACUCUUCUUGCAAUUCUGCCAGCUGUUGUUUUGCUUGAUUUAGUUUUGAUAUUUUUUGGGCUGCUAGAUGUUGGGCUUCUAGUUCAUGAGCAAACUUCUGUUUUUCUUGUUUUAGAGCUUCGAGUUGCCUUAGCACCAAGGCCAACUCCUUUUCUGUUGCACCGACUUGAUCGUUUCUUAUGCUUGACUAGGGUUAUGCUAGAUUUGCUACUUCUGCCUUGGCUCUUUUUUUCACUUCUUGUUCUUAAGUUAGCCUCGACUCUCUUUAACUUCUCUAUAGUAUCUAUGUUAUUCUGAUCAACAAGGACAAGUAUUCUCUCUUGAGCCACAUGAUUCUCUCUUUCACCCUCGGCGGCUCCCUGUGGUGUGGUCUUCUUUUUCUUCGUUUGUCGCAUCGUGGGUUGUUUUACGGCUAAAACCACGGUGGGUGCCCUAUUGGUCUCAAACGAAUUUGAUACCGAACAGAUUUAGGAUUACAAAGAGAACAAUGUACACUUCUCAAUUGGAAAAACCGAUCUCCCUUUAUAAUGGGGUAGGGCUCCCCUUUUAUUGUGACUCAUGGCCUACUUUGUAUUCCGUAAGUACCCUCGUUCAACCACUAUAUUCUUAGGAUAUGCCGUACAUAAAGGUCAUUGGGGAACAUGUGUACAAAUUGAACUUCUCCACAUGUUCACAUUUAUCAUGUCUUCCGCCUGUUAACCUCGAGACUUCAAUUGCAUCCUGAGACAGUCAUCUAGCCUUCAAGCUUCAUUCGCAUCCCGAGCUGGGCCCGUAGCCUCGAGGCUUCAGCUUCUCAAAGUCAUGAUGAAAGGUCUUAACCUUGAGCAAUUCCUCCUCGAGCAUCAUUCCUGAGUAAAGAGUAAAAAGAUGAAAGCUCGGUGUCCAGAACCAACUCCAAACACUCGAGGGUUAAUCCAAUGGAAGUUAGUCAUUAUUGUUGUCGAUCGCUACACUCGAGACCUUCCAGGGGUAGAGGCAACGCGAGGAUACAAGAUUUACUUUGAGGUGCCUCGCACAGAACAUGCAAGGUCAAAGGGGCUCCGCUUUCCUUGCUACCGAUGCGCAACUUGCGAGGUUAGGCUUGGAAUCUCCUACCGACAUUCGAGGGUUGCUGAGUUUUUAAGGAUCUCCAACACUCGGCCUUCUUCUUUAUACUAUAUAUCCCUACCCAUCCUCCUUUAUAAUAUCCCUGCAUGCAGCCUGCAUAGGGAGACUCUCCUUUAUACUAUCCCUGCCCAUCCAUAUAUUCUUAUUGUACCUUCUCUCUCCUUGUCACACCCGGUUUUUAAAACAAAAUCAAGUAUUAACUAUAUGUAUGCCAGGAUCAAGUUUCAUACAUAUAGUGACGCCAUAAGUGAAUAACAGGAACAGUAUCACGUAAAAAGAUACAAAAAGACUUACAAGACUAUCAGAGACACACCUUAAACCUUGGAAACGAAGGCUCCAAACAUCACAGGCACUCGACUGGGGGUUGCGUACGCCUAGAACUCAGCAGCAUCUUUAGAACUUCACACCUUCUUCUUCUGAGCAGCAGUUAGCAAGGGUGAGUACACUUAUGGUUGGUACUCAGCAAGGCCAUAGGAACUAACCGGAAUUAACGAUUUAAGUCCAUCUUCAAGUUUAAUUAAUCAUGUGAUGGUCCAAGCCGCUCUUAACCGUGAGCACAGCUGAUAUAUCAGUUUACACUCUGCAAAGGUUGUACACUUUACCCACAACUCAUGGUCCCCCAUGUCGCCCGGGUUUGCAAAGCCCUUAAACACUUCCCUUGGUGAGUGGCUGGGGGUUCCACUACGAAGCUUUUACAAAGACAUAUAGACAACUAGUAGCCCGCUAGAGUUUCAGUAGCGAUGUGGGUCACAACCCAUUGUAAUGAGUCAGCACCUUAGAAGGCUACAGCUCCGGGUCAUACCCCCAACACCUUCCCCCUCCUUGCCCUUUUGGUAAGGCCACUAGUCAACCAUAUGCCUAAUUAGUCGGCUAAGAUCAGAGCCAUGUGAUGUUGUGGUUGUACUGUUUUCUUAGGUGGUUCUCCAUGUUCCAAUUAACAUUCUCAUGGUAUUGUGAAUAAAGCAUAGGUAGAAGGAUGGUUAGGGACACUUGCCUUUCUCCAACGUCAAGUUACACUUAUUGCUCUUCAGUUAUUGCUAUCUUGAAACUCUUUAUCUUCAAAGUUUCGAACGAUGAUCCUUCUAAUCGAAGCAAACAUCGGCAACAAACAAUAAGAGCAACUAAGAACAAUACACCAAAACAAAAGAAAGACUUAAAACAGCGUACUAAAGGACAAGGCUCGAUCUAAGGAUCACGCAAACGCUUAAAAUGAACUAUCGAGAGAUUUGAUGUAUAAAAGAAAAGACAAGAGCUACUUGCUUCAUUUAUUUUAGUUGAGAAAACAAUUUAAAGAUAUUUCGGAGAAAUACCUUUAGUUGGAAUUAAUCAAGUCAUAUUUAUAUUUAUCUAAGAAAGACGAUGUAGUGCCUAGUCAAACUUUAUUUAUAAAUAUUUAUGUACAAAUUAUGCAAAUUAAAUAUUUAAUUUUAUAAGAAACAUGUAAAAGCAUCUAAGCGUAUAACUUUAUAUUUCGAGUUCAACUAAGCAUAUUAUAUUAAAAACACAUUUAUAUUUAUAUUAGCCAAAUUAACAUUUAUUUAUGAAAGUUCGGGUUAUAACCUAUAUAGCUUUUAUUUAGAAGACAAAUUGAAUAAUUAUUAAUCAAAUUAAAUUUAAUUUAAGAAAAGUUGAGGUUUAACUCUAAAUAGCUUUUAAUUGUAAGAAUUAUUCAAAUAAGUGUUAAUCAAAUUAUCUUCGGUUUAUGAUAAACCGGUGUAUAUCCUAAUUGGCUUUUAUUUUGGAAAGGUUAUGAAAUAAGCAUUAAUCAAAUUAAUGUUUAUUAUGAAAAACAGUGGAUAACGCUUGGUAACUUUUAUUUAGAGAAACACAUGUUCAUUAGGUAUUAAUAAAAUUAAUAUUAAAUUUAUUUUCAAAUACAUGAAAUGUAGGAUGACAUCAAUACUAACGUGUACUUCAUGUGUGUACUUCAUGUUGUUAUGAACCUAACGCAACUUGAACGGAUUAAAACGGAACUAAAACGCAAAAACUACGGACUAAACAAGAUCUAGUGACCUAAACGCAAUUAACCGUAGAUCUCAGGGGUUAGCAGAGAAGAUUACCAAGACACAGGAAACAAGGCCCACGAAAAGAUGAAAACCAAGGGUUAGAUCUGCAAAAGAGUAAGGGUUGAAUUAGAUUGAAGGAAUCUCAAUGAUUCAGGGUGUUUUCUGUGAAAGGUACAAGACACAAGAACAGGUACUGGGAUUAAAAGAUUCUUCAGGGGUUUCAAUGCAAAGUCACCUUAUCUCUUCUGCUGUCUCUCAUCUUUCUCUGGUUUCUUCCGUCCGUUCACAAUGGUGACCGGGAGGGUGCUUCCGGCCGGCGGCGACCAGGCGGGCAGCGACGGCGGCCGGGCCAGGGAGGCAGGGCGCGCGCGGCUGAUGCGGUUGAGGCGCACCGGGCCAGGGAAGCGGCGCGAGGCAACGGUUGGCGGAGAUGCGGCGGCGGUUGGACGGCGUGGUGCANNNNNNNNNNNNNNNNNNNNNNNNNNNNNNNNNNNNNNNNNNNNNNNNNNNNNNNNNNNNNNNNNNNNNNNNNNNNNNNNNNNNNNNNNNNNNNNNNNNNUCAGGUUGGGCUGGUGGAAAGGAGAGAUCCUGGGCGGGUUCGUGGGCUCGGCCCGUUUAGAAAGAUUUUGAUUAAAUAAUUUCAGUGCAAAAACAAAUCUAGAAACUCCAGAUGAUGUUUUUAGAGCACGAACAAUAUUUAGAAAAUUCCAAAAAUUCUGGGAAAAAUCCAUAGAUUGGGACAUAAGGAAUCCAAAUAAAAUAUUUGGAGCUUAUGAAAAGAAUUUGAGAACCAUCCGGAAAAUUGGAUUUAGCUCAAGGAUUAGAAAAAUUGGAAAAUUCUUAGAAGGGUCUAAUCAACGUCUAAACGCAUUCUAAAACUUUUUCACUCAUGAAACACCAAAUGCAUCGGCAUGAAUGCAUAGACAGAGAACACAUUAUUUAAUUUAAAAAAUAAAUAAUUAUUUUUCCUAUACUAAAUUUCUUGUAAAUAAAAUAAAUGUUGGAAAAAUUUAAAAAUUAUGAGAAAAUUAUUUUUUAAUUAUUUAUUUUAGUCACAUCCUGAAAUUUUUGAAUUUCCGGAUGUGACACUCCCCACAGCCUUCGACGCUAGGUCCCUCCUUGGUGGCGUUUGGCCUGUGUGUGCAAUGUGCGUGGGCCCACAAUGCUGGAGGACAUUGCGGCCCAGCUUUUUUUUAUUUUUUAAUCAGUUUUCAGUGCAGGGUGACGAGGUAUCCCGCCUCUGCAACCGUCAGCUUGUUCGGCUGGCUGCUGCUGCUCGGCUCUCUGCCGCAGUAGCUGCAGCACACAGCAGCUCUCUGCCGCAGCAACCAGCCAGCCGAACGAGCUGUGUAUUUAUUAGGCUGGACUGAGUCCUGCCCUACAGAUGCCUCAUAAAUGCAAUUUUACCUGGUGGUAAAAACGUUUUUUUUUUAUGUAGUGGUGGCGCUCUCGAGUCUCCACAAAUGCAAUGAACAUGCUGCGCCUCCCCUCGAUCCGACAGAUAUAUUAGUGUUGUUACAAAUCCUAUUUUUGUGACCAAAAGUUGCAAACGGUCAAGCACAUUUUAGUUAUUUUAUUUUACUUUCUUAGUGUCAUUUUUUUGUUGUUAGGCAUCUGAGUGGCACAUCGUAAGCUUGUCCUGGUUGCUCAGCUCAUAAGCAAUAAUUGAUGCCUGACAGUGACUGUCGUUGUUUGACCUGUCUCCACUGCUCGCUUGUGAAUUAUUGGGCCAUGUCCAAUGGCAGUCUUGCAGCUGAUUAGGUGAGGCAGCAAUCUUUUUGAGGGCCUAUAUGUUUAUGGACCAUUCUAAUUAAGUGUCCUUUUGUGGUCAGCCAUCUGAGCCACUGCUGCACAUAAUAACCACGAGGGCAGGCCCAGUGGACGCUCAGGCGCGUGCGUUAUGUCCGACUAGCUAGCUAUGGACAAAGGUCAAGUGAAUAUAUUUAUUUAUUUUUAACAUUACAAAUAUUAGACAUUUCAUGUUUUUUUGGUACCAAAAAGUUUUCAAGCAAGGGCACACAGCUCACCUGGAAUCCUAACUUCACCCUUUGGGCCCUAAUUUCACUUUCCCUCUCAUAUCUCUCCCUUUUCAAUCUCUUUGUGUUAAUUUUUAUCUGAAAAACGUGAGAUUGAACUAACUGUACAUCUCAAGACGUGUGAAUUUAAGAUAGAAUAUUUCAAAAAAAAAUAUAAAAAUAGAUCUUCAAUUAUGUAUAAAAAUAUUAACAAUAUAGUUUCAACAACCAUUCAUAAAUUAAAUAUUAAUAACAUGAAAUCGAAAUGCAAGGUGUCGGGUCCCUGGUGUGCUAUCGCUGUGUGAGGCGGAGAGAGACUGAGAAAGGAUGGAGAAUAUAGAGGACGGAAUGCAUUGUGAAAGCGACAUGUGAUUUUUUGCCCAUAGCCCCUGCAUGCUACUCUCACUGUCCAAUGAAAGAGUGCAAUUUUUCCAGAUAGAGGUGGUGUGAAAAGACACUCACAACCACAUUUAUUGACCAACUCAUAACCACAUUUAUUAACCCCAUGCAGGAAGUUUUGGCAUGCAAAUCAAAUAUAGGUAGUUACAUCUAAUUCUUAGAAUUGCACUCUUUUAUGGGAUUCUUUUCAAACGCUAGAACGACACAUAUGAUGGAGUAUAUACGUGCGCCUCAUGCCGUCACGUGGUGUGUGCUGACUAGACUAGGUGCCGGGGCCGUUUUGGGCAAGGUUUUAAGAUUGAUAAAGUCGAAAUAGAUGCUUCACCAUAGACGACGGUCACCUAGGUAAGAUACGUAUAUACGAAUGCACCACGUCAAUGCAAGACCAGUGAUGUACACGUUUUGAGCUAGCAACAAUGGCCUUUGUACACGUUUUGUCUGUGGCGGGAUGUAGGGCGCCCGUGUGUGAGCACACGCAAAUGCCUCCCCUUGGAUCCGACUAGUAGAUUUGUGUACUGACCACUGAUGGCAUAUCAUAGCUUGUCUGCUUGCCACAUCAUAGCGCGUGAACCACGAGGGCAGGACCAGUGACCUGGCCAGGUAAGGUGGGCGCUCAGACAUCGUGCAUUAAGUCUGAGGUGACGACUCUCUGCUUUAUUCCUAUUCGAGUGAAUUUUCAAAGAGAUCAUUUGAGUCCUUCAGCUUUUAAAGUGGUUCAUUUCACGUGUAAAUUCAGGUCCGUGGUUGGACCUCGAGUAAACAGUGGUUCAUUUCACUCUUUCUGUCAACAGUUAAACAUGCAUCCAUCGGUCAUGCUUUUGUUAAGUACCUGGAUUUAUUACAUAAUGUAGCAUUUCUCAUUUAACUAUUAACAUAAGGUUUCCAUACACUGCACAAGACCUUCAUUAACUCUUGAUUGCUUUUUGAAACGCCGAAUGCACGAUCGUUAUUAACAAUGAGAUAUUUGUUAGUUCCGGUGCUAACAAGUAGGCCUAACCAUGAUACAGGCCCAAGCAGGAGAUAAAAGGAAUAAGAAAAAUAGAAGAAAUGGGUAUUUCCUACUGGCAUAAAUUCAGAUAGAUGAUACAAAAGAUAUGUUAACCCUGAAUAAAUCCAGGAACAAUGAUAAGAAAUUAUGCUAAGCAACCAAAAGUUAUAUGCAGCAGCAUGAAUGUAACAUACAAAAAUAUAACAUAUGAUUCUUUGAAUUUAAUUUAGAAAACAAUUAUUUUACUACACUAAAUAUCUUGAUAAUACUAUAAUUUUUCUAGAAUUAAAUAAAAAUAGAAAAUAUUGCAUUAAUUUACCGUUAUCAUUCACAUUCCAAAAUAAUAAAUUUUGGGUUGUGACACUAACACAUCUGACGUUGCUGCAAAUUAUGAUAAUGAUGCACCAUGUCAUACAUUGCUUUGCAGAGAUACUUUCUUUUGACGUGGUCCUAUAUAUGUCUUGCCAUUUGCUUCGGCUGUCACCAACUUUGUUUAGGAAAGGAAUGAUGAUAUGGAGUUGAGAGGGCAACUGCAAUUCAAAAGAAAGGGAGAAUGAUGAGAACAUCAAGCUACGCAUGAUCCUGCAUCAGUGUAUACCGUUGGUGCUUGCCGUUAUUUUGCCAUUGUAAAAGUGAACCGUGGGCGCUUGUGUUACAAAGCCUAUUUGGCAGGGAGCAAAAGUUGCAAACAGUCAAGUACACGUCAUUUAUUUUCUUUUACAUUCUUAGUGUCUUUUUCUAUGGUGAGGCAUCUGAAUGGCUAUAGUGAAUGAGGCCCAUUAGAUCAUAAUUUAUGAUUUCGGUGAUUGAGUGACAACAUAGUCAAGGAACUAAUAGUUUGUAAAGCAUGUGUCAGUCCCAAGUGUGCAAAUCAAAUAAUGGCAAGGUCCAAAUCAUGUUAUUCAAGUAUCCAAGCUAUGGUAUUCAAGUGACCAAGCCAUGAGGAUACUUAGAUUGGUACUAACUUGAGAGUUUCAGAUUUUUCUAGAAAAUCCUCCGGAAUAUUUCGAAGUUUACAGAGUUUCGGGAGCAGUUUUGGAGGUCCAGAGUUUUUCAAAAAGUUUUUGGGAAGAAUCCGAAGGUUCUGGAAGUUUCCGGAAAAAGUUCCGAAAAAUUCCGGAACUUAACCCCCAAUGGCUAAUUUUGGGGUGAAGGGGUAUAAAUAUCCCCUCACCCCCUCCCAUAGUCUCUCUCUCGACCUAACAUUGCGCUGAGCCUCUAAAUAUCAUUCUAGUCCCCCUCUUUAAUCCCGUUGGUAUUCUUAGUGAGAUUUGGUGGGGAUUUAAUGAGGGAUUCAAGGGAGAGCAAAGGGAAAGUGCUAGUGAGCUGAUUUUCCAUCUCUUGAGCACCUUGUUUUUCGUCAAGCUGGUGGUUCCGCGUUUGUUACUCUUGGAGCUUCAAGCUCCUAGCUGGCUAGGCGUUGCCCAUGGAACAUCCAAGGAGUGUGGUUGCCUAUAGGAAGUUUGUAUUACCCCGACGAUUGAGUAAGUGACUCUAGCUUGAUCUUUGUGGUCGCUAGAGGGAGGAAAUUUGCUUAGGAGUGAAAAGUCCACCCGUCGUGGAUCCUCAACGGAGACCUAGGCUUCAAGGUGUGAAGCAGAACUUCGGAAAACAAAUCCUUCUAUCUUUUGUGCUUGUUGUUCUUAAAUUGAUUCAUAUUCAAGCAUAGACCAUAUUUCUAGGGUUUGUGCUUGAUUUACAGUUCUAGCAAGUUUCCAGCUGUUCUAUCUUGUGCCAAAGGCCUAGAAUAACCUACUACUUAACCUAUUUUUGACGAUUUACUUUUCAGCAAGUUUUUUCAAAAGAUUGUAGUUUAAAUCCUCUAAUCUCCGGCGAUCUGAAGAUUUCUCCGAAAGUUCCAAAAGUUUCAAAAUUUCCGGAACAAUCUUCGGAAGUCGCUAAUAAACUUGUUCAAAGUUGUAAAAAAUUUUAGGUUCGACUAUUCACCCCCCCUCUAGUCGACAUACUAGAUCCUUUCAAUUUGUAUCAGAGCUUUUGUUUCCGGAUUAAAGCUUAACCGCUUGGAGUAUCGAGAUGUCGACAUUGGGAAGUCAAGAGGUGCGUCAAGGAGGUGAUGUCUCAAAUCCAAAUAUCACUCAACAACCCGUGGUGCCACAAGGAGCACAAACAGGUGCUCAAGGAGGACGUGUCCGUGGAGCAAGCACAAGUGCAAGAAGGCAUCAAGAAAGCAAAGAUUCCUCCGAUGACGACUCCGAGUAUGAUGAUGCAAGAUCAACCCGCUCCGGACUUUCUGGUCCACGAAGGGAGUUUCACCAAAUCCCUUUCAAUUAUUGUCGCUUCAAUUUUAACACCUCAUCCGGGUCUAUCAACUUGGGAAAGCCUCCUCGCUUCGAGGGGAAAGAGAAGUCGUCUUUAAGUCGUACUAUCCCCCAGCUUGGGGAUCUACCAGAUAAAGAUGCUCAAACUAUAGCAGCAAUGCGCUUAGAACAACAAAUCCAUGUCAUUGGAUUUAUGAAAGAUACAGGUAUGUCUCUUGCUGAAGUUCUAGGGCAAGUUGAACCACCAGCUCCAGUGCCAGUUGUAGCUAGAUGGACCUUUGAGCUAGGCAAGCCUCUAGUAAGGCAUGAGUUGGUACGGAAACUAUCCAUGAAGAUGUAUGAUUUCCAUGAAUGGUACAUAAAGCAGUCUGCCAACGAGAGGCAAAUGUUCGGUCUUUGAGUUAAACCGAUAGAUUUUUUUAGCGAAGGUGACAAAGUCUUGUGGAUGGAAUUCAAGGAUAUAUAUGAAGUGUACCAUUAGGAUGCCCUUGACGUCUCUCUCAUCAGCGCCUGGCUUCUAUAAGUGUCUGUUUAUCUACAUGUAAAUUUUAGCUCAUAUCAUUAUUUUUUGUGCGUGUGUCGCCUACUAACUUCGUCUUCCAUUUUAUGUAGGAUGCUAAUCUAGAGCUGCCACAGAGAAUCGUACUUCAAUGUUGGCUUCAUGGAUCCAUCACUUGUUAACCAAAAGCAGAUACGGGAUUAGCUAGACAAAACAUUGGAGGCAGUAUACAAUUUCAUGGACAAACAACAUUACAAGAGUUACAUACUACUGCCAUACAACUUUGAGUAAGUGUGGGUACCGUAUAUUUUUAUUUUCUUUUUCCUUACCUAAUUAAUGUUAGUUACCUCUAAUAUGAAGAUUUAACUACAUAGUUUCCACUGGAUCCUCAUAAUAAUUGAGAUUGAUAGAAGCCACGUCAUUGUGUUCGAUUCGUUGAGGAAACCACCGAAGAAGUACCAGGACAUUCAAGGCAUGAUAAACUCGUAAUAAUUCUUGACCUUUAUCUCUAUGCAAAAGUUUGUUUCCUAAACUUUCAUGUAACACUGUAUCAUUCAUUAUUUUAAUUCGCAGCGUAUGGAAAUUAUUCCUUACGAAACACCAUGGUCCAUUCAGAGAAAAACUUUCAUUCAGAACAGACUUCUCGGUAGGUACGAAGUUUGCACAUUUUGUACAUUCUAUAACACGAAUAUUUCAUAACUUGUUUUUUCCCACUAAAGUGUUUAAGGCAGGAAUCCGGGAAUAAUCUAUGUGGAUAUUACGACUGUGAGCACCUGCACAAUUUUGUGGGACCCAAGGUGCUGACGUAGCAUGAUAUGAAAGUACGUAAAAUCAAACUAUUAAUAAUUAAUUAUUUUCUAGCUCCUUAUAUUUAAUUGUUCGUGUAACAUUCACAUAUUUCCAAUUACAGAUGUGGAAUAUUCAACAUAGCAUCUUGGAGAAGGAGAGAAUAGGGGCAAUAUGUGAAGGAUUCCUAGUGGACCGGGUGAUAAAUCCAGAGGGAGAAUUUCAUUACAAUGGACAUUUAGUAGACGCACCGAGCAACACCACGAAAGUGGAUCCUAGGAAUGAAGUGGACAAAUUUUUGUAUAUAUAGUAAUUGUAUAAAUACUAGUUUGAUUUGUAUAAUACGCUAAUAAUUGUAUAUACAUAUAUAUACACACACCACUGCAUGCACACAUGCAAACCAACCGGGACUAAAGGGGCCCGUGCUGCACCUAGCGUGGCCCCCCUUUAGUCCCCAUUGAGUGACCCGGGACUAAAACCCCCCCUCGUCUCGAAUAGUUUAUCCCGGAUGGAUUUUCGAGAGAGUUGAGGCCUACCAACCGGGACUAAUGCUCAGUUUUCUACCAGUGCAAGGUACAAAAGAAUAGCAGGCCCAAACAGAAAUUCAAAUCUCUAAAGCAAAAGAUAUGUUAACCCUGAAUAAAUUCUGGAACAAUCAUAAUAAGCAACCAAAAAAUUAUAUGGAGAAGCGUGAAUGCAACAAACAUAAUAUAACAUAUGAUUAUUUGAAUUUAAUUUAGGAAACAAUUAUUAUAAAAUACUGGAAGACUGAGCAUUGAUCCUAGCCCUUAAUACCGGUUGGUUUUUGACCCAAUACUUAUGUGAGCAUUAGUACCGAGUCUAACGGCUAGUUCCCCAGGAGCCCCCUAUGAUCCCCUUUAGAACCGGUUAGGGGCUCCAACCGGUACUACACCGGUACUAAAGGUCACCCAUUAGUACCGGGUGGCUCCACCCAGUACUAAUGUGUCUGAGGGUCUUUAGUACCGGGUGAAACCUCCAGGUGAUAUUUUUGUGAGAACUUUCAAGGCCGGCGCCCUCCUCACCCACCUUACCCGCAGCCUGCCCUCAGUCCCUCCUCCCCCGAGCCUUAUCUGCUCACUCCCUCCCCGUCCGCUCCCCUACCCCACCGCUCCUCCUCUACCUCCUUCCCCACCUCCGCUCCCCUCCGCCUCCCUUUCUCCUCCUGUGUCUCCCUCCCCAUCGGAGCUCCCUCUCGCCCCGACCCCCUCUCACUCUCCCUCUCCCGCUGGAACUCCCUCUCCCGCUGUCCCUCCCCUCCCUCUUUCACGCGUCCCUCACUCAUGGCAGUGACGAGCGGCGGCGGGGCGAAGAGUGGUGGCAGCGCACGGGGCUGCAGCGGCGCACAGGGCUCGUGUGGAUGUGGCGGUGGUGGGUGGAUGCGGUGGUGACAGUGAGCCCCCCUCACUCUCUCUCUGAUCUAGAGGCGGAUCCAGCCGGUGCGGUCGAGCUCUGGCGGGUCAUGCUACUGGGGCGUGUGGCGACACGAGGCCGGGGCACGCGGCAGGGGUGGCAGUGGUGGGGCCUGUCUCCAGCGAGGGGCCAAGUGUCCGGCAGGGGCGUGAGGCCCAAGGGUGGCAAAGGGGGCAAGGGCGGUGGCCGGUGGGAUGCAGCUCGCCCCACAGCGGCGGGGUGUGGCUCGAGCUCGGGCUGGGUGCGGCGGGUGCGGCUCGGGCGGGAUUUUUUUUUGAACUUUUUAAUACCCUUUAGUACCGAUCAUUUGAAGGCGUUUUCCCCAGCAGUGAUACUACACUAAAUAUCUUGAUAAUACUACAAUUUUGUAAAAUUAAAUAAAAUUAGAAAAGCAUCGCAUUAAUUUACCGUUAUCCAUUCACAUCCCAAAAUAAUAAAUUGUUGCUGCAAAUUAUGAUAUUAGUGCAUCAUACAUCUGGCACUUUUCGUCCUGCUGUCACUAGCCUUCUUUUUCAGUACGAUGGAGGACGACUGCAAUUUAUGGAACGAGUACGGUCCUGUUUAGUUGCCCGAUUUUGGACAACCAAAAUCACUAUGCUAGCACUGUAGCAUACUGUAGCAUUUCGUUUGUAUUUAUGAAUUAUUGUCCAAACAUUGACUAAUUAGGCUUAAAAAAUUCGUCUCGCAAAGUAUAACAAAACUGUGCAAUUUGUUUUUGAUUUCGUCUAUAUUUAGGUUCCGUUUGGAUACCUCGUGCUAAAGUUUAGCACAUGUCACAUCAGAUGUUUGGAUGCUAAUUAGGAGUAUUAAACAUAGGAUAAUUAAAAAACUAAUUGCACAGAUGGAGUCUAAUUCGCAAGACGAAUCUAUUAAGCCUAAUUAAAUUAGGCUUAAUAGAUUUAUCUCGCGAAUUAGCACAGGGAUUUGCAAUUAGUUUUAUGAUUAGCUCAUGUUUAGUCCUCCUAAUUAGCAUCCGAACAUCCGAUGUGAUACUGCUAAAGUUUAGCACCUAAUAUCCAAACGCCCUUUUAGUACUCCAUGUAUGUACCACAAGUUUGAUGUGAUGGGGAAUCUUCCUUUUGCAUAUUGUCAAAGUUGGAAUUUUGGGAACUAAGCAAGGCCUACAUCAGCACGCUGGAUACAGACUGAGCCUGCCUCAGUGCAUGCCGUCAGUGCUUGCCACUCUGCCAUUGUCCAAGUGCAACGUGGGCGCUUGUGAGUGUCCACAUGCAAUGCAAGAUGCUGCGUGCCUAUUUGGCAGUGAGCAAAAGUAGCAAACAGUCAAGUACACGUCAGUUCUUUUCUUUUACUGUGGUCAGGCAUCUGUGUGGCACAUGGUAAGCCUGUCCUGGUUGCUCAGCUCAUAAUUAAGCAAUUGAUGCUUGACAAUGACUGUCAUUGUGUGAGCUGUCAAUAACAGUGUUGCUCGAUUUGAGGGCUUAUACAUGCACCACGUGCAUUGCACGUCAAAAGAAAAAAAAAUAAAGGAUGCCUGCUGGUAUUAGAUGUGUGCAGCACUCAAAUAUUGAGCCUUGUACGUUUUGUCAGAGUCUCUGACAGGCGCCCGUGUCUUAGCACAUCCAAUGCCUGGCCGACACUUGUAGACGACUCUGCUUUUAUUCCUAUUUCUUUCAACAGUUAAACAUCCAUCGGUCAUGAUUUGUUAAGUACCUGGAGUUAAACAGUGGGCAUGGUAGGUGCUCACUGCUCAGCCAUCGCACGUGUUGAAGAACGUGUGUGGUCUUAGCUAGUCUCCUAGAGGCAAUAUUUUAAUCAGUCACCGGAAACUUUUAUUGCUCAGCUCAGCAAGCUCAUCUUGUUUGCCAACAAGUAGAGCAAGCGAGCACAGCGCGACGCACACAGCCAUGGCGAGCAUGGAGAGCCGAAGCCUCCCCAUGGCAGCAGCCACCUCCAUGUCGGUAGCUAUCGCCAUUGUCUUCCUGAUCAACACAGCCGCACCAGUGGGAGACGCGGCAUCCGUCGAGCACACGUUCAUUGUAAAUAUGCAUGAUGCUGUUUCGUUCCGUUUGAUCGACCUCUCUAGCGUCGAUCGUAUCUAUAACAACCAUUCAUGCGCCAUUAUCCACGCACUUAUGCUUGAUUUCCUUGAUCGUGUACACAUGUAGGUGAAUCAGACGAAGAUGACGCGCCUGUGCAAGGAGACACAGGUCACCGUGGUGAACGGGCAGCUCCCAGGGCCAACCAUUGAGAUCACAGAAGGAGACACGGUGACUGUUCAUGUCAUCAACAGGUCACCUUACAACAUGACAAUCCACUGGUAAGCUACGAUGGCAUACCAAUAAGUUCAUCCAUUUCAGAGGAUAAAGCUAUAUAUGGCACUGCUUAUAAGAAACAGCUAAGGUGGACCGUGCAUUUUGACGUCUAGAUUUUUUGUACGAUUGUCACCCGUUUUUCAAAAAUAUGGCUUCAAUUCUAGGAGUAUAUGUUAGACAAGAAAUCAAAAUAUUUGAUGAUAAUUACACGAUGAAAUUAUAAAAUAUAUGAAGUGCAUCAAGGAUAAAGCUGCGAAGGAUCACGUUUACUUCGUAGUAAGAUAUUUAAAAUUUAUGAGCACUUAUAAUUAUUCAGAUUGUAAAACGUUUUUUAAACAAAAUUGCAGCACUCCACACCUUUAUAGUUGACAACCUUUUGUGAUGUAUACGACAGAUAAAAUAGAGGAUAGUCUUGGAGGAGUGAGCAUUCGGGUUACUCGACAUGUUCGGGUUGGGUAAUUUGAGGUUUCAAAAGUUCGGAUUGCUCAAAUCCCUACUCAAGAUGUACCAUGGGAGAACAGUACCUGAAGUUUCACGCCUCGUUCGGCUGGCUGGCUGCUGCGGCAGAGAGCUGUUGCGUGCUGCAGCUGCUGCGGCAGAGAGCCGAGCAGCAGAAGCCCUGCAAAGCAGCCAGCCGAACGAGCUGUCAGUACCCAAAAUGUCGGGUUCGGGUGUCAAGAAAAUUUGAGAGAGGAACAAGAACAAGAACCCGAUGAACAAGAACAAAUCCAAGAGAAAGGAAAAUUUGAGAAGAAAAAUUAGGAGAACAGGUAACGAAACUUAGCAGCGUGUCAAAAAAAUUUAUUGUCGGUCCUCGCUUUGCAUCCACAUCAGGUUCCAAAAAGGAAAAGCAAUAACCAAUAGCACUCGCAUCUCGAUUCCCUCGAAUCCUCUAUAAGGUUCCAGCAUCUUCGAUUCCCUGGAGUAGGACGUAGCAUUAGCAGGGAUGUCAACUGCUAGUGAACCAGGAUCAGGGAGAUGGGACCUCGACGGCGCCGCGCUUUCCUCCACCAGCGCUGCGCCGGUCUCUUCCUGCCGCGCGCUCGCACACGCCGGCCGCCGGCACGGUCGUGCCAGGUUUGGAAUAUACUACUAGAAUAUGAGCAUUCUAGUUGAUUUUUGUACCGGAUGGUAUUUCGUCCGGUAAUAACGUUUGAAAUUGGUGCUGGAUACAAAUUUUUGAUCCUCGGAGAUAUUUUAGUACCAGACAAUAACACUAACCGGUACUAAAUGUGGUGUUAUUGCCCGGUAGUCUAGAUCAUUUAGUACUCGACAAUAACACCAGUACCUCGUGGAGUACCAUUUAGUACCGGUCAAUAACACCAACAGGUACUAAAUGUCUUGGUAUUAUUGACGGGAACUAAAAGCCUCUCCAUGAGUUACUUCAAAAUGACAGUAUUUCUAACUCAAUCACAUGUGCUACGUAGAUGAGAUGGUAAGGAAGGUUCACGUGAGUCUUGAGGUCGUGGGUUCGAAUCCCACAGACCGUGCACGCGCAUAUUACGCGAUACCGGUCAGGCGCCCGGUACUAGAGGGGGUUACUGAUCAGUACUAAAGGUCGGUUCUCCAGUAGUGAUAAGACUCUGUAGGGCAACUGGAUAAUUGUAAGCCGGACGGUGCAGGUUCCAUGGGAAAUAAUGAAGGUGGAUCUUGCAGCAAGAUUUCUUGCUCUGAUAGAUUUUUAACAUUCCGCUCUAAAAUCUGCUUACAACCUAACUCCUCACGUGGAACGGAGGUGCUAUAUUUUGAAUGAUAAGGAUUAUAAGAUGAUCCUCCUCACCUCUCCAAACUUACAAUGUGAUAAACCCACCACACUACAACCACAAUUAAACCACAUGAACCAACAACUACAGUACUAGAAGAUAUUGGGCUGGGGUAGAGUUUUUAUCUUUUCUGAGAACACAAAAGUAUUUGUGGUUUGUGAUGCAGGCACGGAGUGAAGCAGUUUCGGAACUGCUGGGCUGAUGGGGUGCCAAUGCUCACCCAAUGCCCUAUCCUGCCGAACAAAAAUUUCACCUACCAGUUCAAUGUCGUUGGGCAGGAAGGCACCCUGUGGUGGCAUGCUCACGUCCCCGGACUACGGGCAACUGUCCAUGGCGCAUUCAUUAUUCGGCCAAGGCAUGGAGCUGAGUCAUAUCCAUUUCCUCAGCCUCAUAAGGAGAUCCCAGUUAUUAUAGGUUUGUGAACCUUUCAGAUUUUUAUUGUUUAGGAUAUGAGAACCUUAACUUCGUGCAAAUUUAAUUGGUCCCCAUUUUGAGAAAAUAAAAUAUGUCAUGUCCUAUGGGAUUUAAAUUGUGCGCAAUUUUGCAAUGGUUUUGCAAGUAUCUAGUAGAUGUGAAAUGAUCCUGAUGAUUACAGGGGACUGGUGGGAGAAGGACCUUGCAGAGAUGGCCAGGAAUAUGACGAAGAGCAUCUUUCUGUCUUAUGCUAGUGCAUCCACAAUCAAUGGCUUGGUCGGAGAUCUCUUCAAUUGCUCAGGUAAGCAAUUAUACGAUUCUAAACAGCCAUUUAGCACAAUUAAACUCUAUUUAAUUACUGCACAGUAGCCAGCUGAUUAAAUUCUCAGUCUUAAUGGUCUUGAGUUUUAGCCCGUACAAAUGGCCGUUUAGCAUAAUUAAACAGCCAUUUUGGUGAAAACUGUAUACAAUUGUGCGUUUGGUGAAAACUAUAUUGGAUAUUUGUCCAUGUCGAAACUGAUAUACACUACGGGAAAGCUAAAAAUUGCCGAGUGUAUUUUUUUUGCCGAGUGUUUUUUUCAAGCACUUGGCAAACAAGCUCUUUGCCGAGUGCCAAGCUAAAAACACUCGGCAAAGAAAAAACACUCGGCAAAGAAAAAACACUCGGCAAAUCGGGGCUUUGCCGAGUGUCAAAUAAAAAACACUCGGCAAGCCACCCUCUUUGCCAAGUGUCUUAAAAAAUACUCGGCAAAGAGGGGGCUUUGCCGAGUGUCAAAAAAGACACUCGGCAAAGAGGGGGGGUUUGCCGAGUGUUUUUUUUGACACUCGGCAAAAAAAUAAUUUUUUUUCCUCUUUUCACCUUGAAAUUUUUUCUACUCCUCACAUACAACAUGUGGUACUCCAUGUUAAAGUUUAGUAUAUUUUUGAAUUUAUUUGCUAUAUUUAUUUAAUUAAUUGCAUUUCAAGGGAUAUUUUGGUAUAAGUCAAAUUUGAACUGCAAGUGAUUCAAAUUAUGGAACAAAAUAAGUAUAAAAAUGAUAUUCAUGUUAUUUGGCCCAAUUUGAGACCUGACCCAUGAAAUGAAAAGAAAUUUCGAACAUCUUGUUCAGGAAACACGAACAUGAACCUGUGGCAGUAGUAUUUUUAAAUUGUAAAAAAAACAAGCAAAAUCUGAAAAUCAAGAGAUUUGUCAUGAUGUGAUGAUAUAAUAUGUGGAGGCUGUGGAAAAAAGUGAGAAAGUUUUUCACAUUUCAUCAUGUAUGAUGAUUACAAACCGAAGCAUCUCAGAAGAAGAAUAGUAACUUUGAGAAGGAUUCGAUAAAAUUUAGAGUCGAAGUGACGGUCGAGUUCGGUUUGACUACAAAACUUUUUAUAUAGUCAGUAGAGAACAUAUAUUAUUUCGUGUGAAAAUUUGGUAUUUUUUUUGAAACUGCUAGAUAUUUUUUAAUUUUUUUUAAAAAAAUUUGUUGAGUGUCCUAGGGUGGACACUCGACAAAGAAACCCUUUACCGAGUGUCCACACUGGACACUCGGUGACGUUUUUUUCCCUGUACCGGCCAGGCCUGCCUCCUCUCACCGCCCCCGCCCACCCCCCCUCGAGACACCCCCUGCCCCCACUCCCCACGAUAUCAAGGAGAGUCCGCUCNNNNNNNNNNNNNNNNNNNNNNNNNNNNNNNNNNNNNNNNNNNNNNNNNNNNNNNNNNNNNNNNNNNNNNNNNNNNNNNNNNNNNNNNNNNNNNNNNNNNNNNNNNNNNNNNNNNNNNNNNNNNNNNNNNNNNNNNNNNNNNNNNNNNNNNNNNNNNNNNNNNNNNNNNNNNNNNNNNNNNNNNNNNNNNNNNNNNNNNNNNNNNNNNNNNNNNNNNNNNNNNNNNNNNNNNNNNNNNNNNNNNNNNNNNNNNNNNNNNNNNNNNNNNNNNNNNNNNNNNNNNNNNNNNNNNNNNNNNNNNNNNNNNNNNNNNNNNNNNNNNNNNNNNNNNNNNNNNNNNNNNNNNNNNNNNNNNNNNNNNNNNNNNNNNNNNNNNNNNNNNNNNNNNNNNNNNNNNNNNNNNNNNNNNNNUUGGUCCCACAUCUCUAAACCAAUGGCCCGGCAUGGAUGCACCAUAUCAGUGUUGAUUCUCAAAAAGUCCCUGAUACGUUUAGUAUCCAUCUCAAGAUUCCUCUAGCAUUGGGCACAGAUACCGUCUACACAUAUCUGUGGGAAAUUUUUGUAAUCUCAACAUAACAACUUAGAUUACAACUUCUCACUUAUGUGUCCCUCCUACGUAUGUGAUUAGGACUUAGGUGCUGUGAUAUGCAAGCACAUCUAAACGUAACAUUCUAGGACUCAGCCCCAAUCCUUGGUGCGACGUAUAUGAAUUGGAGGGGUGCCCCGUGCAUCAACCUAAUCUCGGCAUUAGGCUAAACACCAAUCAAUUACAGCACUGGGGGGAUAAGAAGUACGAGAUCCAUCUACUGUGUGUAGCUGAUCUUCACCAAUCAAGAACCUGUUCUUGAGAGGUGAAUCAGUUCUACGUCAAACUCUUAAUCAACCAGGAGUGAGAAGUUCCUGAUCUGGUGAAGAUAAGACCUACUUCAUCUACAGUAACACAUCUACUACUAUCGGUGGCAUCANNNNNNNNNNNNNNNNNNNNNNNNNNNNNNNNNNNNNNNNNNNNNNNNNNNNNNNNNNNNNNNNNNNNNNNNNNNNNNNNNNNNNNNNNNNNNNNNNNNNNNNNNNNNNNNNNNNNNNNNNNNNNNNNNNNNNNNNNNNNNNNNNNNNNNNNNNNNNNNNNNNNNNNNNNNNNNNNNNNNNNNNNNNNNNNNNNNNNNNNNNNNNNNNNNNNNNNNNNNNNNNNNNNNNNNNNNNNNNNNNNNNNNNNNNNNNNNNNNNNNNNNNNNNNNNNNNNNNNNNNNNNNNNNNNNNNNNNNNNNNNNNNNNNNNNNNNNNNNNNNNNNNNNNNNNNNNNNNNNNNNNNNNNNNNNNNNNNNNNNNNNNNNNNNNNNNNNNNNNNNNNNNNNNNNNNNNNNNNNNNNNNNNNNNNNNNNNNNNNNNNNNNNNNNNNNNNNNNNNNNNNNNNNNNNNNNNNNNNNNNNNNNNNNNNNNNNNNNNNNNNNNNNNNNNNNNNNNNNNNNNNNNNNNNNNNNNNNNNNNNNNNNNNNNNNNNNNNNNNNNNNNNNNNNNNNNNNNNNNNNNNNNNNNNNNNNGGAUGUUGGCAGCAGUUAGCACGCCAGUUUGAACCACAAGCCCAUGGAUUAGUUGUAACUCUUUCCUCAUAAUAUUCGUCUAAGAUUUAUCAAUCCGUGGAACUUAUAUUGCAAGAUCAGCUAAUGUUUUCAACAUGAUUUAAGUUUAUAUAUGAUUCAGAUCUAAUCUAGCAUGUACAGACAGAUAGCAGAUUUGAGUAAGUUUAUAAAGGAUUAAGAUGCUGCCUCCCCUUCGACCCCGACAGAUAGAUUCGUCUUGCAAAUCCUAUUCAUCAGUGACAAAAUGUUGCAAACCUUCGAGUCCACAUCAGUUAUGUUCCUCACCUUUCUGNNNNNNNNNNNNNNNNNNNNNNNNNNNNNNNNNNNNNNNNNNNNNNNNNNNNNNNNNNNNNNNNNNNNNNNNNNNNNNNNNNNNNNNNNNNNNNNNNNNNUCUGUUACAUGUGCAGGAGGAGAAUAUUAAAUUGUGGAAACCACUAUCUCAGUCUAGUCGUAUAAACACUAAAAACCAUUGCCCCCCAAAAAUAGUUUAGUCGCUAUGAAGAUACGCAAAAAUAUACUAAAAUAGAAAAGUCUCUAUGAAGACAGCAUAACAUCCUGCUAGAACAAUGAGUGGACCCUAACAAGAUAUUAACAGAGUCUAGUGAAUUAAGUUUAGACAAUAUCUUGCUAAAAAUGAGAAGUUUGGGCCUCAUUGACAGCAUAAGAUUAUGUCAGUUCCUUUCAUUGCUAAACAAUGAGAUUCAUCAGUACGUUCAGGUUUCUUCCAUUAAUUGUUAUGCUGUGCAACAUCAUGCUUAAACUGGGUCUAGUGGGACAUGAAAAAUCUGAAACAAAAAAAAUGUACAUGAGCGUACUUAAUUUUUUAAUCUUCCAGUGAACAUAUAUAUUUGUAGAGUCAGAAAAACAAGUAUUAUAUGAUAAAACGGUGCAAAAUUGAUAUCCAUAACAAAUCAUUUAUAUUCUGCUGAUUACCAUAUUAAUUAACCUUCAAUCAGUAUCAUUCUUAAAGUGCUUGGUUUAUUUACAGUAAUUAUACUCCAUACCUUUAGAUAUGGAUAAAAUAGGAAAGUGGCGAAAAAUAUGUCUCGAAGUUGCUGGACUUACGUUUGGUGUAUUGUAAGAACAGCCACAUACAAUUUGAUACCUUUACUCCAUUAGAUAGGGACAAAAUGGGAAAGUGGAAGCAAAGACAUGUCCUGAAGUUGUUGCACUUCUAUUUAGUGCACUUCUAUUUAGACACCUUUACACACGGAUCUCAAGGAGUGAAUAAUUAAGUAUACCGCAAUCCUUCAACAAAACUAGAACCAGAGUUUUUUCCUAUAAAUAUUUGAUCAUAUUUAUUAUCUUAAUUUCAUAAGAUGUGCUGCCCAUAUUUUUUUAUCCUAGUUUGAUGCCCAUGUACGACCUCCAAGAACUAAUUCUCGAUCUUCUAUGGUGUAUACAGGUGUUUGGUUCAUGCACUGCCACUAUGAGUUUCAUCUUUCGAUGGGCAUGGCGGCAGUGUUCAUAGUAGAGAAUGGGCCAACAAUGGACACAUCUCUCCUUCCACCACCUGUGAACUUUCCAACUUGUAGCCAUGACAAUAGUCUCAUCCAAACUAUAUGAAAAGUGAAAUCUAGCUAAUAAAUGGAGCAAGUACAAAGAUAACUCCGACCACUUGUUUUAAAAUAUGUCAUUAUGAAUAAUGAAGGUGCGGUAUGAGAUAAAAUGUAUCCGUAUUAUUUAUGUUAACAAAUCGAACCUGGUUUGCAGCAGAUGAAUUAUCCUGCAUCUGUAUGAUUUGAACAUAUUACGAUUUACUUGUGGUUGAAUCACCACUGUGAACACCUUACCCAUGUUAGCCCUGCCGUGCCGACCCAAAACACACCGGUACGGACGGUUCGUCCACAUCUCUAAAACAAUGACCGGCAUGGAUGCACAAUAUCAGUGUUGAUUCUCAAAAAGUCCUGAUACGUUUAGUAUCCAUCUCAAGAUUCCUCUAGCAUUGGCACAGAUACUGUCUACACAUAUCUGUGGGAUAUUUUUGUAAUCUCAACAUAACAACUUAGAUUACAACUUCUCACUUAUGUGUCCCUCCUACGUAUGUGAUUAGGACUUAGGUGCUGUGAUAUGCAAGCACAUCUAAACGUAACAUUCUAGGACUCAGCCCCAAUCCUUGGUGCGACGUAUAUGAAUUGGAGGGGUGCCCCGUGCAUCAACCUAAUCUCGGCAUUAGGCUAAACACCAAUCAAUUACAGCACUGGGGGGAUAAGAAGUACGAGAUCCAUCUACUGUGUGUAGCUGAUCUUCACCAAUCAAGAACCUGUUCUUGAGAGGUGAAUCAGUUCUACGUCAAACUCUUAAUCAACCAGGAGUGAGAAGUUCCUGAUCUGGUGAAGAUAAGACCUACUUCAUCUACAGUAACACAUCUACUACUAUCGGUGGCAUCAUAUAUCUAACUAUGGUGAUACAAAGAUAACUUCCUGGAAGGAGUGAUAACUAGUGCAACCUAGCAAAUAAAACUCGAAGGCAACCACCGUCUUCAGCCAGCAAUCUAAAUCGAGGAUUCACCCAACCACACUCACAAAUAACAAACCAACACAACUUAGAAUCAAACGGAUCAGAACCACCUGGAAUCUAACUUCUUUGAUACAAGGAUUCAUUACACUAGGGCCUCCAUAUAUAACUCAUUGUUGUCUAAUUCCUUAGAUAACCUUUAUUGGGAAGUCAACUAAAACAAAAAAAUAUUUUUAGGAUCGGAUUAAAACGUGGCGUGCCAGCACCUAUUUAGGAGCAAACGAACCUAUAGCCCAUGCAUAGAAAUAGAUUUUCAAAGACAAGUAAGGGGCGAGCCACCCCUAGAAAUAGGGUUGUUUCCAGGUGUGGAUGAUGGAAUGACUCGCCCCUGAAAAUAAUUUUAUGAGGUGGCUUGGCCCAUGACCCAUCCCUGUAAAUUAAUCUUUAGGUGCUGGUAGGAUGCUACAGUAGUAUGUUCUUUUUGUGGAAGCAGGGAACUUGUCGCCGGAUGUUGGCAGCAGUUAGCACGCCAGUUUGAACCACAAGCCCAUGGAUUAGUUGUAACUCUUUCCUCAUAAUAUUCGUCUAAGAUUUAUCAAUCCGUGGAACUUAUAUUGCAAGAUCAGCUAAUGUUUUCAACAUGAUUUAAGUUUAUAUAUGAUUCAGAUCUAAUCUAGCAUGUACAGACAGAUAGCAGAUUUGAGUAAGUUUAUAAAGGAUUAAGAUGCUGCCUCCCCUUCGACCCCGACAGAUAGAUUCGUCUUGCAAAUCCUAUUCAUCAGUGACAAAAUGUUGCAAACCUUCGAGUCCACAUCAGUUAUGUUCCUCACCUUUCUUAGUCCACAUCCGAGUACUACUUUUUUAGAUAAAGGAUAAUGUUCUAGCCUCUGCGACGGCAUAAAACCAACUUUUAACAAUGUUCUCAUCCCACAGGCAGAUUAUGAAUAGAAGGGUAAGGGCACACAAAUGGUAGGAAGGAAUCAAAAGCAAACUCUAUUAUUAUUUCUCUAUCCAUUCUUGGCAGUACAAAUAUCCAAUGAGAUGACUUCCAAUGCCUUAUUUGCUAAAAGAACAGUCUUUCUUGUGUUCUCACGCUAUACAAGGGACUAAGAUCGCAUCAGUAUGCUCCCCGGAAAACAGUCUAUAUAAAAGAGGUAAAACUUUUUUGUCAAAAAUCAAAUCAUUACGUAUACACCAGAUGCAUCUGGCCCACGUAAGAGCUGCAUCCCAAAAUCCUUAUUUCUUAUGGUCAUUAACAUUAUUUUUCGAAGGAUGUGCGCUAUUGACUUUGGUUGGGUUUGCUGCUUGCUCAGCUAAUAAGCAAUUGAUGCCUGACAGUGACUGUCGUUGUGUGAGAUGUAUUAUCCUCUGAAAAAUAAUAGUUGCGUCGCAAAAGCAGCUCUUUUUGUCCGGUUGAAAAUAAGAAGAAAAAACCAAGGAUGCCAGUUGGCAGUCAGCAAUAUGAGCUAGCAAUACUAGUGUUAAACGUUUGUCUAUAACGGGAUGUACGGUGCCUGACAAUCACAAUAAAAUCUCCAUUAUCACCUACCGGAACAUGCAAUAUGUCUGGCCGAAAUAUACAAUAAAAUCCCUUCGACCCCACAGAUAGAUUUGUGUUACAUUCCUAGUAUUCCUAGUAUUUUUAUUUUCUGCCCAUGACCACUGACAAUUUUGCUAUACACGGUACAAUUCUAAGUGUCCUUUUGUGGUCAACAAUCUGAGCCACUGCUGGCCCUAUUAAAAGAUUGACUGCUGGCCGCGUGAACCACGAGGGCAGGACCACAGUCUGAGUUGAGCUGCCUUCCUCCUCAGCUCAUCAUAAGCAAAGUGAUGCCUUACAGUGACUGACAUGGGCCAAUGGCAACUAUGCAAACACAAAAUCACAUUUGGAAUCAUUUUGGAAAAAAAAGAGCGUCCAAUUUUGACUUCAUAUGCAAAAGUUGCGCCUGUUUUAUUGAACACUAUGCAAGUCAGUUAUGCAAAAGCCGCUGACCGAAGCUUGCAGACUGCCGAGUACAAGUCAGUUAUUUAAUUUUCUCCUCAUGCACUCCUAACUAGUUUAUUCUUUCCGUUCCAAAUUGUAGAUUUUUCUAGAUACAUAGCAAACAUGUAUAAACCUAGAAAAAAUCAAAACCAAAACGGAGGAAACACUACACAUGCUACCUUUCUGUGUGUCCUUUUUAAUUUGCUGGCCGCAUAAUAGCUUGUCUGCUGGCCACAUAGUACCACGAGGGCAGGCCCAAUGGGCUCUCAGACAAGGUGCAUUAAGUCAGAGCUGAUAAGCAGUUGAUGCCCUACAGUGACUGACAUGGCCCAAUGGCAAUCUUGAUUGCAAAAAUAACAGUAGUAGCACCACGCGCAAUGUGAGGAAAAAAGUGUGCAAAAUGUGCGGCACUCGAUCGAUAAUUGAGCUAGCAACAUGUACUUACGCUUGUCUGUGAGGGAUGCAUUGUGCCUGACAAUGACAAUGGCAUGCAUCUCUCUCAGUGCUCACCUACCUUCUGACAUCUCUCUCAGUGACAUCUCUCUCAGUGCCCACCUGCCUUCUGACAUCUCUUUCAGUGCUCACCUACAUGUCAGUGUCUACUGACCACAUAGCUUGUCUACUUGCCUGGUGCGCGUGAACCACGAGGGCAGGACCAGUGGUCGUGCACUACUAGGAAUUGAUGGCGCGGCGUGGCUUCUAAGGCGGUGUUUGGAAACAUCCUGCUAAACUUUAGCACCUAUCACAUUAGAUAUUUGAAUACUAAUUAGAAGUAUUAAAUAUAGUCUAAUUAUAAAACUAAUUGCAUAGAUAGAGUCUAAUUUGCAAGACGAAUCUAUUAAGCCUAAUUAGUUCAUGAUUUGAUAAUGUGGUACUACAAUAACCAUUUGCUAAUGAUGGAUUAAUUACCUUUAAUAGAUUCGUCUCGCGAAUUAGACUCCAUUUGUGCAAUUAGAUUUGUAAUUAGCUCAUGUUUAGUCCUCCUAAUUAGCAUCCGAACAUCUGAUGUGACCCUGCUAAAGUUUAGCACCUCGUAUCCAAACACCAUAGUAUAUGUAUUUUCUUCAAUCGUGUCAUCACCCAUUAGUUGUCGUCGCUGAAAUCAAGAGGCGAAAGUGUCAAUGUGAUGAAGUGUAAUCUAGGCCUCAGUCUUCCCCUAGUUUGAGGACCGUAUAAUGGUCAAGUGCUCCUUCGUAUAUGGAGCGACUAGGGAUGAUUGUUGCAGGACUGUGAAGUGUGCAUUACAAAAAGUAUCCUCAUCGAUCUCCAUCCGAGCUUUCCUCCCUAGUGUGCCCUUUCCCUUCAGUCUCCCCUCGUGGCGUGAUACAAGGACUCUAAUCGAACUCAAGUCAUCAAUAAAAUCAACACAAAACUCAAUGAUCUCCUCUCUUCCAUAUACCUUUGCGAUGCUUCCUUCUAGACGGGCACGAUUAUGAAUAUACUUCUUUAAAAUUACCAUAAACCUCUCAAAAGGGAACAUAUUGUUUAGAAAUAUAGGAUCGAGAACAAAAACCUCUUCAACAAGGUGGACUAGAAGGUGGGUCAUGAUAUUAAAGAAGGAAGGUGGAAAGACCGUCUCAAAGCUGACAAGGCAUUGCCCACGUCAUUCUGCAGCUUUAGUAGAUUGUCUGGAUGGAUUGCCUUCUGAGAAAUUUUGUUGAGGAAUGCACAUAGCUUCAUGAUUGCCAUUCUCACAUUCUCCGGUUGAAUACCCCUAAGUGCAACAGGCAGCAAUUGUGUCAUCAGGACAUGGCUGUCAUGGGCCUUUAGAUUUUAGAAUUUUUCUCGUUAAUAUUUAUUAUUCCCUGUAUAUUUGAGGAGUAGCGCAAUGGGACCUUGAUACUAUUUAAGCACUCAAACAUGCUUUCCUUCUCUUCUUUGCUGAGAGUGUAACUAGCAGGAUGCAAGUAAUGUCCAUCAUCUCCCUUUUCCGGAUGUAGGACAUUUCGUUGUUUCAUACAUUUCAAGUCCCGACAUGCUUCAAUUGUAUCCUUUACCUUUCCAUAUGUACCGAGGAAGCCAAGCACAUUCACACAAAGUUUUUUCAUCAGGUGCAUCACAUCAAUUGUAUUACAGACAUCAAGGAUUUCCCAAUAAGGUAGCUCCCAAAAUAUAGACUUUUUCUUCCACAUGGGUGCAUGUUCAUCCUCAUCGUUCAGAAUAGGUUGGCUACCAGAGCCCUUGCUAAAGACUACCCUCACAUCCUUUAUCAUAGAAAAUACACACUUACCAUUAUGGUGAAUGGGCUUAGAACAUUUUUCUUUCUCCCCUUCAAAAUGCUUCCCUUUCUUUCUUAAUGGGUGCUUAGCAGAAAGAAAUUGACGAUGUCCCAUAUACAUGACCUUCCGAUAAUGUUUCAAAUACAUACUGCAAGUAUCAUCUAAACAGUGUGUGCAGGCUUGAUGUCCCUUGUUUGUCUGUGCUAAUAGAUUACCAAAUGCGGGCUAAUUAAUUAUGGUUACGGACAGCAAUGCUCAUAGAUUAAAAUUCUCCCUUUUGUCCUCAUCCCACACACGUACACCUUCUUCCUUCCAUAACAGUAAAAGUUCACCAACCAACGGUCUUAGGUAAACAUCAAUGUCAUGGCCAGGUUGUUUUGGGUCUUGGAUAAUACCAGCAUCAUAAUGAACUUCUACUUCAUGCACAUUCAAGAUGGAAGGUUGAACAUAGAUAAGGUCAUAGGCCAAGUGCUAUGACCACUACUAAACUCACUAAAUGGAUUGAAUCCAUCCGUACUUAAACCAAGCCUUAUGUCCCUUGCAUCCUUUUCAAACUCGGAAAAUUCUCUGUGUACUGUUCUCCACUGAGACCCAUCAGCAUGCAUAUCUAGGGCGAAAGGUUGAACAUACAUAAAGUCAUAGGCCAAGUGCUAUAACUAGUACUGAACUCACAAAAUGGAUUAAAUCCAUCCGUACUUAAACCAAACCUUAUAUUCCUUGCAUCCAUUUCAAACUCAGGAAAUUCUAGUCAACUAUUCUCUAAUGGGACCGAUCAGUGGGGUGUGUGAUCAUUUCAUCUUACUUACUUUCUUCUUUGUGCCAAUACAUCAACUUUGCAUGUGCCUUGUUUUGGAACAAACACUUAAAGCGUGGUACUAUAGGGAAAUACCACAUUACCUUCGCAGGAACUUUCUUCUUGCUAGCCUAGCCCUCAACAUUACUAGGGUCAUCUCUUCUGAUCUUAUAACGCAGCGCUUUGCAUGCAGGAUAAGCCUCCAAUUUGUCGCAUUCCUCACCACGAUAGAGGAUACAAUUAUAAGGACAUGCAUGUAUCUUUUGUACCUCCAAACCUAAAGGGCAAACAACCUUUUUCGCUUUGUACGUUGAGGACGACAAUUCGUUCCCCUUAAGAAGCAUGUUCUUUAUGAUUUUGAUUAACUCAUCAAUACCCUUGUCAGAAACUUCAUUUUUUUUGCCUUCCAUUACACCAUUUCCAGUGUGGUACCUAACUUUUUGUGCUCCUGUUUGCAAUCUGGGUACAACAAUUUCUUAUGAUCAUCUAACAUACGCUCAAACUUCUUUGACUCCUUCACAUUCUCGUAGUCUUCCUUUGCAUCUCGCAACACUUGACCUAGAUCAUUGAUAGGAUCUUCUACCUCGCCCAUCUCUUCUUCAGCCUCGCCCAUUAGAGCAUCUACAAAGACACCUCCUUGAGUCCAGUCAGGAACGUUGUCAUCUUCUUCUUCAUCAUCAUCUUCCAUCAUAACUCCUCUUUCCCCGUGCUUAGUCUAAACAAAAUAGUUAGGUAUGAAUCCAGAACUGUAUAUGUGGGCGUGAAUAGUCUUCCUUGAUGAGUAAUCUUUCCCAAUUUUGAAAUUUCUGCGUGGACAACAAAUGAAAUCAGAUGGUGGCUUGUUGGAUUUUGCCUGAUCGAGAAAACCACGCAAGGCAUUAAUGUACUCCAUGGAGCGUUUGGCUGUGUUGUACAUUCAUUGCCGAUCCAUCUACAAAGUAUUAUCGAACCAUUAAGAUAUAAUGAUCAUGCAUAUAAUUAUAAGCAUAUACAAAUUUCAUAAAACUUAAAUAUUGCUGAAAGUUUAGAUAGAAAUACACAAAUUUAAAGUUCAAACCCAAACAACAUGAUACACUACGACAAACUCAAAUGUUCCUUAAAGUUUAGAUAGAAAUACACAAAUUUAAAUUUUAAAUCCAAACAACAUGAUACACUACGACGAACCAUCCACUUGAGUACUAUCUAGGAGGACUUUAAGUAUCCUUGGGCAGCGGAGACGAAGGUUUAGCUGACCUAGCCUCAUCCUGUUGAUUAUUUGUGCCUCCUAUGGGUAGUAUUCAGUUGACUUGAAAACAUCGGGACUGGCGGUGGAGCAUAACGACUACCAAAAAGAGGUUCCUGACCCACUGCAAUAGCAUCUUCAUGACAUCUUUCCAAAUAACGAAGCAUUGCUCUCUCCCACGUGGUUAUUUUCUUCAGCUUAUCAUGAGGGCCAACUGUGGUUCUCACCUAGCCGCAAGAGGAACGAUGAUGGGGCCCACUAUCGCCACUCCCUCUAGCAGUAGUAGCCAUCUCUAUGUACCAUAAUUUAUUUUGCUCAUAUUUGCAAAUGACUAAACUAUGAACAAACUAUAUUUUCCCCACAAUUUAAUCUUAUUAUCUCUAUGUACCACAAUUUAUUCCACAUAUUUGUAAAGGACUAAACUAUGAAAUUAUUCCUCUAACCUCAUAUUAAUCAUAGCAUCCAAAAAUUUGUAGCUCAAACAUAAAUAACACAUGCAUAAAAUUUCUCCAUUGUAGCUUUUUCUAAAGAUAACAAAUUACUCUAGCUCUAAAGCAUAAAAUUUAGUAUACUAACCAUGUAUCAAGGGAGAUGGAGUUUCUAACCUUUAGAACACUUGAAUGGGUGAAAUCCCCACGAAAUGGUCAAAAAUCUGGCAGCACCUCCCCUAUUUCGCCAUGAGUGGAUGAUGCCCGAACUGGAGGAAAUGGCUUGGGCAGGAGGAAGAAGACGCCUGAUUUAUAGGAGGAAAGUUAGUAUCAAGUGGAGGCUUCACCCGGUACUAAAGGUUGCCAAUUAGUACCGGGUGAAGUCUCCACCCGGUACUGAAGGUCCUUAGGCACAUUAGUACCGGUUGGAGGCUUCAACUGAUACUAAUGGAUGACCUUUAGUACAGGGUGAAACCUCCACCCGUUACUAAAGGGGGUCACGGGGCACUACUGGGGAACUAGCUGUUAGACUCGGGACUAAUACUCACAUUAGUACCAGGUCAAAAAACCAACCGGUACUAAGUCUCGAGGUGAAUGCUGAGGUUUCCAGUAGUGGAGCCAACCUAUAUUACAACACAAUCAAUCAAUAAAUGCAGUGCGCAUUGCGAGGGACAUCGAUCGGUGAAGGGGAAUAGCAACACCAGCUCUCGUAGGCAAACCAUCGUGCACAUGGCGUGCAUGCAUCUCCUGUGUCCUUUCUAUACCUACGUGGAGCUGGAACUUGGAAGUAUGUAUCGGUGUCGUGAUUAGCGUCAUGGCGUGGCAGAGGCAUCUCUGGAGAUGCUGAGCUAGCGCUGCCACAAGGCAAAUUGGCCGGCAUGUGCUUGAGGAAUCUGUGUCGUUGUGGCCUUGUGGCUUGUGGGUAGCCUGGUACGUGCUCAACCAUCGCAUGUGUUGAACGUGUAUGUGGUCCUAGUCUCCGAUAGGCACUCAAGUCUCCGUGCUCAGCGAUCUACCUAGUAGAGCGAGCACAAGCAAGUUGCUACCUCCAAAUGUUGUAUUUGUGUCCGCUGAGCCCUAUAUCACAAAACGUUUUCUUUUGACUGUGUCUGCUACAGAAAACCUAAUUGUUUUAUACAUGUUUGAAGGGCACCUAAUUUUUCCAUCACUACUGUUAGCCAUAAAAUGAUAUAAAAAUAAAAUGGCAGUCAUAUUUAUUAUGGCAAAUAUUAAUAGCAGUGUGUUGUUGCAAGCGGAGAUAACUAGUGCAACCUGACAGAUAAAACUUGAAGUCAACCUCGAUCUUUAACCAGCAACCUUAAUUGAGGAUUCUCCCAACCACAAUAUCAAAGAACCAACCAACACAACCUAGAAUUAAAAGUACCAGGAGCACCAAUUGGAAGCUGAUGACGCAACCGCUUCCAUAACCCCUCAAGGAAAUUGCAAGAGAAAAGGGGUGGAGAUCACUCUCCUAAUUUGUUAGCACACAUCUAAACAAAAGGGGUUACAUUCAAUUAUCAAAGUCUUGUCUAAAUAUUUGGAUACAAUGAUUUUUUAUACUAGGAACAACCCUCUUAGUUGGGUCUGAAUGGACCUUGGAGUUUCUAGAGUUAUGCUAACUCGAAGGUCACCAUGAACAGAAAUCUCAAAAGAGACUCGCGUGGCUGUUGGCGUUGUAUGCAGUCUCCACUAAAUCGAUUAUAACUCUUGUUUGGAAAGUCCACAUGAAAUGCAGUCUAUGCAGUCUCCACGAAAUUGACCUUAGUUUCGUGGAUUUUGUUUAGUUCUAAUUUUUCAUUGAGAAACACAAUCAUUCAUUAUAACUAUAUAUGGCGACAAGUUCGUUUAGUAUGAUUCAGAACAGUUGUUCUUGUUCUUCUCGAUUGUGGUAAUUUAUCCUUUUGUGUUAAGAGCUUGAACCUCAUUUUCAGAUUCGCUUCAUAUACAUAUACAAUUUCAUAUUACAUUUUUUUCACUUUCUUUCUUGUGUUCUUCGAUUUGCUUUAUGGGGAAAGUCUUAUUGGCGAGGUCAAUUGAAUUGUACUUAGUUGAUAACCAACAGAGUAGUGGUGUAGCAGUUGCAACAGUUUGAAUCACGUCAAGCUUCAUCUCAUCCAAUUUAUCAUAUACCUAUCAGAAGAUCAGGCCAAUGCAAUAUAAGCUAGGCACGCAGCAUAGCCAUGUACCAAGGGUGUGGUUCUGGGAGUUUUCUCCAUAUGUAGUGAGCUAAGCAGGGUCCAUCCCUUAAGAUGAGGUGAAUAAAAUAUCCAGCAAAAUAUAAUCUACUAGUUGUUUUUGGCCCAUGUGGUUAGUUAUGGUUCUAAUUGGUGGGUUUAGUACCACCUUGGAAGUUUUGAGGUCGGGUGAGGGCAAGUUUAUAAUCCUUGUCGCUCCAAAGAAGCACCUUUGGGUUAACCCUUUUAUAUGAAGCGAGGAUGUAAGUGUAAGAGACUUGAUAUGCGUAUGCAAGUCCAUUCCAUGUGAGUAGUUAGGCUGUUAUAUUAGUAGACUUUGGAGUGGGGUUUUACAGAAGGUUUUCAGAGCAUGAAUCCUCACUUCACGUGCGUGCGCAGUCAUGUACCGAGGUGUGUUUCUAGGAUUCUACUGCGUUGUGGUGAGCUGUCCAGGGCAUCUGCCUAUAAUGUGGGGUCCUAACUCAAUAUCUCAUGUGGUCUAGUUGUGUUUGUAGUUGGUGAGUUUAGUACAACCUUCGAAGUUUAGUAAGGUGAUGGCUACAUUAUAAUCUUAUUGUUCCAAACACAACAUCUUCAGAUUAAUCCUUUUACUCGAAAUGAGAACGAUAGUGUAAUAGAGGUGCUCUGCGUACGUAGGCCUGUUCCACGUGAGGCGCGUGUCUUAAAAGAAGAUAAACAAAGCAUGAGUGUGUGGGAUCCUUGGCAUCCACAUUAUUGUCAAUGCAGCCACACUUUACCUAUAUGUAGUACUACUUAAGAGGCACAUUGCAGAGCACAUUGAGCUAGCUAGCCAAAUCUCAUACCAUGGACAGCCGGAGCCUUCCAGUGGCAGCCACCGCUGCUCUCAUCUUCUUCUCUGUCAUAGCCCUGUCAGCGGGUACAGCCAUCGUCGAGCACACCUUUGUUGUAAGCAUGCUGCUCUUUCAUGAUUUUAGUUCCAACCACUGAUCCGUUCUUAAUUUGGACAUUUAUAUGUAUAUUCAUUUACUGAUGUUGAAGCAUGUACAUAUGCAGGUGACCCAGGUGACUAUGACUCACUUGUGCAAGGAUACGCUGGUCACCGUGGUGAAUGGGCAGUUGCCCGGGCCGGCGAUCGAGGUCACAGAGGGAGACUCCAUCGCCGUCCAUGUUGUCAACAAGUCACCCUUCAACUUAACAAUCCACUGGUAAUAAAUUAUGCACUAGUCAAUUGUUCAGUUGAUUCAUGUGUUCCAGAGAAAAGACCCUACCAGUAACACUCCAAGGUCCAGAAAUUUCAGCACUAAUACAGAUCCAAUUGGUGUGUUUCAAGUUCCUGAAACCGUAUUGAUUCUAGCGCCGCCAAUGAUGACAUUAGUAAAAAUUAGUUAGUUUCCAUCACUUCAAAAUGUCACUGAUGGAUGAACAGAAAAAUCGGUCACUGCAUAAUGACAUAGAUUUUCUUUUUGCAUUGAUCUUUUGGAAUUCAUUGUUUCGAGUUUUCCUCUUGUAGGCAUGGAGUGAGGCAGCUGCUCAACUGCUGGGCGGAUGGCGUGCCGAUGAUUACCCAGCGCCCCAUCCUUCCAGACCAUAACUUUACCUACCGUUUCGAUGCUUCCGGGCAGGAAGGAACCCUAUGGUGGCAUGCUCAUGUCCCCUGCCUCCGUGCAACAAUACAUGGCAUCUUGAUCAUCCGGCCGAGGCAUGGAGCCAUCUCCUAUCCAUUUCCUAAGCCUCAUAAGGAGAUCCCCAUCAUUAUAGGUAUGUGAAUUUUCACCAUUUGACAGCCUCAUAAAAUAAAAUCAAAAUUGCACACUGUUUUCAUACUGGACGCAGUCGUUCCCCACUGGCAGCUAGCGCGCAAAUUCCAUGGGCGCCGUAGGACGGGACGAUGGCAUACUGUUCCGGCUCCGGGAGGCAAUCCGACGUCAGGACGAGCCGCCGGCGCGUCCGAGGGACUUCCUUUUCAGUUUUCCUUUGUUGAUUUGCCCCGUUCCAAAAUUGCUGCUCAGUCUCGUCAAUUCUCCUCCGUAUCGGCGUAUUUAGCUUCUUGCGUUCCCACGAUUCUAUAGGUGUUCAUUACCAUCAUUAAGCAUUAAGCUAUGGCAGGUUCGCGUCUAGGAUCCUAGGCCAUCGUCCAAAAAUGCAUUCUCUUCAUGGUCAUCGGCAUGGUCCUUGCCUCCUCAUCUUCCUCGUGGCUUCCAGCAACGCGGCAGGUGCCUCUGUUAGCUCUGGGCCUUAGAUGCAGCGUUGCACAGGCACACGCGCGCACACCAUGCCACGCAGCAGUAUACAGGUCCGGCGCGGCGUCACGCGUAGCGUUCGAGGAGGCCCGCGGCAUCCGGCCCGGCCACAGCGUGAGCCAGAACGGUACGGUGAUCUAUACCACCGGGACCUGCUGUGGAUCCAUAACCUCGACCACGACCCGCUCGAUGAAAUGUGCCAACCCCGAGCUGUCGAGCGAAGCCAAGUCAUCCAGCCACUUCAGCGCUAGGAGCUGAUGUGGGGAACGGUGCACCAAUUAACCAAAGAUGCAUUUUAAGAGUUCGUGCAGCUAGAUGGCACGAAGGGACAAGUAGAAGUACCGCCGGGCGUAUUUUACUCUAAAAAUUUCAUUAGAAAAAGGAUUUGGCUCCGGCCUGUGCAACUGCUGGCAGCCAUAUAUAUGCCAACAACAUUCUCAGCACAUUAGCCGAUCCAAAAUAACAAGGCAAAUAGUGCACAAAGAGAAUCAAAUAAUUAUAAAGCAAAGUCGGAAAUCUAGCUGGCAUACGUUCUAUACUUUUAUUUCACAAUGCUGUGGCUGAACUAUUUACUGUUGUGUUCCUGGUAAUGACAGGGGAGUGGUGGGACCUAGAGGACCUUGGACAGGUGGACAGGCACUUGAGGCAUUAUGUGGCUGACGAUUACUUCAAAGCGUCCACAAUCAAUGCCAAGCUUGGAGAUCUCUACAACUGCUCUGGUAAUCAAACUAGUAUUAGACUAAUUCAUGUCCACGUUGAAAUAUUAUGUUUUAUCUCACUGAAGUUUCAUGAUUCAACUUUGAAGGCGUCGUCGAAGAAGCCUACAAGCUGGACCUGGAGCCCGGCAAGACCUACCUGCUCCGAGUACUCAAUGCUGCGCUCUUCUCUGAGUACUACCUCAAGAUAGCUGGGCACAAGUUCAUAGUGGUUGCUGGCGAUGCCAACUACGUUAGCCCCUAUACGACGGACACCAUCGCGAUCGCUCCCGGCCAGACAUUCGACGCCCUCGUGGUCGCCGAUGCGUCUCCUGGAAGAUACUACAUGGUCGCCAUGCCCAACCAGCCUCCAAAGCCCGACUAUCAGAGCCCAGUCUUGCCCACUAGAGGCGUACUGCAGUAUAGCAACGGAGCAGGAGGAAAUCAGCCCGGUGAUGUUCCAAUGUCACCAGAGAUGCCUGACAACCACAACCAUAUGCUAUCGUUCUACUUCCAUGGCAACCUUACCAGCUUGCACCACCCAAGACACCUACCAGUGCCGAAGCGAAUCGAUGAACGCCUAUUCAUAACGCUCGGGCUUGGCUCCGUUUGUCGGCAAGGCCAGUCCUGCGAGAGAGGAGCAGAGAGCGACGAGGUCAUCGUUGUGGCAACCAUGAAUAAUAUAUCAUACGAGCUCCCCACCGUGUCGAGACCACUGCUAGAAGCCCACUACCAGAACCCCAGCAACAUUGACUGGCUGCAAGAACUCCCUGAUGUACCACCGCGGGUGUUCAACUUCACUGACAAUUCCUUGAUCCCAACAGGACCCAAGGAGGAACAGCUAGAGCCGACGUCCAAGGCUGCGUUGGCACGGCGAUUCCGGUAUGGAGCUGUUGUUGAUGUGGUGUUCCAGAGCACGUCAAUGUUGCAGAGCGAGUCCAACCCGAUGCACCUGCACGGACAUGACAUGUUCGUGCUGGCACAGGGGAGCGGCAACUAUGACAUGGAAAGGGAUGUGGCGAAGUACAACCUAGUUAAUCCUCCACUUGUGAACACCGUGCUUGUACCACGGCUUGGAUGGGUGGCUGUCCGGUUUAUUGC